rnacentral:lncRNA from 1 species
ACAAACUACUAUAGUAUAGAGGUUUUUAGGUAUCGUCCACAAGAAUGGAUUAUUCUUGGUAAUCAAGCCUUGAAUGAGAGGAGAAGAAAUGAUUGAGAUCAAGUGAAAAUGAUUUGACAAUUCAUGAUAAAAAUUCAAAAUGACAAUGAUUCCAAAUUGAGAGGAAAAUGAAAUGUAAAAUAGAAGAAAAUUAAUAGAAAAUGAAAUUCUCGGAGUUAGGAUUUUCUAGAAAACAAUUUCCAUGGUGAAUAGAUGUUGAGAUCUAACUUUCAUCAAGUUAUAUUGAAAACCUAAAUUUUCAUCUAAACCAAAUUUUGAUUUAGCUUUAGGUCUAGAUCUAAUUUCUCUUCAAAUUAGGUCAUUUAAUCCAAGAGAUCAAUUCAAAUCAUAUAUUCAAUUCAUCUUAAAUUAUCUUCCAAUGAUUCACAUAAUGCAACUAUUCAAUCUCAUCAAAUCUAGCAUUAAAAAUUUGAUGAAUCUACCUAGUUUGCAUUGUAGUAAUCAUUCAAGACAAUUUGAAGAGAAAAAUCCUCAAAUUUCAAUUAAUCAAUCAAUUGGAUCAAAUUGCUUUUGCAAUUCAAGCUCAUUUCUCUAAUUCACCAUAGAUCUUGCCUUUAGAUCCUCUAUCCUCCGAGAAAAAUGAGAUUUAGUAGCUCAUGCUUGGAGAUUUGAUCUCACAAGGCAUGUUUGGCUAGUGAGCAAAUAAGAGAAAAUGAAGGAAAGUAGAAAACUCUAUAGAGAGAAAAUCUGGAAAGAUUUACAAUUAGAAAAAUGUAAAAAAUCCUUAAAAUGAGUAAAUCAAUCUAUUUAUAGGUCAAGGUCAAGUGGAUACUUGGCAUUAUUUAAGAGGUCUUUUAGAGGCUUUUUCACCAAGAAAUCUGGAAAAAAUGCAAUUUCGCAUGAGCUCCAACAAUUUCGCUCGAUUGUGCGGAGUGGAAAAUGCAUCAACACCAAUUUCGCCUUCUUGGAGCAUUUCACAUGAUUGUGUGAAAUUUUCGCAUGGUCAUGCGAAAUCAGUUUUCAGUUUUCCCUUUGAGUUGCAGUCAAAUUUCCUUUUGGUCCAUUUCGCAAGACUGUGCGAAUUUUCCCCAUGUUCAUGCGAAAUGGAAAAACAUAGAUUUCAACUCCUUUUUGUCAUUUCUCCCAUUUCUUUCUUUUGAAUCCACCUCAACCACCUUCAAUUAAGCUCCAAAGCUUGGUCCAAGUGCAUUGCCUCUUCCCCAUCAUCCACAUUGUGUACCCUCCUCAAUUCCAUUUCUUUUUUGUCACUCAAUGCUUAAAAAAUCACUUCAAAAUAUCUCCAAAACUUCACAAAAACCACUAGUAUCUCUUGCAAGGGUAACAAUGUAUUACUUGGGCAUAUUAGACAUAAUUACUACUCAAAAGGUAUGAAACUCAUGAGAAUUAGUAUCUAAAAUGUGUGGUUUUUGAGUAGUAAUCAAGAAGCAACCGCACAGGAAAAGAAAAAAGGGAAAAAUGCAACAUGAGAAAACGACUAGGAGGGAGGAUUAGAGAAGACUUUUGGAAGAUGAUAUGUGGAGAGAUGUUUUAAAGAGGAGGAAGACUGGUCUUGAGAGAUAUUUUGGCCCAAGGUUUAAUGAUAUUGAGAUCGUGAGGUUAUGAGGAAUUCAAGCCAUGAUCGGAAGAAGAUUCAUGCCAUGUUUUAGAAGAGACUUAGGUCAUUUUUAGAAGGGUUUUAGGCUACAAUCUGGAAAGUUUUUGGUCAUAAUCUGGAUGUGCACUUCAGGUCGUGUUCGGGAGAGUAUUCAAUCCAUUUUCUAAGGCAGUUCAAGACGUAUUUUUAGUGAAGGAUAUCGUUGAAAGAUGAUGGAGAGGGGAGCAUGACGAUUAGGAGGUGAGUGAGAUUGAUUGGGAGAGAAGAGAGUUAGGCCGCACCAUAAGAGGCUUCGGGAGACACUACUACAUCAGGGAGCCACACCAUCAAAGGAGAUAGAAAAGGAGGACCGACUUCACUACUCAAGGGUUGGCUUGGCUCGAUCAUUCAUCGAUCACCAUAACAAGAAAACACUAGUAAGGUUGUAUUGAUCAUUGUCAAACCGAAAAUUCUAGAUUUCUAUUUACACUUUCAGCAUCAAUUACACGCUGCAACUUGGAGCAAGCAUAGCUAGCCGGUUUUGGCUCACCACAUCAUCCAUACGGUUGCCACUUUGAGAAGGAAGUAGUCCACACGCCAUUAGAGCCUUCACGGGUGGCACUUCUGGGCACCAUCUCCAUCUCUGUAAAGAGAACACACCACUCCUUUGAAGCAAGAUUCAGUAAGCAUCUCCAUGUAAGGAAAAUCACUCAUACGGUUGCCACUUUGGGAAGCAUACAACCCACACACCCAUUCGGCUAGGCAACCACGCACCAUUACAUGCUGCAACCUGGAGUACGCAUAGCCAACUAGUUUUGGCUCACCACAUCAUCCACACGACUGUCACUGGGAGUAGGAAGCAGUCCACGCACCAAUAGAGCCUUCACGGGUGGCACUUCAUGGCACCAUCUCCAUCCAUGUCAAGAGAACACACCACUCAUUUGAAGCAAGAUUCAACAAGCAUCCCCACGUAAGGAAAAUCACUCACACGACUACCGCUUUGGGAAACAUACAACCCACACACCUAUCCAACUGGGUAAGUUAUUAUUCUUUUAUAUUUUUUUUAAUUAGUCAACACAAUUAAUACCAUGUGUUAAAGAUUUUCUUGGAAUUUACUAUAGUACAUUUGUAAGUCAUCAUUAAAUUUGAGUUAUAUUUUAUUUAUCAAUGUGUUAUCUAUUUAUCCAUUCGGUAAUAAGAUUGAUUCUAUAGGUUAGAGAUUUAGUUUUAAAAAUUUGUUUUGGUUAGUUUUUAAUUUACCUUUAGGUUUAAGCCCUCUUAUAAAAUUUUAGUUCGUUAAAAUAAUUGAUCAUAUGUGUUAAGGAUUUGAUUUUAGAUUUGCCCUAAUUAGUGUUCAAUUCAUUUUAAGCUUAGAGUUCAUUUUAGUAAUGUAAGUUUAUUUAGAAAAUUGAUUCCAUGAAUUCGUAUUUUGUUUUUAAUUAUAUUUAUUUAUUUAUGUGUUAUCUAUUUAUCCAAUUUUAAAUAAAAUUGAUUCUAUAGGUUAGAGAUUUAGUUUUAAAAAUCUGUUUUGGUUAGUUUUUAAUUUAACUUUAGGUUUAAGCGCUCUUAUAAAAUUUUAAUUCGUUAAAAUAAUUGAUCAUAUGUGUUAAGGAUUUGAUUUUAGAUUUGCCUUAAUUAGUGUUUAAUUCAUUUUAAGCUUAGAUUUCAUUUUAGUAAUGUAAGUUUAUUUAGAAAAUUGAUUCCAUGAAUUCAUAUUUUUUUUUUUUUUUUAGUUUGCUUUCAUUUAAUUUGAUUCAUUUCAAUUAUUUUAGGUUGCUUUUAUAAUUUUAGGUCAUUAAAAAAAUCAAGUCUAUAUUUGAGAGUUCAUGCCUUUAGUUUACUUUGAUUUAGAUUCACUCAUCUAUUCAGUUUAGGUAUUUUUUAUAAUAUUAGUUCAUUAAUAAAAUUAAUUCUAUGAUUGAAAAUUCAUGUUUGCCUUGAUUUAGUUUGCUCCAUAUUAAUUAGUCUAGAUGUGUUUGCGUAUUUAAUUGAUCAUAUGCUAGUUCUUGAUUGCUAUUCUCAAUUGAUGUGCUUCUUGAAUACUAGUCAUUAAUUUUUGGUGAAUGUCUCAUUAGCUUAUUUGAUCUAAGUUCAAAUAGUUUAUUACUUUGAUAGUCUCUUGUAAAAUUUACUUUUCAGAGGCCAUCGGAAAAUAGUAAAGAUUGACCUCCAUUCUCACCACUUCAAUUUUCUCUAUUGUCAAAAAUUCUACAUUAUGAUUUUGUUCUCUUUUGUUUUGCUUGGUAUUUUGUUUCUUAUGUUCUGUUGUUUUCAAAUUAAUUUAUUUUAUUUUAAAAUAAAAAUACUUCUCUCAAAAGAUCCCUUUAAAAAUCUAUUUUUUUUAUAAAAAAAAUAUUCAUUUAGAGUCUUUUGAAUCAAAAUCUCAUUUUCUUAAAUAAUAUGCAACCAUGUUUUGAUCGGUUCGCAUCUUUCUCAGUUUUCAAUAAAAAUUAUGGUUUUAAGUAAGACACGAAUCCAAGCUUGUGGUCCAAAAUAAAUGGGAUAAUUCUAGGUUAGAUUUGUGUGUAUCAUUUGGGGAAUUGGUGAAACCCCUACAUAAAAUUAUUUUUAAAAAAACUCAUCUUUGCUGCCACAUUUGCUACUUGUUGCAAUCAUAUCUAUUUUUUUUAGGAAUUAUAUACAAGAUGUAUGUAAUAAUUUUUUAUUUCGUAUACUUUGAUAAUUUUUGCUAUGUUAAUUUGAUAACAAACAUGCUAGGAUUUCUUUAUUUUAUUAUUUAUUAUCUAACCCCUCAUGUCUUGUGGAAGCACGUUAUAAGUUACCUAUGCUAUUUAGGUAUAUUUCUUACCUUCGUAUCUUAAUUCCAUAAAUUAUGUAUUUGUUUUAUAUAUGAUUGUUAUGUAUUGCUUCGUAUGCGAUUCUCAACAUGUUCAACAUAUCUUUUUGAUUGUUUGUUUAGCUUGCCAUGUUUGAUUAAGAGACUAGGGUAAAACAAAUGUUGUGUGUUAUAUUUCUAUACUAACUUUGAUGUUUUGUGAUAGUGCUUGAGAAGUAGUUCAGGUACACACCCUAAAUCUCCUUUAUGAUUGUGAUUGGUUUUCUUGUUUGACAUGUUAUUUUUUGAAAUCACCUAGCCUACUUAGGUGUCUAUAAUCAACCAAUUAAUCGUCAUAUUUCCCUCAACUUAGUUAGUAGAGACCUUUAUAGGGCUUAGAGAGGUGCUACCUUUUAGAGGUACUUUCCUAAUAGAUAACCUAAUCCUCGGACCUAGACUCGGGUUUUUCAAAGACACGCUUUUCCAAAAAUUAUGGAGUCACCUUUUAGGGUUUUCUUUCUUAUUUUAUUUUCCAUUUUAAAAAAUAAAAUAAAAUAAGUGGCGACUCCAACUUUUCCAAAAUAAAUUUUUCAUCAACAAAAGUGAGUCUCGCUGAUCGAGUGGGGACGCACGUGAAAAAUAUGGGUCCACACCUGGACUGCUUCUUAAGCGCUAUCAUAAAACAUCAAUAGUUAGUUUGGAAAAUAAAGCACACAUGUAUUUUACUCUAGUAUCUUAAUCAAACAUGGCAAGCUAAACAAACAAUAAAAAAGAUAUGCUGAACAGGUUGAGAAUCGCAUAUGAGGCAAUACAUAACGAUCAUGUAUAAAACAAUAUAUAAUUUAUGGAAUUAAGAUAUGAAGGUAAGAAGCAUACCUGAAUAGCAUAGGUAACUUGUAACGUGCUUCUAUAAGACAUGAGGGGUUAGAUAAUAAAUAAUAAAAUAAAGAAAUCCUAGAAUGCUUGGUAUCUAAUUAGCAUAGCAAAAAUGACCAAAGUAUACGAAAUAAUCAAUUAUCACAUACAUUUUGUAUAUAAGUCCUAAAAAAAAAAAAAGAUAGAUAUGAUUACAACAAGUAGCAAAUGUGACAACAAAGAUGAGUUUUGAAAAAUUUUCUUAUGUAGGGGUUCCACCAAUUCCCCAAUUGAUAUACACAAAUCUAGCCUAGAAUUAUCCCAUUUAUUUGGGAACACAAACUUAGAUUCAUGUCUUACUCAAAACCAAAACUUUUAUUGAAAAUCGAUCAAAACAUGGUUGCAUAUUAUUUAAGAAAAUGAGAUUUCGAUUCUAAGGACACUAAAUGAAUUUUUGAAAUGCAUUUUAAUGAGGAACAUUUUGAGAAAAGGUUUCUUUUUAAAAGGAAAGAAAUAAUUUACAAACGACAAUACUCAAGGAUCAAACAUAGGCAACCCAGAAGAAAAUGAAAUCACAAAAUAAAACUUUAAACAACCAAGCCGACUAAAGUGGUGAGAGUAAGGCCAACCUUCAUGGGUUUCCAGUGGCUUUCAAAAAAAGGAUUUGACCAAUAGUCACUAAGGCAACAAACUAAUGGCUUUCAAAUCAAAUAAACUAACAAAAAUAUUAACCAAAACUAACAUAUAGAAUUCAAAAAAGCGCAUAAACUAAGAUAAAAACCAAUCAAGGAUUAAGACCAACAAACUUAACAUAUGGAGAUAAUAACAUGGGAUCAAUUAAAGUAAAUUAACACUCAAACAAAAUAUGAUGAGUCAAAAACCAAAGUUUAACGAACUUGAAAAUAUGAAAACAAUAAUAGGUAAUUAACUAGAUUGAUUAGCUAAAAUUCCAGAAAGCUCAAACUAAAUAUUAAUAGAUCAAAAUUAAAAUUACUAAACUUAAAACACGAAAACAAUAAUAUGUGAUUAACUAAAUUAACUAACUAAAAUUGUAAUCAACUAGAAAAUUGAAUAUUAAUGGAUUAAAAUCAGAAUUAACAAAAUCGGAAACACAUAAACACAAACACGAGAUACACUAAAUUAAUUGACUAAACAUUCCUAAACAAAUUUUUAUUUUUUAUUCACUCAACAAGAAUUAAAUAAAAAAAUAUCUAACUUACCUUUUUCAAUAAUGCAUGGGGGCUGCUUCGAAGUCCAAAGGUGCAGGCCGUUUUCCUCUCCAAAGUGGAUGACGAUUAGUUCUUUCCAUUUUUUUUUAUGAUAAAUGCGUGCUGCUCCUCCUUUUGACUCAUGGAGAAAUUCCCUUUGUGCCAAACUUAUAUUCGCAUGUGUACAUUGCACAUCUCCAUUCCUAGGCAUUGGCAACACCCACAACGUCGCAUUCUUGAACUCAAAACCACAGUAGGUUGGCGGCUUGUAGCAACUCGACUGGAUUGCAGACAGAUUCUUCCUAUAGAAUGCAACAACAUUGUCAUUUAUCUCUUUCUUGAGACGACUGCAAAUGUCAGUAUCCAUCAAACAACUCUUGAUCCGACCCCAAUUCUUGUCAUUCGCCAAAUGAUUCUGGAGCUAGUUAGAGUAAUCCCCAAGUUUGUACUCCUUAUACCCUCAGUUCGAUAUCACUUGACCCACGCCCUUGUUGGUGACCACGAGCAUGAAUAUGGUGAAGCACAAGAGCCCCAUAAUCAUAAAAAAAUUACAAAUAGGUAUAUCCACAACAGGAAGCUGACCUUGCACGUUGACCCGACCAAUUCGCACAAUGAAACCAUAAACAGAAACGCACCCAACACCAGAAGCGGUGUUUGUAGAAACUUCUGGCAGUGGGUUUCGCCAAGAAUGUGAAAAUAAAUGCCGACGGCCAGGGAGGCGACAACGAUGAGCAUGGUGAGGAUGUUGAGGAUUGCGAUCAAAACGUUGCUAAAAUGCACCAUCUUUUAUGAAUUUCCUAUGUGAUUCUUUUGCGUUUUUGUCACCGAAAUUUUUAGCGAUGCUCCCCUGGAAGAAAAAUCUUUGAUGACUGAUCCCCUAUCAAUGGAAGGGAAGUCCACCUGGUCAUGUGCUCGUCUCCUCCAAGAUCAACAAUGGCGCGGUUGUUUGUGAGGUAUUGUGGGUUGUUCCCUCUUUUACCAUGUGCAUGUAGAUGGAGAAGAAAAAUUUCUGUUGAUAGCGUGUUCCUAGAGAAAAAUCCUUCAUUUCGUUAUACGUGAUGUCCUCUUCUCAUCAAUAUUCUAGUACAUAGUGUUCAUCCAUAAAAUUUCUAAGAGGAAAGUCUGACUUGCUAGUAGUUUAUUCUCUACAUAAAAUCUAUUAGUGUUCCUCCAAAAACCUAAUACUCUCCACCAUUAAUAGACCGACCACUCAUCAAACAUGCCUAUGCACAAUAUGAUUUUCUCUGUAAAUAAUCCUGUUAUUCUCUACCAUUAACAACCUUGCACUCCUUUUCUCCUUAUUUUGGUGGUGCAUGAUGGAUUCGAAUUUCAAUGGUGCGUGUUUAAGAUUUUUGCAGGCGACUCCCAUUGAUAAUACGUGAUAUCAUCUCCUAAUCAAUAGGGUCUUCGUCAACAUGGAUGACUCCCCUCUUUUCUUCUUUCUCCAAUUUUUCCCCCCAAAAAACAAUUCUCAAAUUUUCAAACUCCUCUCAAAACCUUCCAAGGAGAGUCCCACUUUCCUUAAAUUCCAAUGGUAAGUUUCCUUGCAAAAGCAUGAAGUUUAUUAAAUUAAAUAAUUGAAUGAACAAAUAAAUAAGUAAAUAAAUUAGAAAAGAUAAAACAAUAAUAAAUAAAUAAGUUAAUUAAAAAAAUAAGAAAAUAAUAUAAAAAAGAAGAUAACUAAUAAAAAUAAACAAGUGAUUGAUAAUAAUAAUAAUAAAAAUAAAUAAAUAAAUAAAUAAAAACUAAGCCACACAAACCAUGCAACAAUGCAAGUCAUACAAGUCACGCUAAAAAUGUCUAAUAGGACCAGUGUGCCUAAGUGGACCUAGUGAGUCUUAAGGGGCUUAGGGAUGUCCAAAUGGGUCUAAGUAACCUAAAUGAGCCUAAGUGAACCUAGAUGGACCUAAGGUGGUACUUAAUGGGCCAAGUGUACCUAAGUGAGCCUAAGGUGUUUUAGACAGUGCCUAAGUCUAAAUUAGGGCUGCCAAGGGUCAUAAUGAGGUUAAAUAAAUUUCUCAAUCAGAGUUUCCAAAGUGGCUCAUAAAAGAUAAGCUAUAUGAGUAAUAAUGGGCUAGUAGAGAAUUGUUGUAAAGUACUAAAUGAACACAGAAUAGGACAUGUCCUAGAAGGACAAAAUGGAGGGUCUAUAGUGGUGUUGAUGCUAGAAUGGAUAGUAGAAAUACCAGUGCCUCCCAUUGAGACUUCUUUCUUUACUGCUCCAUUUGAGAUAGUUUACCCCCCUAUGCCUUGGAGCCUUGGGGCCUUGGGGCCUUGGAUCCAUGGAGCCUUGGAGCCGUGGAGCUGUGGAGCCUUGGACCUAGUUAUCACUCAUUCAAAAACCCAGUGAUGGAUAUUUUGAACUCCUGUUAUUUCUUCUUUUUAGUUGUAAAAGUAUAAAAAGUGUUAUCUUAUGAAGACUCUCUACGGUCCAUUUUUUUUAAAUGUAGUCUCCACUCAUGUACUUAAACUGAAUGAGUAGGGAUGCCAAGUAAAUCUAUUAGUUUGGAAUGUCGCACAGAUUUGAUCAAACUUCAACAUAUUUAACAUUCGACAAACAAAACAUAACCUAAUACCAAUAAAGAAAAACCGACGACAUAAUUGAGAAGCUAGAUAAGAGAAUCUAUUUUUCAUCAACAACUAAAAAUAAUUAAUUUAACCCUAAAAAUCUUUAGUUUGCUUCAACCUUAAAUAGACUUAACAAGUUUAAGAGUUGUUGUCACUAUGCCGCCCUAAGAAAUAUGAUAUCUUUUGGAGCAAGAUUUCUCAAUAACCCUUCUUUAGCUUGUCACUCAUUUGCUGCAAGGUCUGGUGCCAACUAUAGCUUUUGAGGGUAAUAAUUAGUUCUUGUCCAUCCAAAUACAUUUCCUUGCUAUGCUACCAAGUGCGUGAGUCUUUCCCUAAUGAUAUUGCAAGUUCUUGCAUUCCUCGUAUCUGGCUUCUUGUCUAGAUCAUCUCACAAUAAUGAGAUUGAUCCCAUCUGAAGUGAACUCGAAAAACUCUGUAUAUUAGAUAAUGCGAGCAAUUCAAAUUUAAGACUUUGACAUGAGAUCCAUCCUUUUAGAGACACGAGUCUUGGUAUCUUUUAAAGACAAAUCUCGUUUACUAGUAAAUACAAAAUCUAGACAAAACUCGUCUAUAAGAAAAUACAAAACUUGGUUCAUGAAAAACAUAAGAAUAUAUAUAUUUUUAUUAUUGUUAUUGAUUCUCCACCAAAAACAUUACAUAUGACAUAAUAAAACCCUAUAUAAAUAACUGAAUAUGGAACUAGAGUUUUUUCAAAGACACAACACUUGACAUUUUUUGUGGGAAUCAAGAAGCAAAAGCAUGGUUUAAAUAAUGAUUUCAAGAGAACAAUGAGAAAAUAUUCCAAUGAUAGGGAAUAACAAUUAUUGCAACUUGAGAGAAGAUUGGAUGAGUAACAAAGGGAACAUGAGAAGCGAAUUGAAAGAGCUCUAGUUAGCUUUGAAAACUUGUCAUAGGAAAACUAGAUUCUACAAGUAACAACUAUGAUUGGCAAUACACCCUGAUUCUUGUAUAAUUCGUGGACCCUCAACCUUUUUUUUAUUAGCUACACUCAUUGAAGAGCACACUAGAGCAACCAAGUUGACUUGUAUACCCAAACUAGACUUUAGACCAAAGCAAUCAAUUCCACCACUGAGUGACAAAAGUUUGUAUUUGAACACCGAGUAAGCUAGUGAUAGUUCCACAUGAACCAUUUUGCAUAUCCUAGAUUGCAAGUCAAUUAAUAUAUUUGAAUGAGAUGAUCAAACAUGUAGUAUGACGUUCAAAAUAUUAGAUGACAUGGUUGCAACAACAUAUGUGUUUUGGUAUUUUUUUUCAAUGAUCCUUCCUGAUAAGUGUUGCAAAGAAAGAGAAAGAAAAGAAAAAAGAGAAAUUUACAAAACAAUUUCAUGCCUUACCCUUUCAUUCAAUACUAUGAUAUUUUCAUAUUUAUACAUAGUUUUGACAAUUGUAAAAUAUUCAUUUUCUAACAAACAUAUAACACCUUAACAACUCUAAAUGUUCCCUACUUAUCCUACAUACAACACCUAUUUAGGAGUUUCUUAAAGUGGGUUUCAUGUAACUUUGUUACUGCAUGUGAUCUUCAGUUAAAGACGCUGAAAACAUCCCUUUGACAUGCCCCUUCAAGCUAAAUGUGGACUCUUUUGAAACGGUUGUUAAGGAACCAUUUUCGACUUUGUCUUGGAUGGAUAUGUUAUGCCCCUUCAAAUGUGAAAGAGAGGUUGCAUGAAGUUUGUUGCGAAAAUACUAGUAGUGUUGGACAUGGAGUAGUUUAGUGAUUAUAUUUACCACUUGCUCAAGAGAGGGAACAUGUUGAAUGGAGAGUUGACGUAUGGUUUAAGACCUUUUCAUGAAUGAAAUGAACGCCAAGCUCGAUAUGUUUUGUGUGAGCACGGAACACAGGAUUGUUGGCAAAGGCAAUAACACCAUGGUUAUCACACCACAAUACUGGAGGGUGUGGAGGAGAAAUAUGGAGCUUUUCAAGUAAGGAUUGAACCUAGGUGAGUGCUACUGUUGUAGUUGCAAUACAACGAUAUUUAGUCUUUGUAGAAGAAUGGGAAACUGUGGUUUACUUCUUAGCACUCCAAGUGAUAAGGUUGGACCCCAAGAACACAUAAUAUCCACUAGUUGAUUUGCAGUCAUCAAUAUUGGAAGCCCAAUCUGCAUUAGAGAAUGCUAUUAAUUUGAGAGAAGAAUGUUAGUUAAAGAGGAGUCUAUGAUCAUUGGUGCCUCUUAAGUAACGAAUGAUGCAUUUCACGGCUUUCCAAUAGGGUUCUAGGGGGUGUUGCAUGAAUUGAGAAAACCGGUUGACAACAUAUGUGAUCUUUGGACGAGUAAUGCUGGCGUAUUGAAGGCUGCCAACAAUGCAACAAUAGAGGUAAGGAUCUUCAAAAAGAGUCCCGACAUAUGCUAAAAGAGAGACGUCGUUAACUAUGGAUGUCGGUGUUGGCUUAGCUCCAUCCAUACGAGCUUUUUGAAGGAUUUCAGUGAUGUAUUUGUGUUGUGAUAAAAGAACACCUUGAAGAGUGUUAUUUAGUUCAUGUCCAAGGAAAUAGGAUGGGUUGCCAAGUUUUUUCAAGCCAAACAAAGCUUGUAGUUGAUGGACAAAUUGCUGCACUUAAGUGGGAGAGCUUUCUGUGGUGAGAACAUCAUCCACAUAGAUAAGUAUAUAGAGAGAGUGACUAGCCUCAAACUUAAGGGAAGAAAGCUAUCAACUUUGGAAGAAUGAGAACCAAGUUGAUGUAGUAGCAAGUGGAGACGUUCAAACUAUGCCCUAGGGUCUUGCUUAAGGCCAUACAAAGCACGAUGAAGCUUGCAGACCCAAUGAGGAUGAGUAGUGUUAAUGAAGCCAGGAAGUUAGGUCAUUUAGAUGUUUUCCUUGAAAAUGCCAUUGAGCAAUGCAUUGUUAAAAUCAAGUUGUCUCAUAGCCUAGUUAUUGGAGAUGGUAAGAGUGAGCACCACUUGAAUGGUAGUAGGUUUGAUGACAGGACUAUAGGUAUCAUGAAAAUCGAAACCCGGAACCUGGUGGAACUCUUUGGCCACCAGCCUGGCCUUAUACUUGUUCACAGAACCAUUAGAGUUGUGUUUGUUGGGAACCUUGGAUUACUCCGUUCCCAUGCCUUGGAUUGUGUAGGGUGCAUACAAAUUUAUCAUAAUCUCUCCAAAUCUAUCACAACGGAUAAACAUGUAUUCAAAAUAAUAUAAAUACCAUAGAAAACAUAGAUCUAGAGAAUAAAGCCACAUACAUUUGAUUUAGAUGUUCCCAUAUCAAUUCCAAUUGAUGUAGAUAACUCUAAAGUCAUAAUGGAUCUCGCAAACACCAUGAUCUUCUAUCCGUUGACUUUUCCUUGUGUCUAGCCACUGAGAUAGUAGAGAUCUCAAGGAUGGAGGUUAGGGUUCUCUCUCUAGACUGAAGGGAAGAAUGACAAGAUUUGGAAACCCUAACCCCUAAAGGGUUAUUUAUAGGUUUCCUAUUAGGCUUAUGGGUAACUUAAUCUAGGUUCAAAAGGUUGUUAAUUGAUUAAUUAACCAUACAAGACCUAAUUAAUUAACUAAUCUAGUCCAGAGAUACCAUUCACUUAUCCUUGUGUAACAUUGUGUACAUUUCGCCUAGAUGAGCAUUUCAUCUUGUUGAAGAAUAAUCUUGUAAACAUUUUAAUACGAUUAAUGUAUUCAUUGUCAGCCUAAUAAAAUUAUUUAUUUUUAUUAUUAUUCUUUAUUAAUUGUUAUUGUAAUUUAUUUAUUUAUUAUAUAUUAUUAUUCACUAAUGAUUCAGAUUUUCUUUUCAAUGGGCACAGACAAGUAGGAAGAAAUAGAGAGAGAAACAAGAUGCAACCCGCCAAAGAUGAGAAUCAAGAAAAACUCCUAAGCAAUCCUCUUUCAAGCAAAGAACAAUUAUUUAUUUAUUUAUUAUUAUUAUUAGUAUUAUUUGUUUCCAACAGUGACCUAACAGGCAAGCAUACCUGCCAUGGCAAAGGAAUGAUCACUAAGGACAUAAAAAACAUAGACUUCACACAUACAAAAAAGACAUGCGAUCUUAUGCACUCUAGUUAUGAGUAAGAGAACACAGUUCACCGACUCUGAGACCCCGCUAGUUCCAAGUCUCUAUUUAUUCUUUCGGUUGUAUCCCUUUCUGUUGAGAUAUUAGGAAUGCUUUCCUUAUAUCAUUCUUUCCUUAUAUCAUUUAGUGUUGAGAUAUUAGGAAUGUUUAGAUAUUAGGAAAGUUGAGAUAUUAGGAAUAUUGAGAUACUAGGAAUAUUGAGAUAUUAGGAAUAUUGAGAUAUUAGGAAAGUUGAGAUAUUAGGAUAUUAGUUGUUAUUUCGUUAUAUCAUUCUUUCCUUGUAUCAUUCUUUCCCAUUCUUAGAAUGGUGAUUACCCUCUAUAUAUACUCUGUACAUAAACGAAUGAAAGUAUGAAUGAAAAAAACUACCAUUUAUCAAUUUGAAGAUGGUAUUAGAGCCAUGGAACUGAAAUCUUGGAUAUUUUGUUGCUAUGGUAGUCCGACAGCGAUCAACUAUCCUAAGACAAGCCCUAAUAUUGAUAAGUCAACCUUCAAAUGCACUCACUUCAAUAAGACUGGUCCCACCAGUCUGGAUAUCCCACAAUUUCAAAGCAACGACUCUUGGUAUGACCAGGAAAACAAUAAGGAACUGAGGGUUUGAACCAUGGACCUUUAGAUCAUGUUUAGGCUAUCAACACUUUGUUAUUAAUUAUAAUAAUCGUGAUCAACGGAAAAAGAAUCCCAAGAAAACCUCGACUGCAACUGUUGCCGAAAUAAAAACAGAGGCUAAUGUUGCUGAGAAAGCCUCUACAUUGGUAGCCGCUACUGAUCAUGGUGGUAAGUUUUUAAAUACUUUUACACCUGUUAUUAAUAGUGCAUGGAUAAUUGAUUCUGGUGCUACAAAUCAUAUGACUUUUGAUUCUAGACAGGUUUCACCCCUUAGACCUUCUUCACAAAAAAUUGUUUCCACAGCCAAUGGUAACACAACCCCAAUCAUUGGGGAAGGAUCCUUAACUCUUACUGAUACUUUGAAUUUGGAUUCUGUUUUAGUUGUUCCAUUUUUAGAUUACAAUCUUUUGUCAGUUUCUCAAAUCACUACAGCCUUAUCUUGUAUUGUCAUUUUUUGGCCUGAAUUUUGUGUGAUUAAGGACAUCCAAACAAGACAGACGAUUGGUUGUGGUAUUAAACGGGGAAAACUCUAUUACUUGGACUUGCAAUCAAAGGAUUCAAAUAAGUUGCAACAAGCCUUGAUGGCAGAUGGAUCUGAAGGGGAGAAGAAAAAGUUUGAAAUUUGGUUGUGGCAUCGACGUCUGGGAUAUGCUUCCUUUGGUUAUUUAAAAAAAUUGUUUCCUAGUUUGUUUGCAAAGAGUAAUAUUUCUGGUUUCCGUUGUGAUAUUUGUGAAUUGGCUAAAAACCAUCGUGCUUCGUUUCCAUUAAUUUUGAAUAAAAGUCCGUUUCCUUUUAUGGUUAAACAUUCUGAUGUUUGGGGCCCAUCCAAAGUCCCAACUUUGAGUGGCUCACAUUGGUUUGUUACUUUUAUUGAUGAUUGUACCAGAAUGACAUGGUUAUGCUUGAUGAAGACCAAAGAUGAAGUGAACUUGUUGUUUCAAAAAUUUCAUAAAAUGAUUGAAACUCAGUACAAUGCAAAGGUUCGGGUUCUGCGUAGUGAUAAUGGUGGAGAAUAUCAAAGUUCUAAUCUUCAAAAGUAUUUGGAAGGACAUGACAUCAUUCAUCAGACUACUUGUUCCAAUACACCCCAACAAAAUGGAGUCGUUGAACGAAAAAAUCGACACUUGUUAGAGGUUGUUCGUGCUUCCUUGAUAGCAGCAAAAACACCGAUAUCUUAUUGGGGAGAAGCAAUCACAUCUGCCGCAUACUUGAUCAAUCGGGUACCUUCUAGCUCAAUUAACUUUCAAACACCUCUCCAAGCUCUUACUAAUGUCGUAGUUGCCCCAACCAUCCCAAAUCUACCUCCUCGUGUUUUUGGUUGCAUGGCAUUUGUGCAUCUACACAAGCACCAACGCACCAAGUUAACUUCUCAUGCAUUGCAAUGUGUGUUUGUUGGAUAUGCAUUGCACAAAAAGGGAUAUCGAUGUUACCAUCCUUCAACUCGACAAAUGUAUAUUACAAUGGAUNNNNNNNNNNNNNNNNNNNNNNNNNNNNNNNNNNNNNNNNNNNNNNNNNNNNNNNNNNNNNNNNNNNNNNNNNNNNNNNNNNNNNNNNNNNNNNNNNNNNNNNNNNNNNNNNNNNNNNNNNNNNNNNNNNNNNNNNNNNNNNNNNNNNNNNNNNNNNNNNNNNNNNNNNNNNNNNNNNNNNNNNNNNNNNNNNNNNNNNNNNNNNNNNNNNNNNNNNNNNNNNNNNNNNNNNNNNNNNNNNNNNNNNNNNNNNNNNNNNNNNNNNNNNNNNNNNNNNNNNNNNNNNNNNNNNNNNNNNNNNNNNNNNNNNNNNNNNNNNNNNNNNNNNNNNNNNNNNNNNNNNNNNNNNNNNNNNNNNNNNNNNNNNNNNNNNNNNNNNNNNNNNNNNNNNNNNNNNNNNNNNNNNNNNNNNNNNNNNNNNNNNNNNNNNNNNNNNNNNNNNNNNNNNNNNNNNNNNNNNNNNNNNNNNNNNNNNNNNNNNNNNNNNNNNNNNNNNNNNNNNNNNNNNNNNNNNNNNNNNNNNNNNNNNNNNNNNNNNNNNNNNNNNNNNNNNNNNNNNNNNNNNNNNNNNNNNNNNNNNNNNNNNNNNNNNNNNNNNNNNNNNNNNNNNNNNNNNNNNNNNNNNNNNNNNNNNNNNNNNNNNNNNNNNNNNNNNNNNNNNNNNNNNNNNNNNNNNNNNNNNNNNNNNNNNNNNNNNNNNNNNNNNNNNNNNNNNNNNNNNNNNNNNNNNNNNNNNNNNNNNNNNNNNNNNNNNNNNNNNNNNNNNNNNNNNNNNNNNNNNNNNNNNNNNNNNNNNNNNNNNNNNNNNNNNNNNNNNNNNNNNAUCAAUUAUCUACUGUAUCUAUUCCUAACAGUGUGCAGGAAGCCUUAGCUGAUCCAAGGUGGAAAGCAGCCAUGAAUGAAGAGAUGAAAUCAUUGCAGAAGAAUGAAACAUGGGAACUCGUAGAAUGUCCACCAGAAAAGAAGUCAGUUGGGUGUCGUUGGAUCUAUACUGUGAAGUACAAGGCAGAUGGUAGUAUUGAACGAUUUAAAGCAAGACUGGUAGCAAAAGGGUACACUCAAACUUAUGGAAUUGACUACACAGAGACAUUUGCACCUGUAGCUAAGAUCAACACAAUUCGAGUAUUAUUGUCUUUAGCUGCAAACCUAGAUUGGCCAUUACAACAAUUCGAUGUGAAAAAUGCCUUUCUGCAUGGCGAGUUAUCUGAAGAAGUAUAUAUGGAUCUUCCACCAGGAUGCAUGGUGUCAGAAAAGCAAUGUCAGAAGGUGUGCAAAUUGAAGAAGUCAUUGUAUGGGUUGAAGCAAUCCCCGAGAGCAUGGUUUGGAAGGUUCACAAAGUCAAUGAGAGCUUUUGGCUAUCGUCAAAGUAAUUCAGAUCACACUUUAUUCCUAAAAAAGCAACAUGGUAAGAUUACGGCACUCAUCGUGUAUGUGGAUGACAUGGUAGUUACAGGAAAUGAUCCUGAAGAAAGAAAAGCUCUGCAAAAUUAUCUAUCUAGAGAAUUCGAAAUGNNNNNNNNNNNNNNNNNNNNNNNNNNNNNNNNNNNNNNNNNNNNNNNNNNNNNNNNNNNNNNNNNNNNNNNNNNNNNNNNNNNNNNNNNNNNNNNNNNNNGAAAAGCUCUGCAAAAUUAUCUAUCUAGAGAAUUCGAAAUGAUAUGAUCUAGGUCUUCUGAAAUACUUUCUUGGGAUUGAAGUUUCUCGAUCAAGUAAAGGAAUUUUUCUGUCUCAAAGAAAGUAUGCCUUAGAUCUUUUACAGGAGACUGGAAUGUCGGGAUGUCAACCUGUUAAUACACCGAUAGAAGAAGGUCUGAAAUUGUGUGUUGAACCUAAUCAAGUAUCAACCGAUAAGGGAAGAUACCAGAGACUUGUGGGGAGAUUAAUGUACUUAGCUCAUACAAGAUCAGAUCUUGCUUAUGCAUUGAGUGUAGUGAGUCAAUACAUGCAUAAUCCUGGAGAGCAACAUAUGAAUGCAGUCAUGCGUAUUUUGAGGUAUUUGAAGAAUGCUCCUGGGAAGGGAAUUUUGUUCGCUAAAAAUGUUGAUCAUCAGAGUAUAGAAGUAUAUACUGAUGCUGAUUGGGCCGGUGCAGUGGAUGAUAGGCGAUCUACAUCUGGUUACUUUACCUUUGUAGGUGGUAAUCUUGUGACAUGGAAAAGUAAGAAGCAGAAUGUCGUCGCUCGUUCAAGUGCAGAAGCGGAAUUUAGAGGUAUGACUUUAGGACUUUGUGAGGCAUUAUGGCUAAGACUCCUCUUACAGGAUUUAGGUUACCUAUCUAGGUAACCAAUCCGAUUGUUUUGUGACAAUAAAGCCGCAUGUGACAUUGCUCAUAAUCCAGUACAACAUGAUCGUACAAAGCAUGUCGAGGUGGAUAGAUUCUUCAUUAAGGAAAAGUUGGAUGAUAAGAUUGUGGAAUUGCCUAAGAUUCGAUCAGAAGAUCAAUUGGCCGAUAUCCUUACCAAAGCUGUCUCAAGUCAAGUGUUCUCAAAAUUUUUAGACAAGUUGGGCAUGUGUGACAUCUAUGCACCAACUUGAGGGGAAGUGUUGAGAUAUUAGGAAUGCUUUCCUUAUAUCAUUCUUUCCUUAUAUCAUUUAGUGUUGAGAUAUUUGGAAUGUUUAGAUAUUAGGAAAGUUGAGAUAUUAUGAAUAUUGAGAUAUUAGAAAUAUUGAGAUACUAGGAAUAUUGAGAUACUAGGAAUAUUGAGAUAUUAGGAAAGUUGAGAUAUUAGGAUAUUAGUUGUUAUUUCCUUAUAUCAUUCUUUCCCAUUCUUAGAAUGGUGAUUACCCUCUAUAUAUACUCUGUACAUGAACGAAUGAAAGUAUGAAUGAAAAAAACUACCAUUUAUCAAUUUGAAGACUUUCUUGGUAUGAGCCACGGGAGGGUUCUCCACCUUUGUCGGUAAUGUCAAUGCUGUUGUUGGAGUUUUAAUUUUUUUCCUCAUCUUUAGGUGGUUCCGUAGAGUUCUGAUCAACAACCUCUUUAUUAUUCUCUCCUACUCUAUCUUUCUCUUCCUUUUCUAGUGUCCUUUUUAUCGUCACCAUCAACUCUGCAUCUACAUCUGCAUCAUUGAUUUUCUUUAUAUUACAACAAAGCUUUUAUCAAUGAUGACCCGACUCUAAUCUGAUCCUUGCCAGCAAUUGACUAUUUCAAAACAACAAAUAGGCGUUUGUACAACUAAGAUUCAUCGAUCAAAACAUAGAUUGAGAGGAGAUCCAUACAACUUUUAAAGCAGAAGCUGAAAAGGUAACAAAUAUGUCAACCAUGGAAGCAAACUCUAUUGAAGUGAACAAGUAAAGAUGCACUUGAUAAAAAGUCAUUUUCUAGUCUAGAUUUCUGUAAAAUGGCACUAGGACCUUCUAGAGAGUAUCGGGACACAUUGCAGCCAGGGUAAGAUGAAUUUCGACAAUUUUGCUCUAGAUUCUUGACGACAGCAGUAGGAGUGGCCUUCAGGUAGGAUAAAAUGUUGAACGCUGUGGGGCAACUGAGGAACGUAAUUUGGUGGGAUUUCCACAGCAUGUUAAUGCCAUCUUCAUCCUCAUGUCCUUCAAUUGCUUUGACUACUGUAGUUGCUGUUCGGAAGUCUAGGAUGAAUCAUUCGUAGAGCUUGGUGAGACACCACCAUUAUGUGACGGGGAUAUGGCUUUUUGCUCGGAAAUCCCCACAGAUGGCGCCAAAUGUUCUGGUAUUUUUUUAAUGGUCCUUCCUUAUGAGCCGUUUAAUCUAUUUAUAGCUUUGCUAGUCCUUGACACGUGUAUAUCCUUGGGAGAUGUGUGUGGUAACAAAAAAAUAUUCUCUCUUUGUAACGAGUAUUAGCUCUAACUCUCAUUUUCUCACUAAUACAGCUCCUUGGUUUCGUGAACCUUUUUCCAAUACAAUAUGCUUCUCAGAUUUUGAGAGAAGAGGCUUCACAAUAUUUUUUGAUGCCCAAAUUCAAUAUGUAUGAUGAGAGGAGUAGAUGUAUACGAAGAUUUGAGGUCAUCUAAAUAUAGUGUUGCAACAUCUUGCUGGUGGUGGGUGAGGAAACCAAAUGUGGUUCUAAAGCCGAAAAACCAAUUAAAUAGCAGUCAAUGCAUGACUCCUAUAUGCUUAAUGAAUGAAAACCCCUUGUCAUUGAGGUGUUUGCAGUCUUAUCCUUUGUUUGUUUUAGAUACACAUAAAAAAAUGUUGCUUGAUGCUCAUCUAUCUUCAUAUGAAAUUGAGAUGUUAUUAACUUUACUCCAAACCAAGACGAAAAGUCCAAACAAAACGAAAUGUCUACUAAGGUGAAUUGCCUGAUUAAAGUGAAAUGUUUACCAAUGCUAAAUGCUUAGUUAAGACAAAAUGUUCCACCAAGAUGAAAUGUCCUAUCAAGACGAAAUGUUCCAUUAAAGCAAAAUGAUCAAACAAGUGAAAUGGCCAAUUAAAGCAAAAUAUUCCACUAAGAUGAAAUGUCCACCAAGGCGAUAUGCCUAAUCAAGGUGAAAUGCCUGCCAUUUUCAAAAUGUUCAUUAAUCAAGAUGAAAUGACUCACCAGGACGAAAUCCCUACUUAAGGUCAAAGGCACAACAAAGAAUUUGAGGGAGAUUGUGUACUUUCAAAUUUGAAGUAGACCCAUUUAAAGUCAAAAAGCUCAAAGAAAAAUCAAAUGACCAUCAUAUGCUUCCUAUAGUCAUGCACGCAUUCUGAUCAUGGUUUUCACCUAAAAACAAAAUGUUAAGGCAUUAUAAAAUACUUAAAAGUCACAUAAACCAUCCUUAGAAAGAAUUGUUAAUCAUGAGUUUUGAGAAACUCUAUAAAUAAACUAAAAAUAAAAUAUAAGGAUUGAUUUAGCCCAAAAAUGAAGAUUCGAGUUCUUAACAUAGAAAAAGAGUAAAAGACUUGUAUUCCUAAUAGCAUAAGCUAGACGGUCGUCUAUCUAAGAACACAAAAGUCCAAUGGGUAGGUUUAUCAUUGGUCAUAGUCCUUAUACCAAAUGGUAUCAUAAUGUAGGGAACCCUCUCAGGGGCAAGUAGCUUCACUUGUAGCUAUCAUAAGAUAGCAAGCUUAAUAAUUUUUUUUUUCACCUAUAAACUCUUUAGAGAUGAGCAUAUAGGUGAUAAAAGGAGAGUAAAUAAAGGAACCAAGUUUAGAACUCAUGUUUCCAUGAACACGAGAUGAGGAAGCUCAUCUUCUUUAGUUUGAAGCCUUAAAAUACGAACUUUAGGAUUGAUUUUUAAGUGUCAAAUGCCAUGGAGGAGGCAAUUUGUAUUGGUACGAACAUGAGCAUUAUGUUUGUUCGUUUCGUUUUGAAAAGAACACAAGCUAAACCUUGAGUUCCCAAUGAAAACCAACUUUAUGGUUGAAUGAUGAGACAACAUGUGACAAAAAGUAAUAUUAUAUAAUGAUAAAUCUAUGAUAGAAGAGAGACUUGUUUCUAGUCACAACAAUUGAAAAACUUAAUAAUAUACUAAAAAUUGGUUCGUCUCAAUGGCAAAAAUAGUAAAGAAAUAAAUAAAAGAAAGUCCUCAAAAUGAAGCCUUGAGUUCUUAAAAACAUGAAAAUGAUGUAAAAAAAAAUUAGCUACAUUCUCCUGAUUACGUGGUGUUAUGUAGCAAUGCAUCCACUAAGGGGCAUACAAAAAGAAAACACCUAAAGAUAAAAGGCCUGUUUGGAAAGUGUUCUUGAAAACUGUUUUUUGUUUUCUAGAACAGAAAAACACUUAAAACAUGUUUGGUAAGGAAGAAUGUUUUUGUUCUCCGUGUUUUCCAUGUUCUCAAAACCCUAUUUUCUGAUAACAACUUCAAGUUGUUUUCCCUGUUUUUUGCACCAUUUAGAGGAAAAAAAGGUGGUUGUUCUCCGUGUUUUCAAAAGGGUGUUCUCCUUGUUCUCGUGUCUUCCCUUCUCAGGUUGAUGUUGCUAGGUCUGAAAACGUGUUAGCCUUAACCCUCUAAAAUCAAACCCAAUUUGCUAGUUCUGGGAGUAGAGAAAAAGUAAUUUAAAGGCUUUCCCAUUGAAUUUUUCACCCCUCGAUUGCAGCUACGAUAGCCACGACCACUGCAAUCACAUGGCCUUUGCUUAGCGAUGGCAACAGCGGAGACAUCAUCAUUCACUGGUGCAACACCACCCCCACUGUCGGCAUUGACGGAAGCUGCAACCUUUCGUUGGGUUUGUGGCGAUGCGAUUUCUUGGUUCGUGGGUUUUCGGAAGAUCCAUCUCUGUUUCUCUCUCUUCUACGCAAAACCCAGCAAACACCACUAUUACAUCCAUUUACCCACCAAUUCAAACAGACCAAAAAACAAAAUAAAUUCAAAAUUUUCAACAAGAAAAAAUCUCAAACCUUUUCUUCGUCUUCCUCCCGGUCAUGUUCCUCUCUUCUUUUACCACCUCUCUUAUCAGUCUCUUUGGUAGGAGAUCUGAAAGCUCUUGUUUUUCUAUGUUUUUUUUUUUUUUUUUUUGUGCUUUCUUAACUGCUUUUUAUGUUUCCACAAAGCUGACCUCCACCCAACCACCACACUCCCACCCACCAACCCUUUCUUCUUUCUUAAAUUAUUGAAAUUAAUAUACUUACACAUGGUUACAAAGUCAUCAUUUGUUUAAGAAAAUUAUAACUAGUAUAAAAAUUUCAAAAUAGAAUAUUUUUUUUUAAUUUAAAUAAAUUAUGCAUAUGAAAAUUAUUUACAUAUUUAUAAUAUCAAAUUAAUGGAAGAAAACACUUUAUUAAUUAAAAAAAUAACUUUUAAACAUGUUUUUAUUUAUUCUAAUUUUUUUUAUUAACUCAACCAAACAUGUUUUUUUGUUUUUGAGAACAAAAACUGUUUUUCAAAAUUUAGUUUCUAAACACAAUUUUUUUUUUAAUUCUUUUUUUUGAAAACACAAAAAACUGUUCUAAAAAAUUGUUUUCACAAUAGUUUUCAAAAACAGCAACCAAACAGACCUAAAGUAUUUUUCCAACAUGAAAACUCUUCAAUUGUUGUGUUUAAAAGUGAGAAAAAUGGGGUAAGUGAAGUGUUCAUGGAAAACUUGUAUAUUAGAUGAUGUGAGCUAUUUGAGUUUGAGACUUUAGCAUGAGAUUCGUCAAGACAAAUCUUAUCUACAAGCAAAUACACAACCCAGAUGAAUUUUAUCUACAAGCAAAUGCAAAAUAUAGUCUACGAAAAACGAAAGAAUAUUUUUUUGUUGUCAAUUUUCCACCACAAACAUUACAUGUAACAUAAUAAAACCCUAUAUAAAUAACUGAAUACCGAACUAUAGUUUUUUCAAAAACAAAACACCCACAACUUUGAAUCGAUAUCUCCCUUGAGUGGCUGAGGCAACCUGAAGUAGAGGGCAACCUUUGAUGUCAUUUCUCCCGUAUCCUAGUUUAGAAUUUUCCUUCUUGGCCCCAGUCCUUUUAGGUUGUGCAUUUUAGUCUCAAGCAUAAUAUUUGAUCCUCCUCCAAUGAUGCAUUUGCUUGCUUUGUGGAACGGGGAUUCUAAGCUGGUGGGCUUAGAAUAGGCCAACGACUUCAGAUCUCCCAAUUUUUAAACAAAGCUUGCCGGAAGGCUUCUUUGGCAACACUCUACCCCGGGUUUGGUGCUUGUAUUUCGUACCAACAGUGGUGGUGGUCGACCUUGGGUGCGACGUAGUUGGCUAGAUUCAGCCUAGCGACCCUGCAAUAGCGACUAUCCAAGUUCGUUUUCAACUCACAGUUGCUUCAUACUGGCGGUGGUGCUCCGUCUACUGUGCCUCCAAUUAGACCAUAACCGUCUUUAUCUGUUCCUUAAGGAUGAGGAUUACUCCGCUGCUGCCUGUUGUAUCACCACCUCUGGCCGUCAUGGUCAUGAGGGAAUAGCUUACUGUUUAUCGAUUCCCACACAUGGUGCCGAAUUCCCUACAACACUUCUCUACCUUGUCCCACCUUCAUUGCUCUAGUGUGAAACUGCAUGCCAACUAGCUUUACUUUCAUCCAUGAAUAGCCUGCAGACAAGAUGAUGCCAUGCAGGAGAUCGGGCAGGAACCCCAGUGGAGAGAGCAAAAUAGAGGAAGAAAAAAAGAAAAAAAAGAAAAGAAAAAGACAAAUUGCAUAGAUCUACCUCACAUUGGCUUUUCAAUAUCCAUGAUGCCCAGAAAACUCAAUACUUUUCCCCAAUGUACCUCUAUACAGCUCAAACACCGAUUACUAUGUGAAACAUGAGAUGCUCUAUUUGCCCAUGGAUGACAAAUAAAUUUUAAGGAAACCCAGUUGGAAAGGAGAUUGCUGUCGCAAAAGCACAGAGUUCCAUAGGGUUCCCUCAGUAAUUGGUGGAAAAGUUCCAGUUAAUGGGUUCGAUAUAUAAAUUACCAGAUUAAGACAAUAAUAAUGCAACUGCACAUCAUGAUUCUUCAUUAUUCUUAGCAGUUACAGCAUAGUUAAUCUUUGGUUGAAGACCAUCAUUUUUGACCUAAAAAUCAUGGUUGCAUACCCAAAGACAGGUCCCAUGGUUCAGAGUUUGAAAAUUGUUCCCUUGGUUGAAUGAUUUGAGCUAAAUCCAAUGUUGAUUGGAUCAAGAAGUUUGAACGAAAUACUGAAAAUUCAAACAUUGUGUCUUUAUUUUCAUCUUUGGUGUUUUUAUUGUCAUUAUGAAAAAUUUCCAACUGAGAAAGCAUAGUGCUAGACAAAAGCCUACCCCAGCAAUUUCACAUCCAGGGAAGCACUAAUGGGGAUCAACCACAGGUUUUAUAAAAUGGAAAUCUUUCAUUUUUUAUUUUUUUUGGGUCCAGAGGUAAAGGAGAAUACUGUGCAGCUGAAGUGGCGAAAAGGAUUGGCACUAACUGCAUUUCAAAGGAGUGUUCAAAUGGCCCCUUUGAAACCUAAAGUAAACAAUUUUGGCGUGUUGACUGGUUUGGGUCGUUUAUAUUAGACAUACACGGCAAAUCAAAGUCAAGCUAAUCAAAAGGCUCAUCUUUUCAAUUCAUUGAAUAGGGAAAUAACGACUGUUGAGAAGAAAGAAGAGAGGAAGAUAUGUACAUCUUGGUGUUUUCCUUGCCAUUGAGUCAGUCUUCAUAACAAUAUUAUCUGAUUGUUCCACAAAUACGGCCAAAGGAUCUGAAUAAAACUAGUUCUAAACUCUUCUUUUCCAUUUGUUGGACAGUGUGAUCAGCCUUCGGUCAUUGACGUGGACAAAGUUCUAUGCUUCCCAGAAAGUAUGUCAAUUUCCAUUGACUCCAAUUCUGGAAAUGCAAGAAUUUUCCUUCAUGAAUUGAGGCUUCUGAAUUCUGAGAUUAUUGUUCUAUCUUUAAAUGAUCAGGGGAACAAAGGCAUAGGAAGCACAACUAUCUGAACAUGGUUGUGAUUAUUCUGUUUCUUCUCUUCAUCUCUGAAUUCUCUACAACAACAGGACAACUAGGGAAUUCAAGCAUUACCCUGGGCUCUUCUCUCUCCCCCACUGGCCCCUCGAAUUGGUCUUCACAUUCUGGUCAGUUUGCCUUUGGAUUCUACCAAAAAGGCAAAGGCUACGCUGUUGGCAUCUGGUUUAACAGAAUUUCACGAAGAACAGUCAUAUGGACUGCAAAUCGGGAUGCUGCACCACUCUCCCGAGAUGUUCAACUGAUUUUCACAAGUGACGGCAAGCUCAUCUUGCAACAGAAUCAAGGGGAAAGCAUAUCCAUUGUUGACAGAGAUCUUCCGCCUGCUUCCUCAGCUUCCAUGCUCGAUGAUGGCAAUUUUGUCCUAAAAAAUUCAAGCUCCAGUGUCAUAUGGCAGAGUUUUGAUACUCCAACAGACACCAUUUUACCAGGGCAGCCUCUUUUGGCGGGGCAAAAGCUGGUCUCAAGCGUUUCUGAGACUAAUCACUCGGCUGGAAAAUUUCAACUCAUUAUGCAGAGCGAUGGGAACUUGGUUCAAUACCCGAUAGAUGUUGCAAAACCAGAAACUGCUUACUGGAAUACUUCCACAUUCACUGCUGGAGCGACUGUGAGUCUAAAUCUUGAUGUCAAUGGCAAACUCUACCUGCGGAAUGGAACUGGCUUUAAUAUCAUGAAUCUGUAUGAAGGGAGUCCUUUCUCUACAGGUAUCUACCGUUUGACCAUAGAUGCAGAUGGUAUAUUGCGGUUGUAUUCUAGCAGUUCGGAUCAGAAUGGUGAUUGGACAGUGGAGUGGUCACCAACCACAAAUAGGUGCGUCCCAAGAGGCUUGUGUGGUCUGAAUGGGUACUGUCUUCUUACAAAUCAGAACCCUCAAUGUGUAUGUCUUCCUGGUUUCUAUCUCACGAAGCCGGGUCAGAAUAACUCCGAUUGCGAGAGGAAUGUCAGCAUGAGCAAGAAUGGAGAUAUAGAGUAUAAUAUCAUUGCGUUGGAAGAUAUUACAUGGGAAGACGACCCCUAUUCUGUUCUCUCCAUGACGAGACAGGCUUGCAUAGAGAACUGCUUGAGUGACGGUAACUGCGAAGCCGCACUGUACAAAAACCAGCAGUGCAGAAAACAAACGCUUCCAUUAAGAUUUGGGAGUCAAGAAGGCGGAGUCACAACCUUAUUCAAAGUAGGUAAUUUUAGUUCGGUAGGCAAAGAAAGCAGGAAGGAGCUGCGAAUAAUUGUCAUCCUAAGCACAAGCAUUUCAUUUUUCCUAGCAAUCUCCGGUGUUGUUAUUUACAGGUACGCAUUCAAAAGGGUCUCGAAUCAGGGAAAUGAUAGAUGGGCGGAAGAUGUCGCUCUACGACCAUUCACGUACCAUGAGCUUGAAAAAGCAACAAAUGGGUUCAGGGAUGAAGUGGGGAAAGGAGCUUUUGGAACAGUCUUCAAAGGGGCCAUAUCAAAUGGCAAGACAGUCGCCAUCAAGAGACUCGAGAAGAUGAUGGCAGAAGGCGAAUGGGAAUUCCAAAAUGAGAUGAAAUCAAUUGGGAGAACCCAUCACAAGAAUCUAGUUCGACUGCUGGGCUACUGCCAUGACGGAAGUAAUAGGCUUCUUGUCUACGAAUACAUGACAAAUGGAUCACUUGCAGAUUUCCUCUUCAAGUCCGAAAGAAAGCCAAUAUGGGAGGAAAGAAUUGAAAUAGCCCUGAGUGUAGCCAGAGGCAUCCUCUAUCUGCACGAGGAGUGUGAAACCCAGAUCAUCCACUGCGACAUAAAACCCGAAAACAUUCUAAUGGACGAGAAAGGGUGCGCAAAAAUUGCAGAUUUUGGGUUGGCAAAGCUGCUGAUGCCCAACCAGACCAGGACCUACACAGGAAUAAGAGGAACAAGGGGCUAUGUUGCACCAGAAUGGCACAGGAACUUGCCUAUAACGGUAAAAGCAGAUGUCUACAGCUUCGGGAUCAUGUUGAUGGAAAUCAUUUGCUGUCGAAGGAGCUUAGACAUGGAUGUUUCGGAGAAUGAAGUAGUACUUGUAGACUAUGUGUACGACUGCUUCGAGGCAAGAGAGCUGGACAAGCUGGUGCGCGAUGAAGAGGUGGAUGGGAUGAAACUUCAACGGAUGGUGAAGGUGGGGCUUUGGUGCAUUCAGGACGAGCCAUCGGUUCGCCCUCUGAUGAAGAAGGUGGUGCUUAUGAUGGAAGGGACAGUAGACAUACCAGCUCCUCCUAGAGCUUCCUUUGCUAGUUCCAUGUCUAGAGAGGCUCAUAACUAAAAUGUAAAAACCUAGAUGUACCAAUCUCAACGUCUCAGAUGUAUAAGUUAUGCUUAUUUUUCAAUUAUUUCAUCUGUUCCACAAUGUCUUACACUAAUGUGGUAUAUAAAUGGCCAAAACCUUCCUUAUCAAUUAAACCACUUCAAUGUCUUCAAAAUUUGUGACGAAAAUUUUCAGACCUUCCGAUUUUCAUCCACAUCACUUUUUCUUUAAAAUCACAUUGGAAAAUUUUAGUUAUAUAUAUAUAUAUUUUUUAAAAAAUUUGUUGUAUAUUUUAAAUUGAAUAUUUUUAAAUGUACAAUUCGUGUAUAUUUUUUGGGCUGUAAUUAUAUAUUCGUUAUUUUAGUAAUAAAAGUAACAAAUAUUAUUCAUUUUCAUUUUCGUAAUAUUAAUAUUUUCACGUCAAUUUUUUUUUAAUUGAAAAAAACCCAGUAUUAAUAUUUUUCCCUUCAUUUUUGUGUGCCAUAAAUUUGAAAAUCUAAGCAAGCGCAGAGGAGAGGACAGCUAGGGUUUCAGCAAAAUCCCAAUUCCACCAUCGCAGGUACAUUCUUCUUUCGGGUUUUUUUUUUCUUUUUUUUUUCUUUUUUCCUUUUCAUUACAAAUCUCAACCAUCUCCGUCAACUCAACACCUUCAUUCAUCCCUGUUAUUCUCUUUUUAUAUUUAUUGAUUGAUUUUGAUUGGUCUUACAGAAGACCUGGGAUGGCGGAUAGGUUCUGGAGUAGGCAAUACUUUGGCGUGCCCAAGCGGCCUCGAUCAGACUAUGGUUUCCCCUCUCCUCAUUUUUUUUUUUUUUUUCAGUUUAAUUUGUAUCACUUGAACCUAGAUGAUAUUUGAUUGGAAUUAUGAACUUCAUGCAAUUGAUUUAGGUUUGUUUGUUUUGAUUUGUUUUUGUGUUUAUUACAUUGCACUCUGUUUGUGAUUUUGAAUCUACUGUGUUGAAUUGGGAUUUUCAAUUGAAUGUUGGACUUGAUGCGGUUUCAAGUAUGGGGAAUUUGAAAAUGUUACUGUUGUUUUUGAAUUGUCGUUGAUUUUGAGUCUUUGGAUUUAACUCUUAGUAUGUUGGUGUGUAGAGCAAUCAAACAGUGGAGUUGGAAUUGGGCCCUCCAAGUUCAACCGCUAGCCUGUAAUGGCGGGAAUUGAUAUUUAUGAUGGGUGUGGAGUUCCUAUGUUUGGUUUUGAGUCUAUGUGUUGGACUUAUUGAACUCGAUGUGUUUGGUUGGUACAAAUUUCAUAUUUGUGGACAAAAAUUGUUCUGUUAACAUGUCAGCUUUAGAAAAUUUUAAAAUUUUAUCUUAUUUGUUGAAUUGGUCUUGGGCAAUGUAUGUAUGUGACCUCAACCUAACUCAACCAGCGUAUGGAUUUUCAAAAUUAUUGGUUGGCAAGAUGAACAAUGUUUUCCUUUUCAAUAUAUAUAUAUAUAUCGGUACAGAUAAUCUGUUAAAAUGUAAGCCCAUACUGAUCUUACCAUAACUCAUGUUAUUGUUGCCUUUCUUAUUAGUCACAUUAACACAGACCAUAUAUUUUAUUUUUGCUUAGGUUGGUUGUUGGUUGUAGGUUGUCGUUGCACACUGCCGCAACAUUUCAAGUCUGACCAUAGUGAGCUAGAAUUGUUGGUUAUUCAAUCUUUUUGAAUCAUUGAUUUUAUUGCAAACACCAAAAGGGUUAUUGAUCAAUUAUUUGGUCAUGAAAUAAUUGAUCAUGAUAUAUAUAUACCAAAAGGGUUGUUGAUCAAUUAUCUGGUCAUGAAGUAAUUGAUCAUGAUAUAUAUAUACCAAAAGGGUUAUUGAUCAAUUAUCUGGUCAUGAAGUAAUUGAUCAUGAUAUAUAUAUAUAUAUAUAUAUUUAAAUCAUCAAAUAAUUUAGUGUCCAUUUAGAUACACUUCUUGUUUUUGUUUUUAAAAAUAGAAAGUAGUAAUAACUUAUAUAUAAAAUGUAGAAACUCUUAUACAAAAAGUAUAGGUUUACCGUUUACCUUAUGUCCUUAACAAUUACUUUAACAAAUUUUAAAAUUGUUAAGAGUUUUCGUAUUUUAUAUAGAACUUGCUACCAUUUUCUAUUUUUACGUAUAGCAAAUAGGAAGUAUAUCUAAAUGGACACUUAAUUAUCUGAUUAUAUAAAGUGUUUUUGAAUUUUUGUGGAAUAAGAAGGAAUCAGCUUUAUUGAGGUUCCAAAUCAUGGAUUUAUGUACACAUCUCUGAACUUGAAAUUUGGUGCCUUUUGUAAUUUAAGAUAGGAAAGAUGGCAAUGAUUGUGAGCCUAUGACUACAAAGUUCAGCUCAGCUACUAUCUAUAUAAGUAUAGAUAUGCCAAUAAUGUAUUACUUGAUUUGGUAAAUAUAAUGAUCUAAUGUUUCAUUUGCAUCCCAGAAAUUUCUGUUUUAUGAAAUAAUUUCAUUUUUAUAUGGAUUAGGGAAAAAAUGAAUCAGGUUUGUUGGAAAUCUUCAAGAGUCUUUAUAAACCAAGUGUUAGAAAAAUUAGGCUAAUCCAAUCUAAGGUAAUCACCCUAAAGGGGGGGGGGGGGGUGUGAAUAGGGUGAUUGUCUCUUUUUGAAAAUUUAAAAGUAUGAAUGCAAGAGACAAUUAUAUGAAAAUAUAUAAUAAAACAAUAUAAAAACAAUUACAUAUAAAGUAAAAGUGUAGGGAAGAGAGAAAAUAAACACAAGAUUUUUAUAAUGGUUUGGCGCAACCCGGCCUACAUCCACUCUCCUCUAGCUUCAAUCCUAAGCUUGAGGUUCCACUAAUUUAAGGCUUUCAAACCAAACCUUCAAGCAAUACAAUUGGAUCAUGGUUCCAAUUCACUCUUUUGGGCUUUUGGCUCCAAGCACCCUUUACAAUCCUUAAGAGAUACCCCACUCUUGAACAACCUCUCAAGUAAUACCCCACACUUGAGAAUCCCUAAGUGAUACCUCACACUUAGAUUCUUCCUUUCAAAGAUAUACAAAUAAUUUAACAAAAUCCUAGUACAAAACUUUAGGCUCAAACGAUACAAGAAAACUAGGAUUGUAUGGUGUACUAAUGAUAUGCAACUUUUAGAACAAUGGUGCACUCAAAAGCACUUUCCCAAUGUUCAAAUAUAUUCAAGAAAGGUUUUGGAAGAUUAAGCUCAUGAAAUAAUGAAGAUUGGAGCCUUUUUAUAGAGGAAAAAUGUCAAACUAGCUAUUAGGGGUUCAACUGGUCGAGCUGAGGAUCAACCAGUUGACUAGUCGUUAGCAUUUAAUGUUUGAUAUGUGACCGUUGGACUUCGACCGCCCCUUGACUGGACCUCAACCAAUUGAGGUGGGGGUCAACCGGUUCAACCGGUUGAGUCGUUUUUGACUCAACAACCAACUUUUUAAAUUUAAAACCUCUUAAACAAGUUUGGAAAACAUUUAACGUAAGGUUUUAGUUAAAAAUAUGAAAUCAUCCAAUUUUAAAGGAUUUAAAAAUGAUAAAACUCUUGGAUGAUUUUGGUGCAUAAGUAAAGAAUGUAAUGCAUAAAGAACUUAGUACAUUAACAACCUUACAAGGAGAUUUUAUGAAACUUGGGUCUUGAAAAAUACUUAUCUUUGAGGUCUUCUUCUUCUUCAUGAUUUUUCUUUAGCUUGAUUUGUCUUUAUAAUUGCCACUUUGGAAAUUGUCUUGCCUAAUUACACUUGAAAUAUAAUCAUUAGUUUUAAACCUUGUUUUGUUAUCAUCAAAAUCGAGAUUAACCAAACCUUGGUUUCACACUAAGAUAUGGCCAUUUUGGAUCAUAUUGCCACAGUGGUUUGCGUUUGAACAUAGUUUUAAAAGGUGUGCUUUAAGUGCACCUUGAGCUGUGCCUAGGCUCAAGGCGCAACCACUCCCUAGUUAUAGCUCUUCCUAGCCAAGACAUGCACCUUAUUGAAGAGGCGUGCCUUAUUGACUUUUAUUCUUCUUUUUUAAACACUUUUAUUUUUGAAAAUUUUAAUUGUAUAUUGAAAUUUAUAUAAUUUCAUUACUUUUUUUAUUGAAUGUUUCUUUUAAAUGUUUCGAAUCUUAAAUUUUUUAUUGAUUGCAUUAGAUUUUGAAUCAUAUUUUAUAAAAUUGAUAUGCAUCCUAUGUUGCAUUUCACUUCACUCAAGUGCACGCCCUGUGCUGCACCCUACGCUGAAGCUAUAGGAGACUUUUGCGCCUUAGGCGCACCUUGCACCUUUUAAAACAAUGCGUUUGAAAUACGACUCCUGCCUGCCCGUCUCAACAUUGUUUUCAAUUUAUCUUGGAGAUGGUUGUCCUAUGAAAAUUGAAUAUCUCAUUUAGAUUUACUGUGUUUGAGAGGAGUCCAUUGACUUUUUGGUAGUAAAUUGAUUCUCUGUGGUUUCAUUAGCAGUAAAAAACUUUUAUGAAUUCAAAAUGUGGCUAUUUUCAUUAUUUUUUCCUUUUGGUGUCUAUCGCAUGUGCAGACAACUCUUCUUAAUGUAUUAUGUGCCCUUUAUUAGUUUUCAUUAAGUUUUCUUUUCAAAGAGUGUCUUGCUUUGGGCUUGCUUUUCUUUUUUGUUUUUUUUUUUUCAAUUCUUUUCUACUAAAAGCCAAAGAUGCACAUUAUAUUGCCUCUCUUUUGAUGCAUGAUAUCAGUCAUCAUUACUUUUGUGGGGCAAUUAUCUAGUUAAAUUUCUCACUAAAAGAGAUUGACUCACAAAAGCAAUAAAAUAGCACUUCCCAGGACAGCUCUAUUGGCAGGUGCCCCUGCUUGGAAAGAGCAGGCCCAAGGUUCGAGUUCCCACAGAAAAUAGAUUUUUUUUUUUUUUUUUUUUUGGGUGGACAUGUCCAGUGUGGGUGCUGUUUUUCUCAUUUUUCUAUUAGAUCCCUGAUACUAUUGGAAAAUAUAAAGGUAAUAAACAGUUGGUUAAUAUAGGAAAGUUUAUUGAAUUUACAUUUCAAUUUUGUAUGACUUCCCUGAUUUAAUAGGAAUGCAUUCAGGAAAUAAACAGUUUCGGUAUAGGAGAGUGUAUUUAAUUUACAUCUAUUGUCAGUAUGAAGCACUAAAAGAGAUUAAUUCACGAAAGAAUCUAUAGAAUAGCGCUCCCCCAGACAGCUCAACUGGCUGAUGCUUCUGCUUGGGAGUGAGAGCUCCAAAGUUUGAGUUCCCCUCAGGAAAUAGAUUUUUAUUUUAUUUUUAUUUUUUUUAUGUGGGGAUAUCCAGACUCCAGAAUGGUUGCUUUUUCCCUCAUUUUUAUAUUGGGGUCUUUGAUAUUAUUGGAACAGAUAAGAAAUAAACAGUUGAGUAAUGUAGAUUUUAUUGAAUUUUCAUUCCAAAUUUCUAUGACAUGUCCCUGAUAUUAUUGGAAUGCAUUCGGGAAAUAAACAGUUUGGUAUAGGAGAGUAUAUUAAAAAAUAUAGAGUCUGGAUGAAGCACUAAAUGUCCAGAUGGCUUGAUUGUUUAGUUUUUCCAUUUAUUUAUUUAGUUGAAGCUAUAUUUGGUUUCUGAGAGGAGUCAACAAUUUAGUACGCUAUAAAGUUUGGCAUAAUGAAUAAUUAAUAUAUUAGAACAAAAAUCGCUUUAAUUAUGGUUGGCAUUAUUACACCAAACAAUCAAGUUUAAAAUCUCAAAUUUUUGAUUGGUAUUAUUAUUUUAACUAGAUGAAGAUUGACAAUUGACAAUCCACUAGAAGAAUUGAAUUCAAUCCCUUUAUGAGUAUUCCAUUCUCUCUCUCAUUUAUCAUAGAACUCAAACCAACUAAAAUUGCACUUGAACUUUCUAUUUUACAAUGUUAUCAAAACUGGACCGGUUAUUAAAUUAGAAAAGUUACCGGUUUAGGAUUCAAUGAUCGGACUGGCAGUUAAACCACUAUCUAACCGACGGUUAUCUGCGGUCUAACCUGUGACGUAAUAAAUAUAUAAUUUAUAGAUUAUUAAAAUUAAAAAUAAAAUUAAAAAUUUUAAAAUAUAUAUAAUUAAAUUUUUUAAUAAUAUUUCCUUUUUAUAUUUGAUACGUUAAAUUAAAUGGUAAUGAUAAAUAUAAAUGUACUAAUAUAAUAAAUUUUAUUAAAUAAAAUAUGUAUAAUUUUUAACUAUGAAAACUUAUUUAAGAUGAAAAGAAAACUUUAAUAUUUAAUUUUAUCUCUUAUCUAUUUUAUUAUUUUAAACUUUUAAAAAUUAUUAUAUUAUUUUCAUACUUAUCAUUGUAAAAAUAAUUGUGAAUGUAAAUAUUUAUAUUUGUUAAAUAGCCCUAAAUGAUACAAAUUUGAAAAAAAACAUCAAUAAUUUAUAUAUUUUAUUUUAUUGAAACAUUUAAUAAGUUCGUUGCAUAAACCAGUGGUACAAUCACUGUGUUUUUUAUCCAAGAUUCAUGGUUCAAGCCCCCAACAUGCAAAGAAGUUUCUUUUCCUUAUAAUAUUAUAAGCAAUCCCACAUCGGAAGUCUACAAACUAUAUUUCCUGUACAAAUACCUUGUUUAUCGUUGAAGUUACAAACAUAUUGUUGGGCUGGAGCUGGGACAGACAUUCGGUUGGCUCUUGCUGGAAGGCACAUUGGGCCAGAAAUGAGGGGGGUCCAUUAUGAUUUUGGUCAAAUUAACCUUGACUGGUUCAAGGGAAACCGGAUGGUUAGUCCGGUUCAAUGGCCGUACUGUUGUUUUGGAUGGUUUAACACCGGUCCAAUGAAGGAGUAGUUCAAUCCAGUUAACUGGAUUGGAGAGGCCGCCAGUUGACAUUCCUACCGGUUGAACCGGAUGGUUUGGUUCGGUAUUUAAAACAUUACUAUUUUAUGCCUAUCAGCACUCUUUUGGAACUUUUUACCAUAAUUGUUGAAGGACUACUUUUGUAUCAUCAAUCCAACUAUUGUUUCAAUCAUAUUUGUUAAAGGGGGCUCUUAGGCAUGCAAAGGCCCAAGGUGCAAUGACUCCCUAGCUAGGGUGCAGUGCCUGCCAAGGUGCGACCUUUGUUGAAGAGGCACCCUUUGUCUAUUUUCUUUUUUCUUUUUUUCCCUUCAAACUUACUGCAAAACAACAUCGUUUUGGCUCCCUUUUUUUGAACUGAAUUGGGGAGGACAAAACAAUGUUGUUUUGCUCUCUUUUUCGGGAAAUAUUGAAGGCAAAUAUGUUUAUGCUUGUGACAUUGUGUUGACAGAUGUCAAUGCUAAAUAGUGUUAUAUUCUUCUCCAAUUUGUUAGUUUAUUAGCACCUAAACCCUCUUGAACAUCCAUUUUGGUUUUUGUUUUCUGUUUUCUUAUGCUUCUAUUCUUAAAUUUUUUACUCUAUUGAAAUUUUGCAUUGUUGCAUUACUUUUUGUUGGAUGCUUCUUUUAAAUGUUUGAAAUCUUGAUUUUUUUGUUACUUGGAUUGGAUUUUGGAUCAUAUUUGGUGACACACACACACACACACACACACACACACAAGUUUAAACAAUAUUUUAAAAUUGCACAUAUGCCCUUGGUUGUUAUGCAGCUUAUGCCUCACUUUGCUCAUGUGCACACAUUAGGUUGCAACUUGUGCCUAGGCCCCGAGGGAUCUUUGCACCUCAAGAAUGCCUUAUGCCUAUCAGAACUAUGGUUUCGACUAGUUGAAGUUGAUUGUCAAUUGAAUAUUUGUACAUGGUGUCCAAACCUCUUGAUUAAGUUUUUUACCCCACUUAUUACCUUUGAGUUAACUUGAAACCAUUCAAAAUGCAUUUAUAACCUCAAAUCCAUGUUUGAUAGACCUUGGUUGCAAAUGUUUGAACCCUAAUUUUCGUACUUAUUAAGCUGUAAUCAUAAAAAAAAAAAAAAGUCCUGAAACUAUAACUCGGUUUCUUGUUAUACAUCUAAAGCAUGGUCUAACCAUUAAAAUUUCUUUUAAAGCCUUAAAUUUGCAUUUGGUAAACCCUCCUUCCAAAUGUUUUUGUGUUUGGAAAAGAUUCAAAGGGAUUUCUAUGGGGAGGAGGAACUCUUGAUAAAAAGCCUCAUGUCGUGAAUUGGUCAAAAGUCAAUAUGUCAAAGAAGAAAGGAGAGGUGGACACUUGUGAUCUCUUUGUUUUGAACAAGGCUCUCCUAAGCAAGUGUUGUUAGAGGUUUGUGUUAGAAGUCUUUUUGGAAGCAAGUUAUUAUAGGGAGGUUUGUGAAAGAAGGAGGAUGUUACUCUAUGGAGGUGAGGAAGGGGUAUGGUGUAGGGCCGUGGAAGGCAACAAGGAUAGGGUGAGGAGUGUUCAAAACUAAGAUUUCGUUAUGUUGUGGGCAAUGGAAGGAAGGUAAAGUUUUGGAAGGACACAUGAUGUGGGGUAACUUCUUUGAGGGUCUCUUUUCCCGUAGUUGUAUGCUAUAAUUACCUUAUAGGAUGCUUGAGUAGUUGAUGUUUGAGAGUAGGCUAACAAAGGUUGGCAUUGGACUUUGUGUUUCUCAAAACAUUUACACGAGCGGGAGUUGGAUGGUGUUGCAAUUUUCUUUCUAAGAUUGUGAGGAAAAUCAAUAAGAAGGGAUGCUAAAGAUGGGGCAAUGUGGAUAGCCUUGAAGAGAGGCAACUUUUCAUUCAAGUCCUAUUAUUUGGUUUGGAUCAUGGGAGACCAAAAUAUUUUUUGGUGGAUGUUAUCUAGAAUUCAUGGGUUCCAACAAAACUAAGCUUUUUUUCUUGGGAACCAGUUUGAAUUACGGAUAAUUUAAAGAAUGGAGGAUGAAUUUUGGUGAAUAGAUGUUUUUGAACACAGAAUAGAAGGAAAAAUAAUUUAUGAUUAGUUUUUUUUUUUUAAAUUGAAAAAUUACAGAUAAAUAAAUAAAUAGGCUAAGUUUGCAGCUUUACCAUGUAACUGACUACCAAGAAACUAGGAACUAACAAGCACAAGGAUCUAAUUAGCAGAAUACCUAGAUAUCUUAACUUGAUUAGUAAUCAGUUUGGAUUUAUUGGAAACAAAUAACAGAAAAACAUAGCAACAAACUCUUAAUAAUUUAACACUCCCCCUCAAGUUGGAGCAUAGAUAUUCACCAUGCCUAACUUGCUAACAAGAGUUUCAAACCUAGGCCUGGAUAGACUCUAGGUUAAGACAUCAGCUAUCUGUUGUUUUGUGGUAAUGAACGACAUGCAAAUAACUUUACUUCCAAGUUUUUCUUUGAUAAAAUGCCUAUCAAUUUCAACAUACUUCAUACGAUCAUGUUGAACAUGAUUGUUUAUAAUGCUGAUUGCAGUCUUGUUAUCACAAAAGAGCUUCAUAGGAGGUUCUCAACUCAACUUUGGUUUAUCAAAAAUUCUCUUCAGCCAUAAAAUCUCACUUACUCCACUAGCCAUAGCCCUAAACUCGGCCUCUACACUACUAUGAGCUAUAACGCUUUGUUUCUUGCUCCUACAUGUAAUAAGAUUCCCCAAAAGGGAAGUACAAUAACCCAAUGUGGAUCUUCUAUCUGUAACUGAACCAGCCCGAUCAACAUCUGUGAAAACUUCCACAUUUCUUUGGUUACCUUUUUUGAACAAAAGUCCUCUUCCUGGUGUACUUUUCAGGUAUCUUAUAAUUUGGUACACAACUUCAAAGUGUUCUUCAUAUGGUGAAUGCAUAAAUUGGCUCACAACACUAACUGCAAAUCCGACGUCAGGUCUUGUGUGGAAAAGAUAAAUUAGCUUCCCUACUAGUUGUUGAUACCUUCCUACUUCAACAAACACUCCCUCGGUUUGUUCUCCAAGUUUGUGAUUUUGCUCCAAUUGGAGUAUCACUUGGCUUGCACCUGCUCAUUCCUGUUUCUUCAAGUGGAUCUAAAACAUACUUUCUUUGUGAAAUAAAGAUCCCGUUUUUUAGAUCUAGCAAAUUCCAUUCCCAAGAAAUACCGUAAAGACCCCAAAUCUUUAAUUUCAAACUCUGCUGCAAGGCUCCUCUUUAAUCUAGCUAUCUCAAUGUCAUUAGUUCCAGUAAGAAUGAUGUCAUCCACAUAGAUGAUCAAAAUAGCUGUCUUACUAUCUCCAAAAUGCUUUAUGAACAAGGUAUGAUCAGUUUGCUAGUGACUGUGGCUUUGAUUCUUAACAGACCUUGUAAAUCUUUUGAACCGUGCCCUAGGAGAUUGCUUUAGGCCAUAUAGUGACUUCUUUAAUUUGCUCACUUUGGUUCCAAAGCUGUCCUCAAAUCCUAGUGGAGCAUCCAUAAAGACCUCUUCUUCUAAUUCAUCAUUAAGGAAUACAUUCUUGACAUUUAACUAAUGUAGGGGCCAUUCUAAGUUUACAACCAAUGCUGUAUUUAGCUUUGCAAUUGGAGCAAAGGUCUCCUGAUAAUCAAUCAAUCCCAUAAGUUUGUGUAAAACCUUUCGCGACCAACCUAACUUUAUAACAUUCGAAGGACCCAUUUAUACCCCACCGGUGUCUUUCCUUCAAGCAAGUUUACUUUUUCCCAUGUGCCAUUUUUCUUAAGAGCCUUCAUCUCCUUGAAGACAACCUCUCUCGAUUCAGGAACAUUUAGAGCUUCCUGUAUAUUUUUAGCUUCAUCCAUACUAGAUAGUUGUGAGAUAAAACCUAAAAAUAUACAGGAAGCUCUAAAAUAUGAACCUAAAAAUAUACAAUAAGGUUACUGAUUUUUAUAGGACACAUGAUUGGAAAUUGGAUGCUUAGUGCAUGUUCUAGUAGCUUUUCUUUGAGCAAUGGGAAUAUUGAUAGAGAAAUCAGUUUUUGGUUUAGAAGUGACACAAAUCAAGAGAAGUACCUGGACUUGAAGUUUCUAUAGCAUUCGGAUCUGGUCUCAGAUUGGACUCUUAGCCUUGUAAAGUUGUAAUAGCAUCUUUCCCUUGAGUUAGAUUUUUCCUUGAGUAGACAAUUUCACAUCCGCCUUUUUUCCUAGUUCCUGGAUCAUUUUCUGUUCUAGUAUGGACUCCACUUAUGGGCAUUGAAAUAGGCUGUCUUACUUCUAAAUGUAAAGCAUCCAAGUCCAUUAAAACAUUCGGAUUCACUAUAAAAAUCAGAAUUUAACAAUUUUGAUUUUUUAUCAGAAACCAUGCCAGAAGUUUAAAAUUCUGAUUUUUUUAUUAGAAACCAUGUCAUUCCCCUCCAAUUCAAGUAAUGAGCCUUCAUAACCAUUCUCCCAAUGAAGAGGAGUAUUAAAAAAAUUGAGCUUAGAAAAAUGUGACUUCCAUAGUAACAAUACUUUUUUUAUUUUUGGAUUAAAACAAUGGUACCCUUUUUGUGUUGGAGAAUAUCCAACAAAAACACAUUUCAAUGCUUGUGGGUCUAACUUACUACAAUGAUGAUUAUGCACAUGUACAAAAGCAACACAAUUGAAAAUUUUAAGAGGUAAAGCAGAAAUUAGACAUGACAUUGGAAAACCCUCUUUAAACAUUUUAUUGGUGUAUUAAAAUUCAAAGUUCUUGAGGGCAUUUUGUUGAUCAAAUAAAUGGCAAUAAGAAUAGCUUCUCCCCACAAGUAUUUAGGUAUUUUAAUUGUAAACAUUAAAAAUCUAGCUACUUCUAAAAUAUGUUUAUUUUUCUUUUCCGCCACUCUAUUUUGCUGUGAAGUAUCAAAACAAGAGCUUUGAUGUAUAAUCUCAUUUUCCAAGAAAUAUGUGCCCAAUAUUUUGUUGAAAUACUCCUUUCCAUUGUCACUUCUAAACGCCUGUAUUUUUUCUUGAAACUGAGUUUCUACCGUAGUGUAAAACUUUUUAAAAAUUUGUUCAACAUCUGAAUUUUCUUUGGGCAAAUAAACCCAACAAACACAUGUAUAAUUAUCAGUUAGCAUUAAGAACCAUUUUUUUUUCUAGAAAUUGUUGGAACUUUAUAUCGACCCAAACAUCACUAUGAACAAGAGUAAAGGGUUUAGAAGACUUGUAAGGUUGCAUAAGGAAUGAUGCACGAUAAUGUUUUGGAAUUUGACAAAUAUCACAAUGAAAACAAGAGGAAUUUUUAUUUUUGAAUAAAUUUGGAAACAAAUACUUCAAAUAUUGAAAGUUAGGGUGGCCUAACCUAAAAUGCCAUAACAUUAUUUCAUUGCUACUAGAUUCAAAAAAUGAUUUAAGACUAGUUAUUUGAGUCUUAUGAGUUUGUCCACACAAGUUACUUCCAUCUUCAAAGUAGCAAAGUCCAUCACUUUCUUUAGCAUUGCUAAUCGUCCUACCCAAGUCCAUUUCCUAAAAUUCAUAGUGAGUAAAGAAGAACCACAUUUUAAGUCACGAGUGAGCUUGCUAACCAAUAAUAGAUUACAAGAAAUAUUUGGAACAUGAAGGACAAGAGAUUUUGAAGUAGCUAUUGAUCCUUUCCCAACAAUUGUUGAAAGAGAACCAUAAGCUAUCUUGAUUUUUUGAUUUCCUACAUAUGGACUAUAGGAGGAAAAUGAUUUAAAACACCCGAUCAUAUGAUCAAUUGCGUCUGAAUCUAUGAUCCAUGGACAACUAGAAGUAGCAAGUACAUUAAAUGUAACAACUUAACAGUAGUUGCCUUUUUGGGCCAAAGAACAAGAGGAAGACACAUUAUUUGAGAAUUUUGUGGAUUGAUAAAGUGUAUAUAGUUAAUCUAUUCCUUACUGAAAGAAGACAUCUCUGCGGCUCCUCCCAAGCCACUACACUCCUCAGCUACUUGAAAUGCCUUUGGAUCAUGGUUUGUUUGACUGAAUGAUCUCGGUUUUCAGUUUUGUGUUUUCCAUGUAACUCCCAGCAUGUUUCUCUAGUGUGUUGAGGCUUAUGGCAGUGAUCACACUAGAUCUUGUCACUUCUUCAAUUUUGCUGUGGUUGUCCAGGUUGAGCAGAUUGAUUGUUUCUUGUUACUAGGGCAGGAACUUCAAUUGUAAGCUGACUAUUUUCUCCCAUUAUCAUCUUUCUUUAACCCUCUUCUCUCCUUAAUUUAGAAAACACAUCACUAAGAGAUGGUAGUGGUUUUUUGCCAAGAAUUCUACCUCUAACCUCAUCUAGGUCUUUGUUUAGUCUUGCUAAGGACACAUACACUUUGUAAUUCUCCAUUCUUUUUAUAUACCUUACACUAUCCUUUGUGCAGUCCCAUACUUCAUUAUAGCAUAGGUCAAACUCCUGCUAUAGUGCUUUCAUCUCAUUAUAAUACUCUGUUACCUCUUGAUUUUCUUGAUUUGAAUGGCACAACUUUGUUUUUAGUUUGAAAAUCUGGAAUGAGUUUUCCAGGUCUGAAUAUGUCUCUUGAAUGGCUUCCCAGACUUCUUUUGUAAUAGGGAGAACCAGAUAUGUCAUACCAAUUGCUGGCUCCAUGGAAUUGACAAGCCAUGCAAUCACUAACGAGUUCUCAGACCUCCAAGUCUUCAAUGUUGGAUCAUUGUCUGCUAGUUUUGUUGUCUUGCCUAUCAGGUGACCUAGCUUUCCCUUGCCAUCGAUCAUAAGCUUGAUUGACUGCGCCCAUUCUAGGUAAUUUUUACCGUUCGGUUUGUGAACGAUCAAUUGAAGAGAUGGAUUUUCAACUUCAUUAAGGGUUACAGUAGAAACUGGAGGUGUACCUGUACUAGCAACACUUGUGGAUGUUGUAGUCCUUUGCCCAGUCAUGGCUGUUCUCGCUAUCACGAUUUCCCAAAAAACAACCUAUGCUCUGAUACCAUGAAUGUAGAAUAGGAGGAAAAAUAGUUUUUGGUUAGUUUUUUUUUCAACUAGAAAAUUACUGAUAAAUAAAUAAAUAGGCUAAAUCUACAGCUUAACCAUGUAAUUAAAUACCAAGAAUCCUGGAACCAACAGGCACAACUUUAGGACCUAAACUAACAAGCACAACUCUAGGACCUAACUAUCAGUAUACCUAGAUAGCUCAACCUGAUUAGUAAUCAGUUUGGAUGUAUUGGAAACAAAUAACAGAAAAACAUAGCAACAAACUCCUAAUAAUUCAACAAUUUUAUAUGUAAAGGUGAGGAGGAAUCUGGUGAGCACAAACCCCUUCAUUGUACUAAGGGAAGAAUUUUAUGGUAGUUUGGUCUUCUCCUUGUUUGGAAUUGCAUAUAUGCUACAUUCAUUAGUUAAAACAACAUUACUAAGCUGGCAUGGACAUUUCGCUGGGAAGAAGAGGAAGAAAGCUUGUAAAGUUGCUCCUUUGUGUUUGUCUUGGACUAUUUGAGAAGUGAGAAAUAGGAGGGUUUUUGAUAAUGCUGAGUUAUUGGAUCUAGAGUUCAAAUCAUCUUUUAUGUGUAAUUUUUUGGAGUGGGUCAAAGGGGGUUUAAAGGAUGGAUCCAUGUCUAUGGUUGAUUUUAUUCUCUCUUCUUGUUCUUUGCCUUGUAGUGCACUUGUAUGUGCCGUGUGUACUUUGUGUGCCUUUUUUUCAUGCCUUUUAAUAUGUUACUUUCUUUCCUAUAUAUAAAAAAAGGGUUUUAAGCCAUACUGCUUGUAUUUUUUAAAGUUUGUAACUUGGUUUCUUUUCUAGCUAUCAAAAAUUUGACCUGUCAUUUUAAGAUAUUACAUUUAUAACUGCUGUGUUUAUUACUGUAGCCUAGGUUUCGUAUCUCUUUCACUAGUCCUAUGCUGUUCUCUUUAUUUAAAUGGGAAUAGAGGUAUCCCAACUGUGUUUUAGACCAUGUUCAAUCACACUCCCUAUUCUAAAUGCCUUUCCUUGCUCAACUGUGUUAGACAAUAUCAAUAAAAAAUUUGAAGUAUUGAGUUUGCUUCAUAUACGCGUCUAGUGCAAGACAUAUUAUAAGAAGUGAAACUGAAUCCUUCUUGCUGUUGAAGACUUUUGGAAUUCCUUUCAGCUAUUCCUGCUUGGAUGACUGCAUCACCAUGCUAAAUAAAAUGAAACAUAAGUACAAAAUUUACUCCUUUAUUUUCGACAUUUGCAGAUCUCCCAUAUUCUGGAUUGCCUUCAGGCAAUGAGGUCCAUAAUUAUUUAGUUCAAGGUGAUGAUCUUGGUGGCCCCCGAUCUGUAAAGGACUCAAAGACUGUUGGAUUGGCAUAUGACCAAUAUUUCCAGGAUGUUUGUGCUCUUAAACCUGAGCCUAUGUUCAUUUUAAUCAGACAUGUAACUAAUCUACCUAUUGGUGUGCUAAAGCAUUCAUCCUAUUGCUUUUGAAGCAGAUUCCUUCUUUUACUUCUGGAGCAGCUAGUGAUUUUCGUGGGGUUGGGUUAGGAACAGCAACUGGUGAAGCAAUAUCUGGUCUUUCAAUUUCUGGUCCUGCUGUUAUGGAUCAUUUGGAGGCCCUGGAUUCUGAUCUACCACCAAGUGGUCAAGGCAGGCGUUUUGGUCAUCAGCUGGAUGCAAUUAUCAGACCAAGCCGGGAAACGGCUCCUCUACCUCCUGAUGCAUCCAGCACUCUUUAUGUUGAGGGGCUUCCUCCUGACAGCACAAGGAGGGAAGUAGCUCGUAUCCUUCAAGAUGUUAUAACAUUGCCAAGGAAUUAUUGUGAUUCAUGUUUUUUUCAUCCCAUUCUUUCAAUCUAAACCCUCCUGCUGCUAUUUGUUGACAUUCCUUUACCCAAUCCUAGAUAUUUUUCGCCCAUUUGUGGGGUAUAAAGAAGUAAGACUCGUGAGCAAAGAAUCCAAGCAUGUAAGUUACUUGUAAUAAACACUCCACUGUCCUAGGCCCACUUGGCUAGUCAGUUUUCGUUACAUCACUGUGAUUCUCUUCUUCAUACUGUUUUGCAGCGUGGUAGAGAUCCUCUUGUCCUUUGUUUCGUGGAUUUUACAAGCCCAGCCUGUGCUGCAACUGCAUUGAGUGCUUUGCAAGGUGAUCAUUUUCCCAAUUCAUCCUUGAUGAAUAAAUUUUCCAACAGUUUCUGCCACUGGAAGGGAAAUCUCUGUCAUUGUAGUGUACUGUGUGUGUAUAUGAAGAUGGUAGGGCAAUAUAUAUAUAUAUGUAUGUAUGUAUAUGUAUAUAUGAAGAUGUAUGGUGAUCACAAUUGUUAUUAUGCAUUCUCUGCUUUAUAGGAAUGUUCUUUAUUAUUCUUGAUUUUAGUUGGCCUUGUAUUUAUGCAAUCAUUUUUAAGCUUUUGCUGCCUAUUAAAGAUGUAGAUGAGAACUAUUAUUUGGGCCAGAGAAACAAUUCUCAUAUUUGCUUGUGUUGUCUGAUAAAGAAUGCUAUUCAAAGGGAGUUGUGAUUAUAAUAACCAAUGUUAAUCAUGAUACUCCUAGGAAGCUGUUCUACCUCACCUGUAAGGGGUAGAAAAUCUGGAAGGGCAGGGGGUUCAAUGCUUACUGUUGAGGAAAAAAUGGAUUAGGGUAUCUCUUAAGGGGAACCUACCAAGAUGUAGAUUUAAAUGGUGUUAGGUUGAUUCAUUUGCUUAUGCUACUGGUGUCUAGCAAUGUCCUGAAUUAAUUGUUCGAUUCCACAGGUUAUAAGAUCAGCGAACAUGAUCGUGAUUCUGCCCAAAUGAGAUUGCAGUUUUCUCAGUACCCAGAUCCAAGGUCUGGCUCUGGAUCCCGUGGGAAGCGCAAAACAAGCUUCAAGAGAGGGCGCCCAAGCAGAAUGAAGUCUCAUGUACUUGUAUGUACUUUUAUAUAUUUUUUCAUAGAUUGUUCUUUGGCAAAUUAUAAACAUAGCUGUAUUGUGCAAUCUAGAUUGUUCAAUCCUGCCCACACACUAUAUCUUCUACGAUGGCUUUGCUUUAGUUUCUUUGGUCAGUUCAUACAAUAUUUAGAGAUUAAUUUUCUAUUUUGAGAAGUUCUUAUAUUUCCAACCAUAAGUGCCAAUAAUUUCGUUAUAAAAAUCGAGAAGAUUCCACUAUUAAAAAACUAUCAAAUAAAAGAAAAAAAUAAAAAAAAAAAGUUGACAAUGAUUGAUGGACUAGAUAGGAGAAGAGAAUAAAUGAGAGAAGAACACGUACAGAGUUGCAGAGAAGGAAGAUAGAGAACUUAGCAUUUAUUUCAAUGAGAUCCCAACCCUAUGAAACUCCAACAUUUUUUUUUAAAGGAAUUAAAUUUUUUUUAAAUUCUUCAACUAUAUCCUUUGAAUCCUUUCUCUCAAUGAAUUUUGUUCAAACCUCUCUUAUUCUAAACGCUUUGUAGGCAGGUUUCACCUAGGGAAGUGCAAGUCUUCUUUUUUUAUAUGAAUGGAUGAUUGAUGAGAACGUAAUCAGAUCGAUUUUUAUUCUUUUUAAUUGGAUGUCUUGUUGGAAGUCUUCUAUUUCCCUCCCUUUUAUAUAUGUAUAUACAUAUUUGUUUAAAAAAGGGAUUAAAAGUUAAAGAGAAACAAAAGACAACAUUGAUUUGUUUUUCAGACAGAAGAUACAAUAGGAUUUGUUUUUCAGACAGAAGAUGCAAUAGGUUUCGUGUUGUAAGCUAUUGUGGAAGAGGAAUCCGGUUUUGCAUGGAAUUUGCUGAGAUUUGGGCUUUGAAUUUCCAGAUGAUCAUGAUUUUGCUUUCAUUUCAUAAAAAUUGAUCAGGAUUUUUUUGUUGAAAGCUGCAGUAGUUUAUAUUUUUUACUAUAAUCCUUUUUCAGUUGAUGCUGAUUUUCAUUAAGAGAUUUUAUAUGGCUUAAAUAAUUGAUUUUUUUUUUUUCCUAUUCUUUCUGUAGCGCUGAAGAAGACGUAGAGAUGUGAAGUUUGCAUCAUUUAUUUGGUAGUGAAUAGAAGGCUAAUGGAUAAUAAUUGGAAACAGUCUGGGAAUUCCAAACCAUAUGCAAUCAGAGCUGUUGAUGGAGGAUGGCUCGAGUUAAAACACAGAAUAGUUUUGGGCUUUACAUGAUAUAGUUUACUUCAUAGGACAAGUUUCCGCAGCCAUUAGAAUGGCUGACCAAGGUUUUGUUGAGCAUCACCAAUCCAAAGUUACAUAUGUUUUCUUUUUUUGUGAAACUGGCUCCUAUAUAUGUAGGAUCCAUUCAUGCCAGUAAUCCAUUGUAGUGAACAGGUACCUAUUAAAAUCCUCCUCCUCCUCCUCUGACAUGGAACCAAGAAAAAUCAGAACCCUAAACUUACUGGGUGUGUUUGAAUCCUUUGCAUCAAACUCUAUAUUUUCUGUUAAAGCCUAUGUGAAACCAGUGAAAAUGUGACCUUUGCCAUUAAGGUUGUGAUGAUACAUUCAUUGGAAUGUAACGUCGAUAGCGACGAAUUCCGAAUUCGGAUUCCCAAAUGACAACAAUGUCUUUGGUGUCGAAGCAGAUGGUGACAUUAUACAAGCUGUCCCACCUCAUUAGUCUUCACAGAAUGGUGAUCCUAACUGCAUCUGAUUUUUCUUCAGUGUUUGGUGGUGGAAUUGACGUGCCUAUACAUCUCCAUUAGUCAACCACAGAUCGCUACAUGUCUGUUAUGCAAUCCACCUUUCAUACAUUUCCUAUUACAACUAUAUGCUACUACUAGGAAUAUAUAUAUACACACACAAUGUCUGCCAGCCAGACCCAUAUAAUCUGAGCAUCUUAUAUUUUAUGUCUACUAUAAUUAUAGUUAGAUCGGUCCUGAUACCGCCUCUUGGGGAGUAUUGACCUUAAAAAACAAAGGGAUACUACUUGGUGUCAGCUGGAUUGGGCAUUUCUAUAUCUCAUAUGGUCAUGGAUGGCUGCGAGUUGUUACUAUGGGUUUCAUAUUCACGUUAGGUUCAGAGUUUGGACUUCUAAGGACCGUGCUGUAGAUAAAUUAUUACGAAAAGAUGGGUUGAUUCAGACUCAUUGGACUGUUGCUAAUCAGCUUGAAGCUAUCACAUAUAGGCAGCAUGCCCAUAUUCAAGUAACUUAGAUGGGGAUGGGGUUAAAUUGAUUCAAUAGCCAUGCUAUUUUUUAUGAACUCUUUUAAUUUUUACUAGUAUUUAUAAAAAUUGUAACAUAUUUCUGUUAUUAUUACUGAUAGGUCCAUUUAUUAACUGAUGGGCUCCCUGCUCAAAUAUUCUCCUUUCAUAAAUACUAAAUAGUGAAUAAAUGCGCCUUAGACAUAAACAAAAAUAUAACGAGGGGCUGUGAUUGACAGUGAUGAUUACCCAACUGCAAGAAUUUCAAAGAAUUAAACAGAAUAGUAGGUAAGAGGAGAGAGGUACAGCACUAAGUGAGUAGUGAGUAGUGAGUAGUGAGAAGUAAGUGGUAACAACUGGAAUGUUGAUUUGUACUUUUUAUACUCGAAUUGGAUAUGCCUAAAGCCACUUUUACUUUACGUUUCACCUUUCUUUAUCUCAACCUAAUCUUUCCGUACCCAAAUGAUGGUAGUAGGUGAUUCAUGCAGAAAGGACAGCAGGACUGGCAUCCAUGACGUGUUUUAGGUUUCACUGUUUCACUGUUUGACUUUUUUUUUUUUUUUUUAAAUUUCAAUUUCUACUCUUCACAAUAUUUAUUCUUUCUAUUAUUUUUUUCGAAGUAUUGUACUUUUAAGCCACAUGAACGUAUAAAUUUUGAAAAAGCUUUGUUAAAGUGCUUUGAUCCUUUCUUUCUUGUAGGGCUUGCCUAACUAUUGAUUCAAUUUUUGUUUUGAAAUUUUAUUAAACAUAUGAUUAAAUAAGGUACUAUUUUGGUUGCUAGAAACAGUUUUCUAUUUUAAAAAUUUAAAAAAACAAUUUUAAAUUUUUUUAGAAAUGUUUUCAAAUAAACCUCAAAUUGUUUUUUUUUUUUUCUUGUUUCCCCGAACGAAUGAACGGCUUGAUUUACAAUAAUGAUUUAUACCUCAAAUAUUAUGCAAAGAAAUUACAUACCCUUCAUAUUUAUCCUUUUUUUUAUUUGGGAAAUAAGGAAGAAUUUAUUAGAUUCAAAUGGAAGCUAUAAAGCCAUGUAAAAUGUGAACAAAGUCGAAGAGAAACCACUCCGGUUAAGAGGGAAAGAGACGGGAGAUAGUGGCCGUGGGUGUGAAGUCGGGCCGCCUGGUACCUGCACCCUAAAAAAACCAUGGAAAAUUUAGGUGAGAAAGACAAAAAUUCAAAUUUCUCUAGUAUAUACGACUAUACGAGGAGGAAGACUUUCUCUGUGAAUGAUUGCAUAAAAAAACACGACCUUUUUACUUUAUUCCUUUGCUGAGCUUGCAUGCACACCUUCUCUCUCUCUCUCUCUCUCUUCAUUUUCAUAUCUAGAAAAUAGAACCGGUCCCCACAGCCAAGCCAAUUUCUUCCUACUCAUAUCUUAAUGAGUGGUCCAUUCUCUUUUUAAAAGGAGAUGACCAAUUCAAACCCAAAUUCAUUUACAAAUGCUACAAGUGUUUUUAAAGUAAUUUUUUCACUGAUUGGGUGAGGUGUGAAUCUGUGAGAGGGUAAAAACCUAAGCUAUAUUAAGGGUGGAGAAGGCCUGGUUCAGAGCAGAACACAACCCCCCAUUUCUGUACUGAAAAUGGGAAGAGGAGGAAGGGGGCCUUCAAUGGCCUCUCUCAUUGCCACUCUUCUGGUGGUUACCAUUUCCCUAAGCUUGCCUUCUGAAACCUCUGCAAACUACCAUUACUCAUCUCCUCCACCGCCUUACUACUACAAGUCCCCACCUCCCCCUCCACCUGUUUACAAGUAUAAGUCUCCGCCACCACCUCCUCCGGUCUACUCCCCACCACACCACCCACCAUACAAGUACAAGUCUCCACCACCGCCGCCGCCGGUUUACAAGUACAAAUCUCCACCCCCACCUCCUCCGGUCUACUCCCCACCACACCACCCACCUUACAAGUACAAGUCUCCACCACCACCGCCGCCGGUCUACUCCCCACCACACCACCCACCUUACAAGUACAAGUCUCCACCCCCACCUCCUCCGGUCUACUCCCCACCACACCACCCACCUUACAAGUACAAGUCUCCACCCCCACCUCCUCCAGUCUACUCCCCACCACACCACCCGCCUUACAAGUAUAAGUCUCCUCCGCCACCGCCACCGGUUUACAAAUACAAGUCCCCACCACCACCGCACAAGAAGCCAUACAAGUAUAAGUCACCUCCUCCUCCACCGUACAAGUACAAGUCCCCACCACCACCACCCAAGAAGCCAUACAUGUACCACUCUCCACCACCACCACCAUAUAAGUACAAGUCUCCACCACCACCUCCUCCGGUCUACAAGUACAAGUCCCCACCACCACCACCCAAGAAGCCAUACAUGUACCACUCUCCACCACCACCACCAUAUAAGUACAAGUCUCCACCACCUCCUCCUCCUGUCUACUAGUACAAUUGCCCACCUCCUCCUCCGCCCAAGAAGUCAUACNNNNNNNNNNNNNNNNNNNNNNNNNNNNNNNNNNNNNNNNNNNNNNNNNNNNNNNNNNNNNNNNNNNNNNNNNNNNNNNNNNNNNNNNNNNNNNNNNNNNAGCUUCAAUUCUACUGCAUUUUAAUUAUAUUUCACCAGAUUCAAAGACCUGAUAAAGAAAAUGGACUAAUGACACAAGCUUUAUGUACUAUAUAUUGCAGUUUGGAAAGCAGAACUGAGAAGAAUCUCAAAAUAAAGAAAAGGGGGCUUGCUGCAGAGCUUUUACAAAGAAGGAAAGCGAGUCUCUGCGUUUGAUUGAUGUUAUCUUGUGUUAAAUAGAAAAGUAAUAAACUAGGGGUCCAGCAUUAUCAUCAUGUAUUCAUCAAAGUUGCCGUCGCACUGGUCCAUAUAUUUUUGCGUGUUUAGACGAAUCGUGUGUCUACGUAGAUUUCAACCUUUUUGGCGAAUGCUGAGGUUGAUUUUAUAAUAAGAUCAUCAAUAUCUUUCUCAAAUUAAUUCUCUCUCUGCCCCCUGUGUGAACUCUCUCUCCCUUCAUACGCAAGCUCACGUUUGAACAGAUUCGUAUACAAAAUGUUAAUUAUCUUUUAUGUACAUUAAAAUUUUUUGUGAACUAAUCAAAGAAAAUGUUAAAAAAGAAUAGCGUAACAAAUUUGCAAUUAUCAAAUUUGAUUUUCUCUCUCAACAAGAGGGAAAAUUAAUCUGCCAUACAUUUCACGUGGUACCUUAUCUUCUUUUCCUUUUUCCCCUUUAUUUUUGUUUGAUACUGUCUUGAUAUGUCUUUUUCACUGGGUGUGCAUCUAAUUCAUUAGCAUGUGUAUAAUUAUUCAACACCUAACCCUAAUGGUAAUGGGUCUGGUGUAUUUCAUUUUCUCCUAAUUUCCAUCUUAAAAAGGAAACAUGUUGACAAGAAGAAAAUAUGAGCUUCUGUAAAUUCUUUAUUCACCAUUUCAUGUCUGACUCUUUUUACAGCCAUAAAUAGAAACUUCCAAAUGUUUAAAAAUAAGAAAUGUUGACUUCAUUUUUCAGUUUUUUUUUUCUUCUCGCUUGUUUGAUAACUAUAUUUGAAAAUAAUUUUGAAAAUUAAUUUUUGAGAAUGAUUUUUAAAAAUUGUUUUUUGAUUUUUGUAAAACAAAAGUCUAUUUUGAAACUUAAAAUAUUUUGACUUGUUUUUAAUAUUUUUAAAUUUGUUUUAAAAAUAAUUUUUAUAUCUAAAUGUUUGUAUAAUUAUUUCUUAAAAGAGCUUUAAAAAAAUAAAUAAAAAUAAUAUAAAAUAAUUAAAAGAUGUUAUUUGAAAAUAUUCUAUUUUUUGUUCUUAGAAUAAAAAAAAUAGAAAAUAAUUUUUUGUUGUCAAAUGUAUUUCUAUGUUUUUUGUUUUAAAAAACAGAAAACAGUUCUAAAAAUGGGUUCCCAAACAGGACCAAGUAAUUCAGGAUUUACUUGGCCGACAGUAGGAAUAAAUGUCUCCGGUGAAUUGUCUAUUUUAAAUAAAAAAAAGAAAAGAAAAGGGAAUUAGAAUCUAAACAUGAAUCUUAGAUAGCUAGGUAGCAGAGGGGAAAUUGGUAAAUAAGAUUUUUUGUGGUAACAUAUGUGUUUGUUUUAUUAGCCGAGUGAUGUAAUGAGGACAAUAAUAAGGUGAUCUUGUUUGGAAAAUGGACCACCCAUGUCAGCUAGUAAAUGGUUCGAGUAAUGCUAGCUGGAAUGCCUUACACCUCCCUGUAUAUUAUUAUUUAUUUAUUCAUAUGUAAUUUAAACCAUAAUAUUAGUUUAAUUAAAAAAUCAUAAUCCUCCAUCUAAUGAUAAUAAAAUAUAUAAUUAAUGAUGCUGCCGGCAGGCAGCCGCAUGGUGAAGGAAUACAUUAUGGUGAAGCUGCUAGGGUGUAUUUGGUAACUACUUUCAAAAGUAGUUCUAAAAAAUAGUUUUUGAAAGUUAUUAUCUAACAUUUUGUAUAACAAAAAUCUAUUUAAGAAUUUAAAAUGUUUUUAAUUUAUUUUUAAUAUUUUUAAAUAUGUUUUAUUUUUUUUUUAUAUCUAGUACUUUAUUUUUAACAAUUCUAUAUGAUAUAAUUAUUUUCUAAAAUAAUCUUCAGAAAAUAAGUGAAAGUAAUUAAAAAGAUAUUAUUUAAAAAUAUAAUAUUUUUUGUUCUUAAAAAUAAAAAAUAGAAAUAAUUUCCGAUUAUCAAACGUGUUCUAUUGGUUUUUUUGUUCUGAAAAAUAGAAAGCCGUUUUUAAAAACAGAUAUUAAAUAAACCCUAAUUGUGUAAAUGUUAAAAAAAUAUAUGGAAAAAAUUUAGAAAAAAUUUGAAAUUUUCUCAAAGUAAUUAAAUAGAGCUUACGAUUUUGUCAAUGAUACAAAGAGGUAGGUAGUUAAGUAGGAGAAACUACAUUUUCAAGGCUUAUCAUUUUCUUUUUUAUUAGUCGUACGUUUAUUAAUUACUAUAUGAACUAGUCAAUUAAUUAAUUAGAUAAAUUUUGAAACUCUCACAAAGAAAUAUAUAGGAAUGGAAGUCUUUAUCUUUGAAAAAUUGCACCAGGAAGCCUAGAUGGAAUGGCGACACUACUACUUUAUUCUUUAGCUUGCAGCUUCCAUCGAUCACCCCGAUGCACCAAGUCAAUUUCAUCCAACUCAAAUUUCUUUCUUAAUUUAUAUAAAUUUUUUUUCUUAACAAAAAUUAAUCAUAAAAUGACCCAUUCAAACAUAGCAAUGAUUUUUAUUUUUUUUUUACUAGUAGAAAUUAAUGUUUGGGUGUUUUGGAGUGAUUUUACUACGAUGAAUUGAAGUGUUAGAAAGGUAAAUGAGUAAGCUAUAUAAAGGGUGGAGGUGGUGGCCUUAAAGCAUAGCUCAGUCAAAUUUCCUUUUUGUAGUAAAGAAUGGGAAGUGGAGGGAAGGGAGCGAAGGGGUCUUCAAUGGCUUCUCUCUUUGCCACUCUUGUAAUGGUGAUUGUGUAUCUCAGUUUGCCAUCUGGAACCUCUGCUGAUGAAUACGAGUACAAAUCCCCACCACCCUACAAAUACAAGUCUCCACCACCACCUCCUCCCGUUUACAAGUACAAAUCCCCACCACCUCCUCCUCCAGUGCACUCUCCACCCCCACCACCACCACCUUACAAGUAUAAGUCUCCGCCACCACCCCCACCAGUUUACAAGUACAAAUCCCCACCACCACCAUCACCACCUUACAAAUACAAGUCUCCACCACCACCACCUUACAAGUACAAGUCUCCACCACCACCACCUUACAAGUACAAGUCUCCACCACCUCCUCCACCAGUUUACAAGUACAAAUCCCCACCACCACCAGUUUACAAGUACAAAUCCCCACCCCCACCACCUUACAUGUACAAAUCCCCGCCACCACCUCCUCCAGUUUACAAGUACAAGUCUCCUCCACCACCACCUCCCAAAUACUACUACUCUUCACCCCCUCCCCCUCCCCCUCACCACUACUAGAGUGGUUCUGCUGCAUGCAAUCAUUAAGGUGGGCUUCAUAUUUUCUACUUUUUCCAUAAAUUCCAUUUCUGAAUUCUGCAUUGUUUUAUGUUAAUCCAUAGGUUUUGCAGUGGCAAAAACCUGACAUAGAAGUUGUUGCAGGUUGGAAGUUGGAACGAAGAAGAAGACGAAUAUCAAAAAUAAAUAAAAGGAAGGGUUGCUGCUCUCCAUGUUUGAUUCAUGUUGUAAUCUUAGACACGAAUAAUAAAGCAGUUGGCCUGCAUUUUCAUGCAUUCACAUGGCUGAAUUGCAGUUACACUGCUUCAUGUACUUUAGUGUUCUCCGUGUUAGAGAAAUAGUAUUUGAUAUUUAUACGUGUAGAUUUCAACCUUUUUGCAUUGCCGGGUUGACUUUAUAAUAAAAUAAAUUUCUCAAAUUCUCUUUCCAGUUUUACUUUUAUCUCUUUUUAGUCUUUACUUUCAUUAGGGGCCCAACUAUUCAAUGCCUAAUAUGAACAGGAGAAGUUGGGAGUAUUUUUUGUAUGUCCUUGGGAAAUAUGUUUAACUUUUCAAUAGAUUUUGAGGGUUUGUUUGGAACAUUUUAAAAAAAUCGUUUUUGAGAAUAACUCGAUCUUAAAAACAAUUUUUAAUUAUUUGAAUCGAAUUAAACUUAAAUAUGGAAAAUAAUUUUAUUAAAGUGUUAAAUAUUUACGUACCAUAUAAAAGUUUAUAAAGUAUUAUUUAUAUUUUCAAUUAUUACUUAAAAAUAUUUACAAAGAAAACAAUAAAAAAAAUGAAAAAAAAAACUUAUAAGAACAAAUUCUUCAAAACUUAGGCCCCAUUUGGUCAUAAUUUUUAAAACUUGUUUCUAAAAAUUAUUUUUUAUUUUUUGAUUUAAAAAGAGUUUUUAAAAAAUAUGAUCGAACAAGUUCAUGUUUUCUUUUUGCUUUUAAAAAUUGGUGAAAACAAUUCUUAUUUAUUUUCUAAAAAUUAUUGUAUAUUUCACUUUAUUUUUACAAAUUAUUUUUAGAGAACAAAAAUCAAAAUAGUAUUAGAAAUUUUUAAAAAUAAAAAAUUAUUUUAAAUCACACUGGCAAACCAAGUUCUAUAUUUUUGUAAAAAAAAUAAUAAUAAUAAUUCUUCCAUAUAUCUAAAUUGAAAAUAUUAAUUACAACAACACUUGAAAACUCUUCCCACAAUUUUCAUGAUCUUGAUAAGUUUGGAAGAUGAGGCACAAAUAGAAAAAAUAAAAUAAAAUACUCUAAGCAAUAUUCCAUCCAAUCAUCAUCUAACAUUGGUUACCAAAAUAAUAAUUAAAAAGUAAUAACAAAAACAUAUUGCCAAUAGGAAUAUGACUAGCUAUGUGAAGAAGAAAUUGCAGACAAGCAUUUGAAGAAUUCAUAUGCAAGUCAGGCAGUAGCUGUACGCAUAGUAUUGGACCCUCCUUUCCAGAUGAUGCUAAGCAUCGGUCCUUUUUGGAAACCAAGAGUUUCUAGUAUGAUGUCAUGCACGACUCCUCCAUCUUCAAUUACUAAUCUGUUAUACUAAACCCAUCCGUAUACUCUAAGUUUAAUAUAUUAUACUAUAGUACGUCUGAUCUAGUUAAUGAUUACACAUAUGUAAUAAUAAUGUUGCUGCAGCAGGAGCAGGAGCAGGGUCAUGACUCAUAAAGGAAUACAUACAACAGGAAGGAGACAAAACUGAAGUAACUGACCCAUUUAUUUGAAUUUUAAUACUAUAUUAAAAAAUUUAUAUUUAUAUAUAUAUAUAUAUAUAUAUUAAAUAAUACCCAUUACACCUAAACCAUAUAAUAUAAUAAUUAUAAAAAAAAACAAGCCAGUUAGGUAACUGUUUGACCGAGCGAUAGUAUUAUUAUAACUUUAGACCCAUGCAUGCAUGAAAGCUACGAAGAUAUGAGUGGAUGAGGAGAGUCAAACAAUGGAAAGGAGGUGGGUUUGGUAACGAUGGUGAAGGAAGCAUAAAAUGAGGAGGUGAUCGGAUACAGUGGCUCGACGGUCCACCACCAGACAUGGUCUGGAAUCUCAAUAAAAUGGUGGUGGGGGCCUUGUCUUGAUGACUCAUGAAAGUGAAACCCUAGGGCUCCUAUUCAUUUACAAGAUUUGGUUGAAAAGUCUGAGUGAAGGAAAGCAAGCGUUCAAUGCCGUUCCACCUACUCAGAUACGAAUUCUGUCACCACAUUUAUAAUAUUAUCCUCCUUUCUGCAUCGAGACAAGAACAAGUAGAUAGAGGAACCUUCAUUGGAGUGACAAUUACUUCAUAUGAGAGUGACAAUUCCUUCUAAAAUUAUAGGAAAUGUUUGUUUGUUUGUUUUUAUUUUUUAUUUUUUUAAAAAAAAUAGGCUGUUAAAAAUUAUUUUUUAAAACAAUUUUUAAGAAUAUUUUUUAAAAAAACUUUAUCUGAUCACUGUAAAAUAAAAUUCUAUUAUAUUUUAAAAAUAAUUAUUACAUAUAACACUUUAUUUUUAAUUAUUUCUCAUACUUACUUAAUUAUUUAAAAAAAAUUCAAAAAAUUAAUUAGGAGAUGUUUUUCUAUUCUUUUUUAAAGCAAAAAAUUGUUUUAAAUUUAAAAAAUAAUUAUCAAACAUAUAUACUCUUAUUUUAUAAAGUCAUUCUUCUACCGAUAACCCUUAAUUAAUUAUAUUAAGGAAGAACAAAUAAAUUAAAAUCUUAUUAUUUAUGUCCAAACUUGAACCAGGUCAAUCCAUUUGUUUCUAGAUUGAAGUGGAAAAAUUCAAUCUACUAGAAGUACCGGGUGGAGUUGCUGCCAAGAUUUCAUAGGUCAUUUACAUAUUAAGUCAUGCAUUAAAGGAUUGAAUAGUAAGAACCCUUCAAGUGGGCCUGUCUUUCUCUUGACUGAGUUGGGCAUGGAAAAUAACAAAGCACAAAAAGAGGACAUUAUGGUAGCUAGAAAACUAGGUCUCCGUGCAGAUUGAAUUGGUCUACUUUAAUCUUCACCUAAAAAAGCAGACCAGGAAAAGUAAAAGAGAAGAGAUCAAUGGAAACCCUCCCAGCACGGCUAAAAAUAAAGAGAUGGACCAAAUCAAUCUCACUGACCCACCCUUCAACCCCACUUGCAUUUAAAACUGCCCCAUUUUUCAUAUGUUUUGGCAAAAUUCUCACCUACAACACCACAAAAUUCUUGUUUUUUUCUUUUUUGGCAUUUUCUUGAAGAUUUCUAGGCCUGGAACACGAACUUCAAAAUGGGUUUAAGGACCCUUGUCGUUAAUUUUACGGAACAUACCUUAUCAUAUGGGCCCUUUUUUUCAACAUUAUAGACCUUGCAAGAUUAGGGCUAUAAUAAGGCAUAUUUGUGUCCCAUCAUUUUUUUUUUAAGCUUUUAAAAAUUUUCAAAAUUACUUAAAAAUAAUUCAUGAAAAAUCAUUUAAUAAUCAAUUUUUUUUUUAGAAAAAAAUUGGAAAUUAAAAACAUUGUAAUUAAAUUACUCACAAACGAGCUCUAGUCAUGUGAUGUGUCUAACUUUAUUAUUAUUAUUUUCUUUCUUUUAUUUCUUAACCAUGACUAGUGGGUUUUGAACGUUGAAAAACUGCAAUAAAUAGAGGCACGUGCUCUAACGUGGAACUGAUCUGCAAGUGAAAGGCCUCCAUCCAUGAACAUGGACCGACUCUUGGUAGAUGCGGUGGGUUACAUUUUAUAUCGUUUUCGCGUGGGAAGGUUGUAUGUGAUUCUUCGAACGGUGCUUCUUUAAUUUUCUUUUCAACCUCCACACCUCCCAAUCCAUCUUAAUCGCUUUAUUUCUUUAUAAAAUUUCAAAUCAUCAUCAUGGAAUUUUUUUUUCUUUUUUUCUUUCAAAGAAUUAGAUUGAUGAAGAAUUAGUUUUCAUGUUUGAUUUCAUUAUAAUAAUAAAAAUAAAAUAUAAUUAAAAUUUAUAUAUAUAUAUUCAUAUUAAAAAAUUAAAAUAAACGAAAUAAGCUUAAAUAAAUCUCAUAUAUAUAUAUAAAAAAAUCUAAAAUAAAUUUAAUUUAUUUUAUUGUUAUCCAGACGUUUGAACAGACACAUACUUCCAUGGAUAUGCGAAGACUUGAUCACUUGGAUAUAAAAGAAAAUAUAUAAGAUCCUAAAGUUUUAAUUUUUGCCUCAUGGUGAGGCAAGCUUUGAUAUGCGUGAUGUAGUAAUACCCUUGUGGGAGUUCCCUACAUGCACACUUGUGUUUUAAAACUUAUCAAAUAUUAAAAAAAUUAAUGAAUGGAGAUGCUUUCAUUAAUUUGACUUAUAAGGUCUAUGAUAUAAAUUAUUUAAUUAAUUAAUUAAUUAAUUAUUAGAUUACAAGGAAAACCGAGGAAAAACUUAGAAUUUAGUGUCGGUUGUGAUUAUUUUUUAAGAUAAGUUUUAAUAUUCUCAUAUUUUAUAUUUUAUGUCAAAGUUAUUAACUAUUUUUGCUUUUAAAAAAAUAAAAAUGAAAGAAAAUAUAUUUUUAUUUUUAUAAAUUAUUAUUUUGUUAAGCAUACCCUGAUUGACGUGCAAUAGAAGACUAAUGUAAAUAAUAUCGGUCUAUACAUCUAAAUUCAACAAUACAAUCAUGUACAAAAACUUUACUAUCGUAAUUGUUUAUAUCCACCUAAAACUCCAAUGUUUUAUUUGGUAAUUGUUUUUUAAAACUGUUCUUUAAUGUUUUGUAAAAUAAAAGUUUUUUUAUUUUUAAUUUAUUUUAAAUAUUUUUAAAUAUGUUUUAAAAAUAAUUUUUAUAUUUAAUGUUUUAUUUUUAGGGAGAAUUAUGUUUUGGGGGUAGAUGAGCCCCCAAAUUAAUAAAAGGUUCAUGUAACUCUUCAAAUUGAGUCUAAGACCCAAUGAAAGUAUGGAAAUUGAGUUGAAGGAUAUCAUCCUUCAGUAUUUCCAAAAAUGCCCUUUAUUGAUUUUGAGAAAAAAAUUAAUAUUUUUGAAAAAUACUUUUAUUUAAUUUAAUAUUUUUGAUUUAAUGUAAUAUUUUUUAAAAAUGCUUUUAUGUAAUUUAAUAUUUUUUAAAAUACUUUUAUUUAAUUUAAUUUUUUUAAAAAUAAAUUUAUUUAAUUUAAUUUUUUUUAAAUACUUUAAUUUAAUUUAAUAUUUUUGAAAAAAAAUUAAUUUAAUAUUUUUGAAAAAAAAUUAUUUAAUUUAAUAUUUUUGAAAACUAUUUUUAUUUAAUUUAGUAUUUUUGAAAAAAAAAUUAUUGAAAAAAAAUUAUUUAACUUAAUUUUACAAAAUAUUUUAUAUGUGUUCUUAAAGGGUAUAUUUGUCCAUUACUAUUUCAUAUCCUUCCACUCAAUUUGAAGAGUUAUAUGGAUCUUUUGUUAAUUUGGGGGCCCAUCUACCCCCAAAACAUAAUUCUCCCUUAUUUUUAAUCAUUUUACAUGUUUGUAUAAUUAUUAUUUUUAAAAUAACCAUAAAAAAUGAAAACAACUAAAAAAUAUUAUUUAAAAAUACCUUAUUUUCUAUUCUUAAAAAUAGAAAUCAGAAAAUAAUUUUUAAUUUUUAAACGUGUUUUUUGUUUUUUUUUUUUUAAGAAUAGAAAACUGUUAUAAAAAUUAGUUACCAAUCAAGCCCCAACAUUUCAGAAAAUAAAAAUGAACCUAUUCCUUAGUUAAAUUUAGAUUUCAAAUUUUUUUAAAAGAACCUAAAAAUAAAGAAAAAAAAUUAUUACUUCAAAUUUGUUUAAUUUAAAUUAUAUUUAAUUCUUUUCAUAUUUUUUUAUGAUAAAAUCAAACAUAAAAAAUUUGUUUUUCUUUAAUAUGUUUUUUGCUUUUUGUAAUACUUUUCUUUUUUUUAACCAAACAUAACUCUAGUAAGUUAUAUGGGUAGCAACAUCAACAUGUCACUCUACCAUUUGAAAUUUCAUUAAUGUUCCUCUUAAUUAUUUUUUUCAUUGUUUAGUAAGGCAACAUGGCCAACAAAUUCAAUCCAAAGUGAAUUGAAUGGUAUGCAAUUUUGGGACGCCGGCAUGGUAAAAUGUGUUUAAUAUUAGUGAUAAAGAUGGAUAACUAGUUAUAACUGUUAGGUAUAGGCCAAUAAAUCGACACAAGCUAUGUCAUUUGUGGACAUCUCAAAGUCAUGGAUUUGAAUCUUAUGGUAAAAGCUAAAAUUAAAAUAAGUGCCAGUCAAUUCUCAUCCCAUUCAUCCAAUUAUUAUUGUCCAUUUCUUAUUUAAUCAAUAUGAUUAGAAUGAUUUCACCCUCAUCAAUCAAUAUUUUAAUCUUUCAGUUAAUUUUGAGAUAUCAUAUGAUUGAUUCGAGAUUAUAAUUUUUUUUUUAUUUUUUUUUAAUGAUGGUCAUAUAUGGGUGGAUGAGACUUGAGACAGCUAAUAUUUUAUUUAUUUUAAUCCAUGUUGUUUUUAAAAAUUCAUUGAUUAAGGUCACCAAAUCAAAAUUUGGGGUGGGCCACAAGUACUCGAGUCAACAACCCCACCAAACUAAACCAUUGGUGUUGAAAAAUUCAUGAAAAUUCUGAAAUGGCCAAAUAUUUUUAGGGAUUCUAUGGAGGAUUAUGCUCAUGGAUAUUCUCAAAGAUAAUAAUGUGGAUUAAUGUAGUUUUCAACAUAUAUCUAAAUUUAUUUUGGAUUUUUGCUUAAUUUGAAUUUGUUUGGUUAAAAUACCAAAACUACGUGGGUACAUUAAUACCACUUUUUGUAUGACACCGACAAGAUUAAUUUCAAUGAUUAUGGUCUAAAUAUUGUAUUUGAAAACAAUUGAAGUAGUACACAUUUCGUUAUGCUAAUAAUUUAUGUUUUAAAACCAUAGUAUUCAUCAACUAAUCCAUUUCUUUUGGAAACAUAAAGAUGUGCACUGGCACGUGGAUGAUGAUGAUGUUAGAUUUGCCUAACUUGAUCAAGAUUCAAAUGAUUUAGGUUGAAUAUUGAAAAAGCAGCAUUUGAAUAUGACUGCCAGAGUAAACAACUUCAAACUUCAUGAGAUGAUGUUAUUCUAACAAUUUUGGAGCUCUAUUGUUUUAAGAGUCAUAGUAAACUGGAAACCAUUGAAGAAUAUCACAUUGCUCUCCUUUUUCCUUAUUUAUAUUCCAAGUAUCCUCACCUCUGAUUAGCCCAUUCUUGAAGUCAACAAUGGCUGCUCCUGGAAACCAAAGAGCGGCUAUUUAUCGAAGGUAUCAAAUGUCCACCAGAUACGGGAGAUGGCCAUUGCCAUGCUAAUGUUGCAUUCAACCUUAAAUUAUGAAUCUACAAUUAGCCUUUCCUUCUGCAAUAUUUUCUAUUCAUAUUUAUUGUAUUAAAUCUUGAUCAAUACAUUUGAAGAAAGCUUUUUCAAUUACCAUUGUUAUUUCAUGAUGGAGAGCGAUUUGGACAAUUUUCUAAAUGGGAAGAGGGGAUGAAGGUGGUAUGGGAAGGUGUCCAUGUUCAUUGGAUGAAUGAAUAUGUGUUGUGAAGGUAUCUUAGUUCAUUGGAUGAAUGUGUUCCAUGAAGGUAUCCAAAUCCAUCAUGAUUUGAGGGAAAUUGGAAAAGAAGAAUAAACUCAAUAAACAAAACAUGUUGAGAUGAGAAAAUCUUACAGUUAUAACAGUUAUGUAUUUGUUGAAUACCCUAAAAAUACACAUGACCUUGAACGUUGUUCUAGGUUGUGAAUGAUGUAAGGUCGAAGUUAUGGGUAGCACAAACAAUCGAAAGUGCAAAUUUCCAUGUAUGGUUAAGAGUUUUUCAAACAGGACUUGAUAGUUAAGAAUCAAUGUGGUGCGUGAUGGUUUGAAAAGUAGUUGACUGGUAGGACAAAGGAAGAGAAGCUUAAUCAUAGGAGAGUGAGGCCAAUGUCUACAAUGUGAUGUUAUUGUUGUUCAGCGAUUGAUAUGAGGUGUUUUAUACCAUGUUUUUCUAAGGUAGGAUGAAAACCAAGAUUCACCAAGUAUCAAGAUAAAGAGUAAUAAUGGGUGUUUGAAAAAAUUUAUCCAUAACAAGUUUAAAUUUUUCAAACACUUGCAUCACUUCGUAUUUUAUUUAAAUACGUAAAGCCAUGACUAUUUAGUGUAAUGAUAAAGCAAUUCUAAAGGUUUGGAACGAGAAAAAGAGGAAAUUUAAAAUUAAAGUCAGUGAAUUUUAUUGUAAAGACAAGAAUAACAAUAAUUAUGAGACUUGACUCUAACAUGGGAAGUGACUUAGAUGAUACUAAUUUCUUAAGAAUUUGAUAUCUUAGAUGACUAGGACAUCAAUAUCACUGGUGGAAAGGUUCACCAAUAGAAGUGAAAACUAGAAAAAUCACUGCCUUAGUUAAAAACAAGGUUAGCCAUUCAUAAAUAUUCCUCUUGCUUGGGCUUAGAUAAGUGAUGCUCCUAUUGUCGAAUCCUUUACCACAAAACAAGUUGGAAAAAAUUCAAUGAAUGUGUUAUUAUGUUUACAAAACUAAGAAACAAAAUUAACUUUUUUAUUUUUAUUUUUUUAAUGUUAAGGGCACAUAAAAUAUUAUUCAAUUUAAAGGUAGAUUUUAGAGUAACAAGAAAUGUGGAACCAAUGUAAGUGAUGGGUCUAUGUAGUCCAUUACUACAAGGAUUCCAUCAUUACCUCUAUAUAAUGAGUGAAUAGGAAGAUUUUCAAGGUUUGAGGUGAUGUGAUGAGAGAUGGCUCGAGUCCAUCCCCCAAUUGGUGUUGGUUUGUAGUAUAUUGUUUGUGUAGUUUAUCUGAGGUUCAAAUUAGGGUUGAUUUCUAUUUUAUAAACCUUUGCAUUGUGACUAAAUUUUUUGCAUAUUUGGCAAAUGAUUCUAAGUUGAUUGGAGUUGGUGUUAGAUGGUUGCCAUUGUUAUUAACCCUUGUUAAUUUAGUUGGAAUUAUUGCCUCGAUAAUGAUUGUUGAAACUUUUGUUUUGAUUAGACUAUUAUUGUAUUCCAUUAUGGAAGUUCUGCUUUUGUCCCUUAUGAUUGUUAUUGUUCUUUUUUUUGCUUGUUCGUGUUGGUUUUAUGGCUAAAUUAAGUAGGACCAAGCUAUUUCUUGGAAUUUUUUUUUUCUCUUAAGAAAGGGUUCAUGAUCAACAAGCUUGUCAUAUAACUCUUCAAAAUUGAUCAAGGUAUCUCAAGCUCUUAUGGCAAUAUUCAUUUCUUUGUAUUCUAGACCCAAACUUAAGAGUACAUGGAGAACAUUAUCAUCAUCAAAGAAUGGAUGAUCAAUCAAUGCAACAUUGGUAUUGUUUUGUAGUCUAUUGUUUGUGUAGUUUAUCUGAGGUUCAAACUAUGGUUGAUUUCUAUUUCUGCAAACCUUUGCAUUAUGACCAACUUUUUGUAUAUUUGGAAAAUGAUUCUAAGCUUAUUGGAGUUGUUGUUUGAUGGUUACCAUUGUUGUUAACCCUUGUUAAUUUAGUUGGAAUUAUUGCAUCGACGGUGAUUGUUAAAAUCAUGUGGUUUUAAAAAUCGAACCGGACAGGUCGGUUUGACUGCCGACUAGUCACGGUUCCAAUCUGGUUCAAUCAAUUAGAUUGGAAACAGGUUGAAUCGGGAUCUGACAGGUUGAAUCGGGAUCUGACAGGCUGAAGGUUCGAUCGGUGAACUGAACGAACCAAUCAGUUCAUUCCAAACCGUUCGGUUCGAUUCAAUUUUUUUUUAGCGUGAUGUCGUUUUGAUGCUUCUGACAUCAAAAUGACGCCAUUUUGGAGGAUAUAAAACCCUAUUCUCCAAACCCUCCCUCUCCAAACCGUAGUUGUCGCCCGCCUCCCGAUCCGCCUCUAACGCACCACGACAGGCUCCCACUAUCGACCAUUUCACCGUGCAAAAUCUCUCUCCACCGGCCGUUGCAAGAUCACCAUCGCCUGAGUCGAGUCUUCCCCGUCGCAUCGUUGCAAGCUACCAAGCCACCCCUUGCCACUAGAACCCCAGUUGUAAACCCCCUCGGGCCAGUUGUAACCCAACCCCCCCUAUUGUAAGCCCCCACUCCGUUGUUGUAACCUCCCCUAUAGUAGCUACAAGCCUGCAACCUGGAAAAGUGGAAAUCAAGGUAUGAUAUUAUUAUUUAACCCCAUUGUGUCUUCUCCUUUCCCUCAUUGUGUCUUCUCAAAUGGAAUCUUGUAUAUGAUAUUGUCGUGUGGGGAAUUAAUUUACAUACAAGUUCGUGUUAUAAAAAAGUCAGGCAUGAUGUUGCAUUUGGUUGGUGUGUAGAACAAUUUACAUACUGAUUCAUGUCAUAAAAAAGUCGGGGAUGAUGUUGCAUCUGGUUGGUGAUCGAAACUAUUAUUGAACCUCAUACCUCCAGUAGAGUUGAAUGUAAAAUGGAGGUUUGCAUCUGGUUACGUUACAUAAAUAUGCUUUUUCGGUAUUUAUUUAAAGACACCAUUGAUCAAGUGAUGUCACAUGUAUAAUUUUAAGUCUCAUUGUUUGCAUCUACCUAUAUACUUUAGUUUCAUUCCUUUGUAUCUUGUUUAACUAUUUAGAUCUCAUUAUACAUAUUCAACUGUUAAGAUUUUUUGUUCUUAUCUAGAUCUAAUAAUAUUUAAUAAUUAUAUUAUGAAUUUCAAGAAUUACAUUUUAUAAUAUUUAAUAAUUAUAAAUUUUAGAUAAAUAUUUGGUUUGAAAGUAAAUUUCUCGUUUUUUCAAUUGUUGAUGACUUUUAUUCUCUAGAUUAAUAUGUGAUUUUUAUAAAUUGUUGAUGACUUGAUUAUAAAUCAUUAAAUUGUUGAUGACUUUCAUUCUCUAGAUUAAUGUGAGAUUUUUAUUUCUAAUUUGAUAGAGAGAUAAAAAAUGGAAUCAAACUUGACUCCAUCCCUAGUCAAGAUUCAAUUACUAAUUCACAAACAACUAGAAGUAAAACCGACCCUGCAAAUCAAUUAGCCCAAUCCAGAGACUUUGUUCACUUACCCUUAUGCAACCUUACAUAAUUACCAAAACACCUUUAUACAUAAAAGUGAACUUAGAGUCAAUCCGACCCUCAUAAUCCGUGCCAACAAGGUAUAUAAGCUCAGAGCGGGGACCAUUGGAAUCCAUAGGAAUAUUAGCUUCCUCAUAAUCCAAUUCUAAAGUUGAUUCAACAUCCUAUUAUAGAGAAUCAACUGCACUCUAGUAUCCUAUGUAAAUAACAAUAAGACACCAAGUGUUCAAGUCUGUGACUAGGGAUGGUAACGGGGAGGGUUCGGGACGGGUCGCCCUCAUACCAACCCCACUCCAUUUAUUCAAAAUAAUUCUCAUCCUCAUCCCAUUUAAAAAAUUAAACAGGGCAGGGCAGGAUGGGGCGGGUAUGAUAAAUUCUCAUACCCACCCUACCCUGCCUCGUUUAACUUUUUUUUUUUUAAUUUUAAUUAUUUUUUUAAAAUUACUUUAAAUUUUUUUAAUUACAUUAAAAUAAAUAUAUUUUCUAAAUAAUUAAAUUAUUAUAUUUUUAUAACUUAUUUUAUUAAAAAUAUUUUAUUAUUAUUUAUAUAUUAAAAAUAGUAAAAUAAAAAUUAAAUUAAUUUUAAAAUUUAAAUUAAAUUAAUUUUAUAUAUAAUCAGAGCAGGGCGGGAUGGGACGGGGUAAUACCCAAACCCGCCUCGGGUUAAAAGAAAAAAAAAAUUCUCAAAUCUGUCCCAAAUCCAUUUAUUAAAAUUGAACCACAUCCCAUUAAGGGCAAGACGGGGUGGAUACCCAAAAAAACUCACCCCAUUGUCAUCUCUAUCUGUGACCUACUAUCUAUUGUGUUUAGUCUCCCCAUGAACCGGUGUCCAUAGUUUACUAAGGUGAAAGCUAUCCGCCUUUGAAGACUAUGAAUAUAAGGGAAAAAGCCAUAUUAUUUUUUCGUAGAAGCAAUGAAAUCAAGCCCACCAGCGAAAACACAGUGAAGGCAAACAUUGCAAGAUGGGGAAAAUGUAGCAUUGAAGUGAACCAAGUGGAAAACAUUGAAGAAUAUCACAUUCCAGAGGUCACUGAAGUGACCUCAGUGGAAAACAAUUAGGUUGGAUGGGAUGAGCUUUGCUCUCUUUCUUCCCCUUAUAUUCCCCUCGUGAUUAUAACCCACGCUUGAAGUCGACAAAGGUGGGACACUUGUGUUUUAAUUCCCGAUAGCCAAAAAGCAGACGUGUGUUAAAAGUAUCAAAAUCCAGUGUCCACGAAACACCGGACAUGUCUGCUGCCAUGCUAAUUGCCAAUAAAGGGGAGAAUUCAAUCCACAAAAUAUCUUGUAGGGGUUGGUGAUCAGACCCCAAUGAAAUUCAAUCAUCAAAAGGGGUGCUUGAUUGAACUUGAUGAUACCGCCUAAACGAUGACCUUGCCUAGGCAUCUAUAAUGGAAAAUGGCCGGUGAGCCUACUACUACUUAGGAGUUAGGACAACACACACAACAAGGGUAGCAUGAAAAAUCGUGAGCUAAAUUGUUUGCAGCAUUUCAAUUAUUUGGUCUUAGUUACUACUUGUGAGCUAAAUUCCUGUUCGGGCAGCAUGCAGCAGUGACAACCAACAGUGUCUAUUUGAAUGGAGGCUUCACCACUAUCGUCUCUAGUAAGUUAAGAAGGUCCGUUACAUCAUACGUACUAAAAAGGGUGACUAAUAAUUUCACCAUAUUACUCUAUACUCUAUUUAUAUCAUACUCUUGUUCAAUUGUAUUUUGAUCUCAUUUCUUUAUUAUAUCAUAUAUAUGUAUCUUUGUCUAACAAUCUUAAAUUGGUUAUCCAAAUUAUUAAAAAAUAUAUGAUUAAAUAAGUGCAUAAAAUAAAUAAAAAUUAAAACUCACUAAUAAAAUUAAUUCAGAUGCUUAGGAUUUAGUGGCACUUCAAAUCACAAAUAACCAAUCAUAUGUUUGGAUGAUUGUUGGAAACUUGGAAUGGCUAUGGGGAAAGGUGAUAUUUCAUGUGGCUAGGAUUUCUCAUUACCCACAAGCAUGUCGGCCUAGAUCAGGCCCAAGUCCACACCCAUCUUGUCGGACCAUGUAUAUGUGAAUUAACCCUACGUUUACUUUUAACCUUAUAAAGUCCUCCACAUUUAGAUGCGAAAUUACUUUCUUCCACUAUAUUUGUCGUGAACACAUAGAUUACUUUGAUAUGAAUUCCACAUUCGUUUGUAAAAAGAUUUUUACCAUGUAAAUAUAUUAUGUUCAUCAACUCGUGGAGAUGAACGCAUUUCAAAGUUAUUAUAUCUUAAAACAUUUGAAUGAUUCACUCAAAUUGUCUUACUAUUAUUUUUAGAAACAACUUUUUCAAUAAAUAUUACCAUAUAUUUUCUAUUGCCUUACGUUGUAAGUUUGAUUUGUACUGCUUCGACACCCUUGAAUUUUCCUAACUUAAAAACAUUAAACUCAUUUGUGCAUGGGUAUAGACAAAGAAAUGUUUGAGCUUCUAAUUGUUAGGGUUAAAACAUCUUAAUCCUAUUCUUGAUUAGAGCUAUUACGUAUUAAGCUUAAGUAUUUUGGUACAAUAAAGAAGAACAGUCACUUAUUUGUCAAUCAUCACCAUUUCAGUUUCUACAUCAAAAGAUAAUAACAUUGUUUAUACCUAAAAGUAAUAAUAUUAGUAACUAAAAAUACCAAUAUAGAUAGCAAGAUGUACUAAAUGUAUUAAGUUUUUUUAUUGUUAUUGUUAUGACUUUGAUAACGAUUAUUAAAUAAUAUGUAAAAAAAUACACAUAAUUAAUGUAAUUUUUAUAAACAUUAUUUAUUAAAAUAAAAACAAUUUUAAUGGUUUACAUUUUUAAUUAGAAAUGUACUUUUUUUUACAUAUUUAAUAAAAUAACAUUAGUUUUUCUUUUUAAAUAUCAAUAUAUUAUGAUAGGAAUUGUGAAUUUAUAUUUAAAAAUUUAAUGCAAACACUUUUAAAAUUUUAAUUUUACGUACUUUCAAAUAUUGGUUUGAAAAUUAAAUACGCUUAAAGAAUAAUCAUUACUAACUUUUGUUGAAUGAAAUUAAAGGUAAGUUAAUAAUUUUUUAAUAUUAUUUUUUUGUUUUAUUUAAAAAAAACAAAAAAUUUAAUUUCAACCCAUGUGGACGUGUUUUUAUAUUUUUAUAUUUUUAAAUUUAGGUUUAAUAUCCUAUAAAAAAUUUAAAAAUAAAAAAUGAGAUCCAUAAUAUGAAAAUUAUAAAUAUUAUGAAUAUAUAUAUAUAUAUAUAUAUAUAUAUAUAUGAAAACAGUAUUAUUAAAAAUAUUAGUAUCUAUUUAUUUAUUUAUUAGAUUAUUAAUUAUUAUAUGUGAGUAUAUUUUUAUAUUAAAAACUAAUUUAUUUUAAUGGAUUAAUUACACAUGAUGUUAGAAUUAAAAUUUAAUAAAUAAAAUAAAAAACAUAAUGAACAAAUGAACUGCACUUUUGAAAAUAAUUUUUUUUAAAUUAAGUAGAUUUUCAAAACUAGGGAAAAAAUAUGAGAAUUAUUUUACAAAAUUAAUCAAAAUCAAAGUAUUAAAAAAAAUAAAACUUAAUUUAAUUUGGUGAGAAUGUGGGAAAGGGGGCGCUAAGAGUGGGGAGGGAAAAAAGAAAUCUCGAAAUGAUAUAACAAAAUAAAAAAAUAAAAAUAAAAAAGUGUGUGGAGGCCCAAAAAUUGGGCCAAAAAACUAAGGCAAAACUUUGCUUUCAUUAUUAUUUCCACCCUAUAGACCUCUGAAGGGCAUUUCUUUUGGUUUUUUUUUUCUUUUCUUAUUUCUUCUUCAUUUUUCCUUUUGGCCACCCCAAGGAGGAGCUAUUCUUGGGCAGCCAAAAAUAGGAUUGGAAGUGAAAGAAAGCGGUUGAUGGGUGAGCCAUUCUCGGGCAGCCAAAGAUGACUGGGAAUGAGUUGUUUAUGAAUGGCUAGACGGGAUGGAAAAUAAGAAGAAAAGCAACUGAUGGUAAGUUGUUUCAAAAAGGAGGGACACAACUAGGCAAAGAAAAGACAAAAUUGAGUAGAAAGAAGGCACGACAGAGCAAGAAGCGGACACAACUAUUUGGAAAAGGGGAAUUUAUGUAACCAUACACCAAGGGGCAAAAUUUUGCCUUUUGGAAACUUAACUUUUUACUUUUCAAAUUCAAUGGAUUUUGUGAAAAAUAAACAAUCUUUCAUACACUGUAAUAGUGAUGUUGAGACCCUUCCAAAAAUACCCUCCUAUAAUUUGACAUCUCUCCUAGUUGGAUAAGUUGCUUGUUGUCCACUUAAGCCAAUGACAUGACUCAGUUACAUGUCAUCAGCCAGCUAGACAUUCCACAUGGAUUGAUGUUUUAAACAAUAUUUACCCCCAAAUAUCUUCUUCUUUCUUCAACCAAACCCUAACACCAAAAACCCAUGUUCUUUCUUAUUCGUUCAUAGGCACAACCCAUCACAAGGCGAAAGGAUCCAUAAAAAAUCUGGUAGGUUCUCAAAUCGCGAUAACCCAUCAACCCCAAACGAACCUCCAAACUUGAUCUCUUAUUUUUUUUUCUCCUUCAUCACCAUAAGGAAGACGACAUCUUCAUUUUCCCACCAAACAUCAAUCUGAAAACAAAAGUCCAAGUGCAAACCCCUUAACAAAGGCCAGGUAGACAAAAAAAAACCCAUUUCCUUCUUCUUAUUUCAGGAGUGGCAGUCAUUUUUCUCUUGGUUGUACUUCCUAUUUUGCUUUUACAUCGAAAAAGGAGAAAGAAAGCAAUUGAGAGAACGAGAUAACGAAGAAUAAAAAUAUUGUAGUUGCAUUUAACUUUUAAAGCAAGGGUUUUUCCAGGUGAUAUAUAUAUAUAUAUGUUAUUAAAUUUUGUAAUAACUUUAUAUUUUGAUUUGUCAUUUUGAUUCUUUGAGAUUUGAAUAAUGUCAUAGUUAUGUGAUUUGUGCAAUUUUGUGAUUUAAACUUGAUUACAUUGCAUAUUUCUACAUGUUCAAUGUCCAUUAAUAUUGUAUCUAAAUUUAUAUUUUAAUUUAUUUAGGGUUUAUUUGAAAUGAAAUAUGGCUUAAAUUUUGAUAAAUGAUGGGAAAAUGAGAUGGUGGUAAGCUAUAUUGAUUUUGUUUUAUUUCUGAAUUGUUGUGUUUGUGUUGUAUGUGGUUGUUGGGAAGAAUACAGAAAAGAGAAGAAAAAUAUGAGUAUUGCAUGUGAAGGGAAUACAAUUUUUAGGAAUGUUCAAACAAUUUGUUGUUUAAUGUUGUUUAUAUGGGAUUCGAGAUGUUUUGUUGUUUAAUGUUGUUUAUCUGGGAUUCCAAAAUAAGUAAUUUGAGUGAUCUUUUAUAGUUGUUAAUUGGUGAAUCUAAUGCAUGGGAAAAGAAUUCAUGUUUAGUCAUGAGUAGAUGAGUAUAAAUUUUAAAAAUGAUUGGGAUUAAAGUUUGAAUAAAUUUCUUAAUAAAAUUUUUGAAUUUGUAAUGAAUAAGGAUUGAAUUGAAGAAGAAAAUAAAACAAAUUUAGUAAAGCGGGCAUGAAUUUAUGUGGGAAUUAGGGAAAAUAGUAUUGGAGCCUUAGGUUCAAAAUUGAUGGUCACAACCACAAAUAUGAAAUUUGUUUUGUUUAUGUGUGUAGUGGUCAUAGUAAGGGUCUACCCUUAGAUGAAGGGGUUGGCCGUAAUUCAAUUAAUGACAUUUGGAUGAAAUUAUUGUUUUCGUAAGAGGUUGCAGUAAGUGAAUUAAAGGCUGACCCAUUUUUUUGGAGGUAGGCCCUUAGUUGUAAAUAUUGUUGUGGUUUAAUCUGGAUAGUAGGCAAAAUAAAGGCUGACCCAUUUGUUUGGAGGUCGGCUCUUGGUUGUAAACAUUGUUGUGGUUUAAUUUGGGUAGUGGGCAAAAUAAAGGUUGACCCAUUUUUUUGGAGGUCGGCCCUUGGUUGUAAACAUUAUUGUGGUUUAAGUUGGGCAGUAGGCAAAAUAAGGGCUGGCCCAAUUGUUUGGAGGUCGGCCCUUGGUUGUAACAUUGUUAUGGUUAAAUUUGGGCAGUGGGCAAAAUAAAGGUCGACCCAUUGUUUGAGGGGGUGGCCUGAAGAGAGUGAAAUUAGCACAAUUUGGCUUGAAAAGUUACCAAAACAAUGGUUAGCCCAUGAAUUGAGAGGUUCACUCCCUAACUUAUAUGACAUAACAAAUUACUACGAAGUAAAAUAGAAUAAUUGCAUUGCUUAAUGUUAAGUAUACACUAUGCAUGUCUAUAUUUACACCAUUAAUUGUAAACUAUGAAAUGUAAAUGAAGCUCGUUUGUAAAGUUUCAAAGAUAAAUGAUGUAUUAAUAUAUGAUGGUCAUAGGCAUGAUAAUCAGUUUUGUUAUAAGUAAGUUGGUUUAUGCAGUGUUAUUAAGAAAUUAGUUAAUUGUUUCAGCUUGACUAAAGGUUCAUGCUUCUAAACAGGGGUUGCACAUGAUCGAGUAACAUUUAAAUGGAUCCAAAUAAUACAAUUUAUUGUUAUCUGCACAUUGGAGGAGAGCUAGUAAGGGAUGAACAUGGCAAUGUGGAAUAUAUGGGUGGGAGACAAGAGGGUCUAAGUUUAGAACGAUCAAUGACAUAUAAUGAUUUUGUUUCAAGGAUUUGUGGGAAAAUGAACAUCAAUAUAGUGGGACCAACAUUUUCAUAUACUCUCCCGUUUGAUUUAUAUGCACUUCAACCAUUGAAAAAUGAUGAAGACUUGAUAAACAUGUUUCAAUUUAGUGACCGAUGUGCACGUGUAUAUAUAUGUUUAGCAUCAACAGUUGAAGACGAUGAAACGAUUGAGAAUGGAGGACAAGGGUAAGUUAUAUCAAAAAUAUAUAUAAUCUUAAAUGAUUCCAUGUAUUUAUUUAUUUUGUAAUAUUUAUGUUUAUUCAUUGGAUGUUAUAAUGCAGCUUGAACGAAACAAUCGUAGGGUCUAACUCACCGGUCCCAUAUUCAACAAGAGAUGUUGAUAUUAGAAUGCAAUCACAAGGAUUUCAUCAAAGAUGUGCUAAAUCACAUGUUGGUCCACUAGAGUCAAGCCGUUUUGAGAGUGCAAUAUUGGGUAGUGGGCAUACCUUCUCAACUGCAAAUGAAUUUCGGGAUGCAAUAUAUCUCAUGUUAGUAGGAGGCCGUUUUAGAUAUAAGUUUAAGAGGAAUUGUCUUAAGCAUAUGACUGUAAUAUGUGUUGUUGAAGGAUGCCCUUGGAAAGUAACUGCUCGUGCUGUUGGGAGAACAAAAAUAGUUCAAUUGCAUACAUUUAGAAAUGAACAUAACCACUCUUUAGAAGAUGUGUCAAUUUCCGAACCAGUAGUUCGUUGUAAUCGAGCCACAGCUAUGAUUGAUGAUGUUAUUUGUUCAAAUCCAGAUUACUUACCCCGUCAAAUAUGUAAAGACUUUCGUCGACAAUACGGAAUGCAAUUGAAUUAUUGUCAAGCAUGGAACUUGAAAGAGAAGGCUAAAGAACGAAUUCAUGGUGUGCCGCAAUGUUCAUAUAAGUUGUUACCUUGGUUAUGUACAAGGCUUAUUGAAACAAAUCCAGGGACGAUUGCUGAAUAUAGAUGUUUGGAUGAUGGUCAUUUUAUGCAAUUGUUUGUUGCCCUUUCAGUGUCAAUACAUGGGUUUCAACUGGGAUGUCGGCCUAUUAUAUCAAUAGAUUCAUCCCAUAUGAGUGGGCCAUACAAGGGUGCUUUAUUUUCAGCUUCUUCCUAUGAUGCUGACGAUGGCCUGUUUCCACUUGCUUAUAACUUAUUUAGCUCUGAGAAUUACGAGGAUUGGCUUUGGUUUUUAGAGAAAUUGAAGAUGGUCAUAGGUGAAAGAGAUGUUAUAAUAAUAUCUGAUAGGCACCAAGGGAUUAUCCAUAGUGUUUCAGAGGUAUUUGGUAGUGAAAACCAUGCACAUUGCUAUCGUCACAUUAAAGAAAACUUCAGUAACAAAGCUAAACACUAAAGGGAGGAAAGGAAAGGAAAAUGCUUUGCAAAUGCUUGAUUCUAUCGCCUAUGCUAGGUUAGAUUGUGAUUAUGAGGUUGCAAUGGAUACUUUAAGGACAUUUAAUCAUGAUUUGGCAAAGUGGGUUGAAGAAAAUAACCCUCAACAUUGGGCAAUCUCUAAAUUUAAGAAGAUGCGUUGGGAUAAGAUGACAAGUAAUUUGGCCGAGUCUUUCAAUUCUUGGUUAAGACAUGAAUGACACCAUAACAUUUGUGUUUUCUUCAUCGAGCAUAUGGAUAAGUUAGGAUCUCUUUUAGUCGAGCAUAAAAAUGGACUUGUAAAAUGGAAUGGGUGUAUUGGUCCUAAAACAAAAGAAAAGAUUGCAUUGAAGAUUGGAAAAGGUGAAAAUUAUAUCACUUAUUUACACUUGGGUAGUUCGAUGAAAGUAUCCAAUGGAAAAGCAUUCCUGGAAGUGGGCUUAAUGGAGCGAACUUGCACAUGUAAAGCAUGGAAAAUGUCUGGAAUCCCAUGUGAUCAUGCUUGUGCAGCUAUACGGCGAAUGAGGUUUGAUGUAUCUGAUUAUGUUGAUGACUGGUAUAAGUACAAUUUGCAAGAGAAGAUAUACUCUGGAAGCAUGCGUACUUUGGUAACGCAUGACAUGCCAAUGAUUGAUGAAGAUGGAACCGUUCGUGAUGCCUUGGGUCAUACUUAUCCCUUUCUUAAUCCUCCAACCACAAAGCGACCUCCUGGAAGACCUAGGAAACGUCGAAUCGAGUCUUAAUUCAUGUAAAAAAAAAACAGUUCAUUGUUCUCGUUAUAAUCAGCCUGGGCAUAAUCGUGCGACAUGUAACAACCCAUUGCUGUAAGUUUUUUUUUAUUAAACUUCAUAAUGUAAGAUCGACUUUAUAUUAGUAUGAAAUAGUUUGGUAAUCUUCGUUAUUGUUUCCUUGAUUAUAAGCAAUGAGUAAUUUAUUGGAUUUGAAGUGUUUGGUGUACAUAUAUUGUGAUUGUAUGUUGUUCUUCAAUAUUAUGGGAUAUGUUACAUGAUAAUGUAAUUGUAAUAGCAAAAUAUGUACCUUGGUCAUUAUUGUUCAGAGAUGGCAUUGAAGUGACAUAGAUUCAUAUGGCGUCCUUGGCAAAAAAACGAGAUUGUUAACUAGUGGGCAUAAUCGUGGCGAACCUUUACAUGUAGGGGCUGCUGCUUUUUGGCUGAUGACCCUUAAGCAUAUUAUUUAGUUUUGUGUGAAAUGGGCAGUAGCCAAAAUAGGGUUGUGCCUGUUAGAUCAUAGGCAACCCUAUCGUUUUUCAUAUUUAAAAUUGGUUUCGUGUUAUGUGAGGUGUCUGUAAAAGGGAGGUUGAACCAUUAACACCAUGGGAAGGCAUUCGAACAUUAGUUUAGUAUGUUAUGUGCAGAAGGCAAUCUAGGGGCGCACCUUCCAUUUGAAAGGCAUGCCUAUGUGUUAAUGAUAUUAUAUAACUAUGCUACAUGCAGAAGGCAAAGCAGGGGUGUACCCUUGGUUGCAUAGGUAUGCCCAUGGGUAUGAUAACUUUAUUGGGAAAUUCUAUAUGCAGUAUGCAAAGUAGGGGCACACCCUUGAUUUUAGGGGCAUGCCUAUUACUAAAACCAUUAUAUUGGUAGGCUAUGUGUAGUAGUCAACCUAAGAGCAAAACCUUGAUGGAAGACACAUAAAUGUGGGUGAAAAACUUCUUUUUGUUAAGCUACUUGCAGUAGGAAAAAGAAAGACAUGACUCUCUGUCAGAGGCAUGCCUUUAGGAUGACUAGAGUUGAGGUGUGGGUUGGGCAGUAAGGCAAAUGGAGGCAUACUGAUAGCUUAAAGGUUGGCCCUUGAUGUUCAUAUGAAAUAAACGUUGGAAAUGAUUCCUUGUUGAUUCAAAAUCAUAGAUUUUUUCUAAAAAUUUAAUUGUUCAAUUUUUAAUUUAUUUUUUAUUAUCUUAAUUUUUUUAACUACUUUUUUUAUUUAGCUCAUUAAUAAUUUUUUUUAUUUAUCCGUUUACUUUUAUUUAAUUUCAAAAUUUUGUAUUUUUAAAUAUUACAAAAAUAGUUGUGCUUAGAAUAUGUUACAAUAUAACAAAAAAUAUAAUGAAGUCCUAAUAUUUUAUAACUAAAAAUUAAUUUGAUUAGAUAAAUGAUUAAUAAUUUUAAUUAUUUAAAUUAAUUAAUUUUAAUAGAAAAUUGCCACCACAUAUUUGUAAUAAAUUUUUAGAAAUCAUAUCUCAAAUCAAAUAUUUGAUAUAAAUCAAUUUAGUUUUUAUUUAAAAUUUAAUAAAAUAUGUUUUAAUAAAAGUAUUUUUUUAAUUUUAAAAUAAAUAACUUAAAUAUAUUAAAUGUAAUUAUGACCCAUCCAUGCUCAGAUGGGGGUCCCGGAAUCACUAGACUUGGAUGUACCAAAUUUAAUGAAGGAUGUAUCAAAUUUAAUCAAGGAUGUACCAAACUUUGUUAAAGAUGUACCAAGGGCUCCAAAGUGUGAUCCGAAGCAGGGAUCGGCUCCAAAUCACUCUGUUAUGGGUUUCUAAAUAAAAUAGUGGCUCAUCCAUGGUCAGAAGGGGGUCCCGGAAUCACUAGGCUCGGAUGUACCAAAUUUAAUGAAAGAUGUACCAAAUUUUGUGAAGGAUGUACCAAGGGUUCGAAAAUGCGUUCCGAAGUGGGAAUCGACCCCCAAUCACUUUGUUAUGGGUUUCUUAAAGAAAUUACAGACCAUCCAUGUUGAAAUUGGGGUCUCGGAAUUUGUCGGAUCGGAUGUACCAAAUUUAAUGAAGGAUGUACCAAAUUUUGUGAAUGAUGUACCAAGGGUCCAAAAAUGCUUUCCGAAGUGGGGAUCGGCCCCAAAUCACUUUGUUUUGGGUUUUUAAAUGAAAUAGUGGCUCAUCCAUGGUCAGAAGAGGGUCUCGGAAUCACUAGGAUCAGAUGUACCAAAUUUUGUGAAAGAUGUAACAAGAGUCCGAAAAUGCGUUCCGAAGUGGGGAUCGACCCCCAAUAACUUUGUUAUGGGUUUCUAAAUGAAAUUAUGGACCAUCCAUAUUGAAAUGGGGGUCUCGGAAUCUGUCGGUUCGGAUGUACCAAAUUUUGUGAAGGAUGUACCAAAUUUUGUGAAUGAUGUACCAAGGGUCCAAAAAUGCUUUUCGAAGUGGGGAUCGGCCCCAAAUCACUUUGUUAUGGGUUUUUAAAUGAAAUAGUGGCUCAUCCAUGGUCAGAAGAGGGUCCCGGAAUCACUAGGAUCGGAUGUACCAAAUUUUGUGAAGGAUGUACCAAGGGUCCGAAAAUGCGUUCCGAAGUGGGGAUCGACCCCCAAUCACUUUGUUAUGGGUUUCCUAAAGAAAUUAUGGACCAUCCAUGUUGAAAUGGGGGUCUCGAAAUCUGUCGGAUCGGAUGUACCAAAUUUAAUGAAGGAUGUACCAAAUUUUAUGAAGGAUGUACCAAAUUUUGUGAAUGAUGUACCAAGGGUCCAAAAAUGCUUUCCAAGUGGGGAUCGGCCCCNNNNNNNNNNNNNNNNNNNNNNNNNNNNNNNNNNNNNNNNNNNNNNNNNNNNNNNNNNNNNNNNNNNNNNNNNNNNNNNNNNNNNNNNNNNNNNNNNNNNAAUGAUGUACCAAGGGUCCAAAAAUGCUUUUCGAAGUGGGGAUCGGCCCCAAAUCACUUUGUUAUGGGUUUUUAAAUGAAAUAGUGGCUCAUCCAUGGUCAGAAGAGGGUCCCGGAAUCACUAGGAUCGGAUGUACCAAAUUUUGUGAAGGAUGUACCAAGGGUCCGAAAAUGCGUUCCGAAGUGGGGAUCGACCCCCAAUCACUUUGUUAUGGGUUUCCUAAAGAAAUUAUGGACCAUCCAUGUUGAAAUGGGGGUCUCGAAAUCUGUCGGAUCGGAUGUACCAAAUUUAAUGAAGGAUGUACCAAAUUUUGUGAAGGAUGUACCAAAUUUUGUGAAUGAUGUACCAAGGGUCCAAAAAUGCUUUCCAAAGUGGGGAUCGGCCCCAAAUCACUUUGUUAUGGGUUUUUAAAUGAAAUAGUGGCUCAUCCACGGUCAGAAGAGGGUCCCGGAAUCACUAGGAUCGGAUGUACCAAAUUUUGUGAAGGAUGUACCAAGGGUCCGAAAAUGCGUUCCGAAGUGGGGAUCGACCCCCAAUCACUUUGUUAUGGGUUUCUUAAAGAAAUUACAAACCAUCCAUGUUGAAAUGGGGGUCUCGGAAUCUGUCGGAUCGGAUGUACCAAAUUUAAUGAAGGAUGUACCAAAUUUUGUGAAGAAUGUACCAAAUUUUGUGAAUGAUGUACCAAGGGUCCAAAAAUGCUUUUCAAAGUGGAGAUCAACCCCCAAUCACUUUGUUAUGGGUUUCUAAAUAAAAUUAUGGACCAUCCAUAUUGAAAUGGGGGUCUCGGAAUUUGUCGGAUCGGAUGUACCAAAUUUAAUGAAGGAUGUACCAAAUUUUGUGAAGGAUGUACCAAAUUUUGUGAAUGAUGUACCAAGGGUCCAAAAAUGCUUUCAGAAGUGGGGAUCGACCCCAACUCACUUUGUUAUGGGUUUUUAAAUGAAAUAGUGGCUCAUCCACGGUCAGAAGAGGGUCCUGGAAUCACUAGGAUCGGAUGUACGAAAUUUUGUGAAGGAUGUACCAAGGGUCCGAAAAUGCGUUCCGAAGUGGGGAUCGACCCCCAAUCAAUUUGUUAUGGGUUUCUUAAAGAAAUUACAAACCAUCCAUGUUGAAAUGGGGGUCUCGAAAUUUGUCGGAUCGGAUGUACCAAAUUUAAUGAAGGAUGUACCAAAUUUUGUAAAUGAUGUACCAAAUUUUGUGAAUGAUGUACCAAGGGUCCAAAAAUGCUUUCAAAAGUGGGGAUCGGCCCCAAAUCACUUUGUUAUGGGUUUUAAAAUGAAAUAGUGGCUUAUCCACGGUCAGANNNNNNNNNNNNNNNNNNNNNNNNNNNNNNNNNNNNNNNNNNNNNNNNNNNNNNNNNNNNNNNNNNNNNNNNNNNNNNNNNNNNNNNNNNNNNNNNNNNNUUUGGUACAUCCGUCCCAAAAUAUUGUACGACCGUCAUUUGAGCUUGGAAGACCCUUUUUUUCAGUUGGAAAACCAUAUCAUAGAUAUUCCAGGCCGAUCCCCACUUCGGAAAGCAUUUUUGGACCCUUGGUACAUCAUUCACAAAAUUUGGUACAUCAUUCACAAAAUUUGGUACAUCCUUCACAAAAUUUGGUACAUCCUUCAUUAAAUUUGGUAAAUCUGACCCUAGUGAUUCUGGUACCCCCUUAGUGCCAUGGAUGGACCAUAAUUUAAUUUGGCAACCCGUAAGUGAUUUAUUUCAAAAUUUAAAAAAUACUUUUAUUAAAACAUAUUUUAUUACAUUUGAAAUAAAAAGUAAAUUGAUUUAUAUCAAAUAUUUUAUUUGAGAUAUGAUUUCUAAAAAUAUAUUACAAAUAUGUGGUGACAAUUUUUCAAUUAACAUUCAUGUAUUUAAAUAAUUAAAAUUAUUAAUCAUUUAUCUAAUCAAAUUAAUUUUAAGUUAUAAAAUAUUAGGACUUCAUCAUUUUUUUUUUUGUAGCAAAUUCUGAGUACAACUAUUUUUGUAAUAUUUAAAAAUACAAAAUUUUGAAAUUAAAUAAAAGUAAACGGGUAAAUAAAAAAAAAGUAAUAAUGAGCUAAAUAAAAAAAGUAGUUAAAAAAAUAAAGAUAAUGUAAAAUAGAAUGAUAAUAUAAUUUUGAAAUAAAGUAUUAGGUAAUGACAACGUUUUUUUUUUAGGAAUGAGCAUGAAGGAAAACUAUGGCCACGGCCUUCAUGUCAUACACAUUCCCAAUGGUAUUACAAACUUUGGAAUCUUAUGUUAUAUGCAAUACACAAAAUAAGGGCCCACCCUUUAUUUCACAGGCAUGCCUAUGUGUCGAAGAUGCCAUGUGCAGUAGCCAAAUUAGGGGCAGACCUUUCAUAUGACAUGCAUGCAAGUGGGUGAAAACCUAAUCGUAGUUAUUAUUUGUGCACUAUCAAAAAGAUAAGCAUGCCCCUUGUCCAGGUGGCAUGCCUUCAUAGUGACUUUAUCUUACUUGUUGAUUGGAUAGUGUGGUCAUGGGAGGCAGACCCAACACAUGAAGGGUUGGCCCUACACAUUCACAUUGAAAUAAAAUGUAUGGAUAAUUGAUUCAUAUGUGUUAAAGCCUAAAAUAUAGAGUCAAUACAUACUAAGAUUGGAAAAUAGGCAAAAUGUCAUUCAGACAUUCAAAAUAACUUAAACCAACCUCAUAACUAGCAUCACAUUUACACAUAAAUAUUGCAUAGAGUGUUGACAAUUGGUGCAAGAGAGUAUAAAGUUUACUGAUGAUUAAUGAAAGCAUGCAUAUCGAUAAGCAUUGGAAAGCGUUAAAGUAAAAGGAGUUAAGAGUUGUUUGAGAACGAGAUUUUAUAAACUUAUUACAAAAUCCAUGAAAAUGUUGUGCGCACACAUACGCAUUCGGUUGUAAGACGGAUAGAAAGUAAGGUUACUCCUCUCCAUCAGUCGGUGCAUCUUCGUCUUCUUCAUCUCCACCAUCAUCAUCACCAUCUUCCUCGUCAUCUGUCUAUGAUGGCGUAGGAGGUAGAGCAUCAGGGUGCAAUGCUUUCCAUGCUGCAAUGGAACGAUCGCAUUGUUGACGCGCAAUCUUCAAUUGAUUGUUCAUUGAUUUGCACAUUGCGUAAAUAUCCCCAACCUGAGAACUUUUAGUUGACCUACGCGACGAAGAGGAUGAUGUUUGUUUGUCUAUCGACAUUUUCAUGCGCAUAGGUUGCAUGCGCGGGAUUGACUCAUAAGGCAGUGUCUUGAAAUCCAACCCUGCAUUUUGUAAAAGCAAGCAAACAGUUGAACCAUAUGGUAAUGCACGUGUGCUCACAUUACUACGCCGUGCCUCUAUCAUGUUAUGGCAAAUAAGUGCGGGCAAAUUAAUUUUACUGCGACGUGCCAUGUGAAACAGAAUAUGCAGAACAUAUAGUGUAAGCUCAUUAAGAUGACCCUUCUUAUUCAAGACAGUAUGAAACAAUAUCAGAUUUAGAAUCCUGUAUUUUGGAAGUAGAGAUCUACGUUCAACGCUUGUACCCAACUGAAAAGAAUGGCCGCAUAAUUCCUUUGUUAUUAUGUCUCACAUUGCCUUGAUAUCAAUCUCUGGAAUACAAAAGUUAAUAGCUUUCUUGGGUGUUUCCAGAGAGAAGGUGCGUCUAAUAAGGGAUGGGGAAACCCGCACAACAACUCCCUUGAAUGAAGUGUGAAAUGAAUAUUUCUCCUCGUCAACAUUUCUGAUAUUGCUAUAGAAUGCUCGCACAGGAGUUGGAUAACAUUCUUGCAUUAGCUGUAUAAAUGGUCUCAAUUUGUAAAAAUCUAGUAACUCUGCAACACCAUGUUCUUCAAACCCAGCAAUUAGUAUGACACGCUCAACGACAAUUGGUCGUUUUGCUAUGAGCUUAUCACAUUCGUGCUCAUCAGGUGGGUGGCGAGGCAUGAAAGGGUCAUGUUGGACUUCCUCAGGUACAGUUGACGUUGAGCCAUGUCUAACCUUCUUUUUAGGCGGCAUGAUGUUUGGUCCUUGUAAUGGCACUACAUAUUGUUAAAAAUUCAGUGAUGGAAGUUAGAGAUGAAAAGUUUCAAUUCAUUGCAUCCAAGCCAACCACAAAUAGCUUAAAAAGGAAUUCAAGCAACUCCCAAAAGAGUGGUUGCCACAACCAAGAGAAAAUAUGUGCAAAAAACAAUGAAAAACAAACCUUAUUGUUGUUGUUAUUGUAGCAAAUUGUUGACGAUUAUGCCAGUGAAAAUCUUACAGUGAAAUGGUAGAGUAGCUAAAAUGGAGGAAUGGGUGGGUGGAAGAGGGAGGUUGUGAUGUGCAACGUGUAUAGUAGAAAAUGAGGUGUAAAUGGGAAUGAAUAUGAGUUGUUGAGGAUGUGAUGUCAACCAAACUGAGUAAAUGGUUGAAGUUGGAAUGGAGGUCCGCCUGUGCACGAGAUGUGGCUAGUACAUACAUGCAUUUAAUGUUCCAUAAUGAGUGCAUAGUUACAAGUCACUAAAAUUGGAUGGGAUGAAACAACGUGAAUGAAGUCUUCUACAAGCCUACAAUUGGAGACUAUCAUUAUGUGGAGUGAAUGUGAAGUUAUUAUGUGGUAGGUGCAUCAUAAAUAUUGGUAAUAUGAAGUCUUCUACAAGCCUACAAUUGAAGACUAUCAUUAUGUGGAGUGAAUGUGAAGUUAUUAUGUGGUAGGUGCAUCAUAAAUAUUGGUAAUAUGUUGACCUCUAGUUAUUAAAUGUCCACUGUGGUACAAUCAAAUCAAAUGCAACAAAAUUUUUUCAAGUUUUUGUUCUCGUUGACAUAAAAUGGCCAAAUAUUUAUCAAAUAAGUGUAAUGUAGUUGAUAUAAGUAUGAAUAAAUAUAAUAUUUAUUAAAUUUUUAUAAGAAAAGUAGCAUUAAUUGAUUUAAUAUAUUUAAGAGAUUUAUUUUAAAAUUAAAAAAUACGUAUAUUAAAACAUAUUUUAUGACAUUUUAAAUACUUUAAAAAAUGUAUCAUUAAAUUAUUAAAAAUGCUAAAAAAAACUUUCACAAUUGACAAAAAAUGCGCAUGGACUCCAAUUUUUUCCCACAAAAACAGUAGUAGAAGUUUAUUUAAUUCAAUUUGGAAAAAAAUGACCCAUAUCAUUAAAAAUAAUUAUUUUUAAAAAUCAUCCGUAAAUAUAAAAUUCUAUGACUUUAUUAAUCUGAUAGCUACACAUAGAAGCUAAUCACCUUGCUAAACAAAGAUUUAUUACCAGUAUGAUAUUUUUCAUCAUGCUAAACGCUGCACGAGUAUGCAAUUUCGUUUUGUAAAUGCUUAUAUCAUCCACAAUCAUUUAAACCUCCAUAAAUUAUCAAUAACUAUUUGCAUUUCAUGGCAUUGGCAGAAUUGAACCUUUUGGGAAUACAAGAAAUAAUGUUGAUGGGACAAAAUUAGAACUUCUAACAAAGUACAUAAAUUGGAAAGGUAAGACAAAUUGAGAAACCAAGAAAGAACCACCAGAUUUAGCACACAUUUAGGGUUCCAUUAUGAACUUUCAUCAUGAAACAUUUCCUAGAAUCAAUAGCUAACUAUAGUCCCCAAUGCAAACCAAUUGGCAUCUUUUGCAAUAGAAAUACUGGUGGUUGAUGAGCCCAAUCACAGAACUUCAUGAGCUUUCCCAUAAUACCUGUUUAUAAACGGUGCUUGAAAGGCAUUCCAAACAACAAUAAUUACUAUUUAAAGAUUAAUGAGUCAUACUUAUUUCCUGAAAAAAAAUGUAGAGAGGGCACAAAUAAGAUAAUGCAAUUAGCAUUCAUUAACAAGUGUCUGCUCUAAUAGAAGAGGCCAAAUUCAUUGAUAUGCUACAACCAAUCAACUAUUUUUUGUACUUAUUCAUAGAAUGGAUGGCAAAACAUACCCUCAAUAAACCAUGGCCAAGUGAAAACAAGGUGACUAAACAGAAAAAACUCAACUUAAUUAGCUAAGUAAAAGUCAAACCAUUUAGAAAUAGUGUCAUAUUGAUCCAUUUGGAUACCAAGGAAAAAAAAUGGCCACAUAAUGACAAAGCUUUUGGGUGAUCAGUUAGUUGAUAUUAAAAAUAGCAGACAUGUUAUGUUAGCAUGGAACAGAUAAAUAAAUUAAACAUAUAUUCCAUCAAGAGAUUAUUUUUUGACUAUUUAUGUAGGGAACGACUUAUAGCAAUACACCAUGAUCUUGAAUAUCGCAUUAAGGCCAGCUUCAAAAUGCACAAGAUUCAUAGGCUAUCAAUAGUCUCAUAUGGAGAAACAAAAAUAGUGGUGUCAAAGAUAUUUUGUUCUUUCAAUAGAAGAAAUGUUCAAAAUUGUACCUUAACAUUUUAGAGUUUUUGUCAAUGAAGAAUAAUCGGAACAAACUCUAACAAAUUCUAUCUUAUGCUCUCUCUAGCUUUUAACAUGACUGUCCAUAUUAUAUUGUGUUGAUUGGUUGGGCUCUUGAUGAUUAUAGAGAGGUGUUUUUGUUAAUCUCUCAAUCUAAUUGCCUUUAUGUCUUAUUUCUAAACUUCUUGUGUACAUUUGUGCACCUUCUUUUAAUUAGGUGGUGUUAAUAAUAUUAGCUUUUGCAAAAGAAAAAAUAAAUUGUACCUUAACAUUUGAUAUGCCAGGAUUAUCAUCGGUCUGGACUGAGUAGAACUUGUUAAACUUCAUGUUUUCAAAUGCUGCUUUAGUCUAUUAACUCAUUUCUGCAAGGCCUUUUUCUAGGCUUGUCUAGCCUACAAGAAAAGGAAUUGACAAGUACUCAACAUAUUUGAAAUUUAUGUGCAAGACCAAAACUAUUAUAACGAUUGGUAUCUGUUAUAAAAUACCUGUCUAUUGGCUUUUUUUGCCUCUCGGACAUUGUCUUUGACAAAAUUAUGAGCAACCAAAACAAUUUAAGUUCAUGGUAUGGUUAAUUACAUGCAAGAGCAAUCAAUUACAUGCAUAUCAUCAAUUACAAAUCACCUUAAAUGCAUCCUUUUGAUCUGCAUCAAAUUCAUUCUCCUCAAUCAGCUUAUCAGUGACCUCCUAAAGAUAAGAGAAGUACAGUUAACCACAAGAUGUAAAUAAAACAUAAUCAAAACCUAUAAAGCUUAUGAGUAAUGAAGCAACUUAUUCUUUUAGAGGGUUUCUUCCACAACACUCCCCUAGGAAAUAUUAAAGCAGGAACAAGUCGUCCUUUGUCUUAUUAAAUGUCUAACCAUCAAAAAUCACUCUAAACUAAGUUUAGUAUCAAUUGAUUUAUAGAUGCGAGACAGCUAAACCCACAAUAAGAUGGUAACAAGGAUUCUUUCAGCUAAACAGAAAAUACAGCCAUUUGACCAAAUUGGUUUACAAGGUUGUUGAAUUAUCUAAUAAUUAGCUCAUGAUUAUACAUAAACAUAGAAAAUUGGGGAUAAGUUUAAGCAACCAGACCAUGUCAUUACAAUAUUAUCAACUGAUUUAAACAGGUUAUAUGGAAUAGCACAAACGAUUUAUGGAAGCAUUAAGAAAUUGUCAAUAAUAUAACCUUAAAAAAUAAAAAUGUCAUUUACUAUAGUUUUAUAUAUAUAGGGAGGAGAUAGCACCUAACCUGGUAGUCAAAUGAACCAUGCAUGCAUUGGAAGCAGUCUUGAUAACUUAUCCCUUCUAUUGUACCAUAAAAAAGACAUGACAUAGCCUCAAAAUCUAUUAUUCACUAUCGAUGACCAAGUUGAAGUUUAAAUUUGAAUGUAUAGUUAAAAAAUUGAAUGAAAUAAACAAAAGAAAUUAAUUGUGAAGGUUACCCAAUACUAUUCUGCAUCGUUGGUUGACCAAAUAUUAGCUAAAACCAUUUCACCAAUUUCGUUUUCGCUAUCAAGAACCAUAUGAGUUGCAAAUUUCAAUCUUUCAAGGCUCAUGCGUUCCUACACAUUAAACUUAUGUUAGACCCUACAUCCCGGUAACAUUUAACAUGUACAUUUGAAAAUAAAACCAUAACAUCAUAUUUAACAACUUACAGAAUUAAUGGUUCUAUUAAGACCACUUCCAUCCCAAUGUUGCAUAUAGAGAAUAGCAUACAUCCCAAUAUGACAUUUGCAAUAACAAGUAUGAUUUGUGACAUGUUAUUAACAUAGGACCCAAUUAGGAUUGAAAAUGAAUACAUGAAAAAAAAAAUGUAACUAACAAUUUUGGAUCGCCAUCGAUAUCUGCGUACUGUGGAUGUAAAUUAUUUAUAUUCACAUCAUUCUGUUUGAAGGAAUUUUUUAAUAACUGCGACAUAAAUCCAACUACUUUGAAAGCUUCAUUAACAAAGUGAACACGUUGAAUGCUAUUAUAUGAUGAAAGUAGAUCCACCCUUUUAGCCUCCAAAUUGAUUACCAUGAUGACCCAUUCAUUAAAUUGGAAUAAGGGGAUAUAAAACUACAAAACAGACAAUCAUCAUAACAACAAUGAAGGCUUAAAUAUUUGAAAUAUAAAUUCGAAAUUAUUAAAAAAUUGUCAUCAAUCUAUGUAAUCAAUACAAUAGUCAAGCAUUACCUGGUUGCAACAUUCAAGAUUAACACAAUAGCUACCUAAUCUUUUCUUGAGUGUUGAUUUUGAGGUAGACUUGCUCAUUGAACCACAUAUUUCCUGUAAAAAGUUGUUGAGAGCAUAGUAACAAUGUAUGACUAAAGCUAUACAUGCAUCUUAUAUUAAGGACAAGAUUUGGUGUACUCGAGGAAAAAACCUCACCCCAAAGUAUGGAUUAAAAAAAUGUCUGCGAUAAGGAUUCUCUUCUUUUGCAUUCAUGUAUCGGCAAAACAUGGAAAUCACCUACAUAAUGCCUCUUCAUUAGUUAAAAUGAUCAAUGGAAAGAUGAAGGUAUUUUUUUCUUAUUUAUCAUAAACCUUACCGGAAUAUCAAUGAAGUUCUCCCCUACUAAGCAUUGAAAUUGUUCCCGUGUCACGCCAUAGCCACCAUAUGCACAAAGCAUCUCACUAUUAAUCACAUGAAACACAAGACGUGAGUAAUUUUUUUUGUUUUCUAGAUAAAUCCAUAAUCAUAGUCUUUUAAGAACAAUACUUGCUAAACGUGUGAUUUGGGACUAACCUUGGAUCUUUUGACUCGUCAAAUACAUAGUCGGCAACAUGUGUCUCUUCCUCCAUCAACCUUUUAUAUUUUGAUACACAUAAUUGUACAAAAGGUGACUUACACGCAACUGCUCGUUGCCUAUGACGACGUACUUUCAUUUUUACUCUUUGUGGUCGUAUUUCUUCUGAGGCUUGUGGUGCUACAUCCACAUUGUUGUUCAUGCACGAUUGCACUAACACCAACAUAUUGUGUGGCCCAGGGUGAAGGGGAUCCUCGUUUGAAAAGAACACACCAUCUUCUACGUUGGGUCUUUCUGACACCCCUUCAUUUGUACAUCCAACGUCAUCUUCAAAAGAUCUUCUUUGACCACCAGAAUGAACAAGUGAAUGUUGUGGAUUAUUUGUAUAAAAUGGUGCACCACUUUCAUUAACAUGUUCAUGAAAAUUUGACGGUUGGCCUUCAUCUGUGCGAUAGUGUGAAGAGGUGAAACGAGUUCUCAACACUUUCACGUCACGGUUGUAUGAUGCAAUAAGACUAUUAAGAUGACUUUGUGCAUCAAUGAUUUGACGUUGUGUUGCCUCCAUGCGAGCACAAAUAACCUAAGUCAAACAUAAUGAAGAAACAUUAAAUGACACAUAUUUAAACUAGGUCUUAAUAUAAGUUACUAUUCAUAGUCAUUAGGUAUGAAGGAUUACAUCAAAGUCUUCAUUCUCAUCUGGGUCAACUGGGUCAUCAACUGUAGGAGCCUUAUUUUUUUCUGUUUCAUCUUGCUCCGCCGAUGUGCUAACCAACUAUCAUUGCAAAACAUGUAAAUUAUCAUCCCAAUAAUCUAAUUACAAUGGUAAUCAACUAUCUUAAUAUAACUAAAAGCUAAUUAUACCUCAAUUUUGCCAAAUCCUCCAAGCAUUUCUAACUCCAACUUGAUGCGUUGCUUGACCAAAAAAUCAUUCCAUGCAGCAAUGCGAGGAGUGGUAAGUUCCACAUACAUGGCUGGAAAAUUAGAUAUUGAAAAGUAGAAUAUCUAUUGCAUUAUAUAAGACAUAAUUAGUGGUAACAUCAUGGCCAACAUAGUGUAUAACCAUUAUUGAAUAUCUAAUACAUGGACAUAUACUUAUAAAUAAGACAAAAAGUUACCUGUAGAAACAUCAAACACCCUUUAAUCCAAACACUUUCCUUCCUCCUAUGUUCAUGUAUAGCUUGAAUAAAAAAUUCUAAGACAUAUUCUCCCCAAUUUAUGCUCCCAAGUAACUGCUCUCGGGGUGUAUACCAUAACGAGUGACUACCUUCCAAACAAGAAGUGGGUGCCAAUAAGGUUGCACAAGCGAAAAUCAAGAAGACCCGCUUAAAUUCCUCCAUAUCAUCGAUGCCAACCAUCAUUGACUCUAUAUCUUGCAAACUCGGCAUUUGACUAGCUUUAACACUUCCUUUAUCAACAAUUAACUUUCUUCCACUAUGUGGAAUGCCCAUCGUCAUCCCAACAUCAUGACAUGUCAAAGAAACCUUCUUACCCCCAAAUAACUUGAGUUGGGAAUAAGCAAUGUUUGUGUUUUUUAUCAACCAAAAACAUAAAUCUAAAUUAACCUCCUUACAACCUAAUUGCAAUAGCCCACCAAAACCAAGUUCUCGUAUUACAUCCUUCUUCACUUCUAAGAGCAAAUGGAUUCCAGAGAGGAAUCUACGGCCAAAACAACGACACCGUAUGUUCAUAUUAUCACUGCAUUAAACAACCAUAAUUCAUUAAUAAAUUAAUCAAAUGUUAAAGACAUGUGAACGUGAAUAUAGUUAUCCUAUAUACAUUCAUCAUAAUUAUUACACAAAUAUAACAUAUAUUAACAAAGAAAUGGGAAACAUUUUGUUACAUCAUGUAAAUGAUAAUCAUUGAGAUCGGUUUCCUCUAGCCUUUCAAUAAUAUGGUUAUCAAUAAGGGUGAAAUUGUUAUAUAUAGGGUCACUCACUAUGAUACCCACUGCAAAAAAAAAAAAAAAAAAAACAGACAAUGUGCAUUUUAGUGGGUCAGCCAAUAAAAACAAAUGGUACGCCUCAAAGUUACAUACUCAUCUAACCAAAUCAAUAUAGUUUAGGGAAAAGUGGGAUUUGAUUCACUAAUAAGAAAAUAUAUGGUAAAAAGAAUCUCAAAUAUUUUAAAUUAGUAUUAUCUUCAUCUAUUUAAAAAUAAUUUGAAAUACAUGCAAUGAGUUAUCCAAUUAUUCCAAAAAAUGUCCUUUUAUUUUUUAUGUUAUUCAAAUCCAUUGACAACUACCCCUCCUCCAUAUAAAUGUUUCCUUAUUUAUUUUAGAUUUUUUAUUAUUAUUUUAUUAUUUUAGAUUUUUUUUUUCCUCUAGAAACAAACACCCUUAUAGGAUUCUUAUUUUAGUUUUCUAAAAGUUUAGGAAAUUAUUAUCAAACAAAUCAUAUUUUAAUCAUAAUUACCCAUUUCAAGAAGUAAUAAGAUUGCCUAUUAAAUAANNNNNNNNNNNNNNNNNNNNNNNNNNNNNNNNNNNNNNNNNNNNNNNNNNNNNNNNNNNNNNNNNNNNNNNNNNNNNNNNNNNNNNNNNNNNNNNNNNNNAAUUAUUACACAAAUAUAACAUAUAUUAACAAAGAAAUGGGAAACAUUUUGUUACAUCAUGUAAAUGAUAAUCAUUGAGAUCGGUUUCCUUUAGCCUUUCAAUAAUAUGGUUAUCAAUAAGGGUGAAAUUGUUAUAUAUAGGCUCACCCACUAUGAUACCCACUGCAAAAAAAAAAAAAAAAAAAAACAGACAAUGUGCAUUUUAGUGGGGCAGCCAAUAAAAACAAAUGGUACGCCUCAAAGUUACAUACUCAUCUAACCAAAUCAAUAUAGUUUAGGGAAAAGUGGGAUUUGAUUCACUAAUAAGAAAAUAUAUGGUAAAAAGAAUCCCAAAUAUUUUAAAUUAGUAUUAUCUUCAUCUAUUUAAAAAUAAUUUGAAAUACAUGCAAUGAGUUAUCCAAUUAUUCCAAAAAAUGUCAUUUUAUUUUUUAUGUUAUUCAAAUCAAUUGAGAACUACACUCCUCCAUAUAAAUGUUUCCUUAUUAUUUUAGAUUUUUAUUUUAUUUUUUUAUUUUUUUAUUUAAGAUUUUUUUUCCUCUAGAAACAAACACCUUAUAGGAUUCUUAUUUUAGUUUUCUAAAAGUUUAGGAAAUAUUGUCAAACAAAUCAUAUUUAAUCAUAAUUAUGAAUUCAAAAAGUAAUAAGAUUGUUUAUUAAAUAAUAAAGAAUAAACUCGUAAUAUAUAAUUCUUUUAAUAUUAUAACAAAUUUAUUAUUGAAAAACUCUAAUAACAAAUUUUAUUCAUUAUUAUAUUAAACAAUUAUUAAUAUUAUAUAAUAAAUAGAAAUUUAUUAUUGGUUUAUUUAUUAUCAAGAAUAUGAAUCUAUUUUUAACUUAUUAAUACUAUAAUAAAUUCUGUUUUUUUUUUUUCAAAUUAUUACUUUAUAAUGUUUCUAGAGAAAAAAAAUCCCGAAUAAUAAAAUAAUAAAAUAAUAAAGUAAUAAUAAUAAUAAUAAUAAUAAUAAUUUAAGAUUAUUGACAACUACACUCCUCCAUAUAAAUGUUUCCUUAUUAUUUUAGGUUUUUAUUUUAUUUUAUUAUUUUAUUAUUUAAGAUUUUUUUUCCUCUAGAAACAAACACCUUAUAGGAUUCUUAUUUUAGUUUUCUAAAAGUUUAGGAAAUAUUGUCAAACAAAUCAUAUUUAAUCAUAAUUACGAAUUCAAAAAGUAAUAAGAUUGUUUAUUAAAUAAUAAAGAAUAAACUUCGUAAUAUAUAAUUAUUUUAAUAUUAUAACAAAUUUAUUAUUGAAAAACUCUAAUAACAAAUUUUAUUCAUUAUUAUAUUAAACAAUUAUUAAUAUUAUAUAAUAAAUAGAAAUUUAUUAUUGGUUUAUUUAUUAUCAAGAAUACGAAUCUAUUUUUAACUUAUUAAUACUAUAAUAAAUUCUUUUUUUUUUUCAAAUUAUUACUUUAUAAUGUUUUUAGAGAAAAAAAAUUCCCAAAUAAUAAAAUAAUAAAAUAAUAAAGUAAUAAUAAUAAUAAUAAUAAUAAUAAUAAUAAUAAUAAUAAUAAUUUAAGAUUAUUGACAACUACACUCCUCCAUAUAAAUGUUUCCUUAUUAUUUUAGAUUUUUAUUUUUAUUAUUUUAUUAUUUAAGAUUUUUUUUCCUCUAGAAACAAACACCUUAUAGGAUUCUUAUUUUAGUUUUCUAAAAGUUUAGGAAAUAUUGUCAAACAAAUCAUAUUUAAUCAUAAUUACCAAUUCAAGAAGUAAUAAGAUUGUUUAUUAAAUAAUAAAGAAUAAACUUCGUAAUAUAUAAUUAUUUUAAUAUUAUAACAAAUUUAUUAUUGAAAACUCUAAUAACAAAUUUUAUUCAUUAUUAUAUUAAACAAUUAUUUAUAUAUAAAUAGAAUUUAUNNNNNNNNNNNNNNNNNNNNNNNNNNNNNNNNNNNNNNNNNNNNNNNNNNNNNNNNNNNNNNNNNNNNNNNNNNNNNNNNNNNNNNNNNNNNNNNNNNNNAAUAAUAAAGUAAUAAUAAUAAUAAUAAUAAUAAUAAUAAUAAUAAUAAUAAUAAUUUAAGAUUAUUGACAACUACACUCCUCCAUAUAAAUGUUUCCUUAUUAUUUUAGAUUUUUAUUUUAUUAUUUUAUUAUUUAAGAUUUUUUUUCCUCUAGAAACAAACACCUUAUAGGAUUCUUAUUUUAGUUUUCUAAAAGUUUAGGAAAUAUUGUCAAACAAAUCAUAUUUAAUCAUAAUUACCAAUUCAAGAAGUAAUAAGAUUGUUUAUUAAAUAAUAAAGAAUAAACUUCGUAAUAUAUAAUUAUUUUAAUAUUAUAACAAAUUUAUUAUUGAAAAACUCUAAUAACAAAUUUUAUUCAUUAUUAUAUUAAACAAUUAUUAAUAUUAUAUAAUAAAUAGAAAUUUAUUAUUGGUUUAUUUAUUAUCAAGAAUACGAAUCUAUUUUUAACUUAUUAAUACUAUAAUAAAUUCUUUUUUUUUUCAAAUUAUUACUUUAUAAUGUUUUUAGAGAAAAAAAAUUCCCAAAUAAUAAAAUAAUAAAAUAAUAAAGUAAUAAUAAUAAUAAUAAUAAUAAUAAUAAUAAUAAUAAUAAUUUAAGAUUAUUGACAACUACACUCCUCCAUAUAAAUGUUUCCUUAUUAUUUUAGAUUUUUAUUUUAUUUUAUUAUUUUAUUAUUUAAGAUUUUUUUUCCUCUAGAAACAAACACCUUAUAGGAUUCUUAUUUUAGUUUUCUAAAAGUUUAGGAAAUAUUGUCAAACAAAUCAUAUUUAAUCAUAAUUACGAAUUCAAAAAGUAAUAAGAUUGUUUAUUAAAUAAUAAAGAAUAAACUUCGUAAUAUAUAAUUAUUUUAAUAUUAUAACAAAUUUAUUAUUGAAAAACUCUAAUAACAAAUUUAAUUCAUUAUUAUAUUAAACAAUUAUUAAUAUUAUAUAAUAAAUAGAAAUUUAUUAUUGGUUUAUUUAUUAUCAAGAAUACGAAUCUAUUUUUAACUUAUUAAUACUAUAAUAAAUUCUGUUUUUUUUUUUCAAAUUCUUACUUUAUAAUGUUUCUAGAGAAAAAAAAUUCUCAAAUAAUAAAAUAAUAAAAUAAUAAAGUAAUAAUAAUAAUAAAAUAUCUAAAAAGAAUGGAAAUAUUUAUACAAAGGAUUCUAAUUGUCAAUGGAUUAGGAUGACAUGACAAGUAAAGGGCUUUUUUUGGGAAUAAUUAAAUCAUAAAUUAAAAAGUGCAUGCAUUUUAAAUUAUUUUUAAAUAAAUGAAGAUAAUAUUGGAAUUUUCUUUGUCAACCAAUCAGUUUUGAGAAAAAAUGUUCUUGUAACGGAUAAGCUCUAGGAGGUUAGUUUUUGUAUAUAUAUAUAUAUAUAUAUAUAUAUAUAUAUAUAUAUAUAUAUAUAUAUAACAGUUCAUGUAAAUUUUGAUUUUUUUGUAAAUUAAAAUAUAAUAUUUUUUUAUAUUGAUAAAUAAAAGUCAUAUUGUUUUAAACUACUUUAUUCAACAAACAACAAGAUCGGUGGCCCCAACAUUGAUAUGGUUACAAAAAUAGCUAUAAAAGAAAAUAUGACAUAUCAAAAUCCAAAAAUCAUAGUCCUCAAACCUCUGUUUCAUUAAAAGGUACGUAAUCCUACAAUUCACUUCAUAUGACUCAUGAAGUUAGCGCCAUCAAGAUGAAUUGUCAUAAUUGAAACAAAUCUACAUAAACAAAUAGAGAUCAUUUCACAUUUUAAACUACAAUAUCCAUCAAACAACAACAAGACCAAUGUUUACAAAAUUAAUGAAGUUACAAAACUACUGAAAGAAAAGAGUAACCUACCAUUUAAAAAUUUUCUACAUUUGUAUUAAAAAUAUAUGGUAACAAAAUUUUCUAUUAACAUUAAUUCAUUUAAAUAAUUAAUAUUAUUAAUAAUUUAUCUUAUCAAAUUAAUUUUAAUUUAUAAAAUAUUACUGAUAAAAACUGAAAUUUUGAUUUAACCAAAAUAAAGAUGGAUAAUUAAUUAUUUAUAAUUAAUAAUUAAUAAUUUUGAUUUAUAAUAUUGUUCUUGUGAUUUGUUUCCUUUUUAUUUCUAUACUAUAUCUAAAAAACAAACAUGCUCGUUGCCAUUCGUUGAGGCAUUAUGGGAAGGUGAAGGACCCAACGGUGGAGAAUUUGUUGCCGGAGGUUGAUUUUGAGCACACUGUUGGGAGGAGAUUGGUUUCAACCUCUGGAACUCGGUCUGUGGUUCUAAUGGUGGUUGAUGCUUCAGAUUUUGAUGGGUCCGGCCACCACGCGUGAGGCAUCAAGAAGCCCCUUUGUUGAAUUCUUCUCCAGGCAAGCAUCAUGCCUUAUUUUCCUCUGCCACUCUCAAUCCUCGCAGGUGCUAAUCUAAUCAUGUUAUUAAUAUUUAUUUUCAACCCCAAUUUGCUUCCCAAGAAAAUCCAUCCCCCAUUCGAUUUCCGGGAAAAUUCAUCCUCGUUUGAUUUCCGAGAGAAAUCCAUCAAAACUCCCAAGGAAAACCAAAAAAAAAAAUGCUUUUAUUUUGUUGCUCCCUGUGUUUUCUGGAUCUGUUCUAAGGUUUUUUUUUUUUUGUGUGUGCCAUUGGAUUUAAAUUCUACAAACCCUAAAUCCACGAUUUUUGAGCCACGCUGAAAACCACAACCUUUGCCCUCAAAUUGUGGAUCUGUGUGCGUGUGCGGCAGGUUGGAUUUAAAUUCUACAAACCCUAAAUCCAUGAUUUUUUUAGCCAUGCUGAAAACCACAACCUUUGCCCUCAAAUUGUGGAUCUGUGUGCGUGUGUGAUAUUUUAAAAAAAAUACCCAAUUUUCUAUCAAAGAUCUCAACAAGCAUCAAUACCAACCCAAAUUAACUCAUAAAUCCAUUACAUUCGUACCUGGGAAAGCUCCUCUCAGCUCGGACCACUUCUCUCUAUUUUCACUGCAAGCUUCCCUCGCGAAUUGUGGCUGUGAAAGAAAGUGAAAAAAUAUGGGUUUUUGGAGUUAGGGUUUGAUUCAGGAGAGAAGAAGGGAUUUGGGGGGUUUGGUUGAAAGAGAGAAGAAGGGAUUUAGGGUUUUGAUUCAACACAGAAGAAAUGAUUUCGGGUAAAUCUCAUUAUUAUAUUUUAGUAAAUAUUUUUUUUAAAAUAUUGCCACAUGGAGUGUCUACAUGUUAUAUGAGCCAUGUCACUGGCUUAAGUGGAACAUGACUUUGCUGAGUAAUUGAUUAUGUCAAAGUGUAUGAGGGUAUUUUUGGAAGGCUCCUCAAUAUCACUAUUACAGUGUAUGAAAGGAGAUUUAUUUUUCACAAAAUCCAUUGAAUUUGAAAAGUAAAAAGUUAAGUUUCCAAAAGGCAAAAUUUUGCCCCUUGGUGUAUGGUUACAUAAAUUCCCCUUUGGAAAAUAUGGAGCAUGUUGGUUACAAAGAGCUUUUUUUGCAAUUUUAGGGGGGACAGCAGGGGGUGGAGAAGAAAAAAUGGGAAGAAUGAGAUAGUUGGAGAGUGAGGGAAUCAGAGAAUGAGAUGGGGAUUAUAGAGGAGGAGCGUGUUGAUGGUUUUGAGAGUGAAGAUAGAUUGAGAGGAGCUUCCUAGGUAUGAUUACCAUGAGUUCUUUUUUUUUACCUUUUACUUCCACACCGAUUUUCUUUCGUUUUCAGUUGCUUUUCUAGGUAUUUGAUUUGUAGAUCCGGUGAGGCUCUUAUCAUGUUCAUUAUGAGGUAUCUAGAGAUUAUUGGCUGCAUUUUUUUGCUUUGAAUCGGUUUGUGGCUUUUCCACCCGUAUAAGUCCAUUGAGCAAUCAUGAAAUGUGGGUACCAUUGGUUCGUUUUUGUUUCUUUUUCCCAUGCUCUAUUUUCUUGGUUGGUUUUCCCUAUUUUCUAUGUGUGUUUUCAGGCGUAUAUCAGUAUGUACAUCACCAGCUGCUUGUAUAGAGGGUAUCCAACAACUAUCUAAGGCAUUGGCAUACAAAAUCACUUUCCAUGAUCUUAGUCAUGUCCUAUGGGAGGGUUUGUACGUUGGUGAGCCGUCAUCUUGAAGGAUUGAGCCUCUACUUUGGGAACUCGAGUAGAACUUGAUGAUUGUAUCGGAUGCCAUAUAUGAAAGAGUUCGGACACGGGCUAUUACUGACAUAAUGGGAGCUUCCUUUGAUGGGUUCUUGUUGAUUUUGCUUACUGGAGGUCUAUCUCGUGCAUUUUCUCGGUAGAACUCUCCAAAUAAUAGAGGAUGAUUUCAAAUCCCUUAAAGAUGUGUUUUGGUCUAAUGAAGAUGAUUUGUCAGCUGAUUUGAUAGACAAAUUCUUAGGCACAGUGAGAGGCGUGCUCCCUCUGUUCUGAACUGACACAGAGAACCUCGUCCAGCGCUUCAGGCAUGUGACUUUGGAGACAUAUAGUUCUUCUGUCAGACCUAGACUCCCAUUACCUCUUACUUUGGGGCAAUAGAACUCAAUUGAAUCGAACACACUCUUGUGUGUUUUAUAUCACCGUAAUGGUGAAGCUGCUUCAAAGUUCCUUAAAAAAACCUAUAACUUGCCUAAGAAACUGUAAUGAACUUGAGUUGUGACAAAUGGUGAAGCGAUGCAGUUCCUAUCCUUGCAUAGGAAUUACACUUAGCAGAACUUUUUGCUUGUAUUUGGUAGAAACUUACCCAGGUGUGGUGGUCAUUUCGAGAAUGAAGUUGAAUGAGGACCUCAGAUUGAUUCUCGACAAUUCAAAAAGACCCUUGGCUGCAUAGAGAUCUGGUAUUGAAGCUAGCGCCACUCUUGAAACUGGACGUGAGAGAUUUGGCAAUGGGGUCUUCUUCGUUAAGCUUACAGUUUUCUCAAUUGUUUAAGAUGGCAUGUUGAUAGCACAUGACCAUAUUUUUGGACCCGAUCAGUCCAUCCUGAAACUCAAGAACCUUGAUAAGGUGAUAAGAAGGGUGGAUGCCAUUAGUUAUGGGCUGGCCACAGGAGUCUUUACACAGAACCAACACAUCCAUCUCCAUACCCUUUUUUUUUUCUACCCAUUUUCACUUUCUUCCAUACCCAUCUCGUCAUCUAUCACCCGCUGCCAUCAUACCCAUACCACCAUUCUUCAAAUGCCCAUUAAUCCAUUUCUCAUCACCAUUUUCCAUCACCCGUCCCAUGCAUCCCCCAUUCGUUCAUUUUUGUCAUUCCCCACAUGCAUGAAGCUCCACGCGUGCAUAGGAGUCAUGCGAAUGUGGCCAUCUUUCAUACCCAUUUUCCUUUCACUACCCAUGGCUAUACUUCACACCCAUCCUAUGCACAUGGCCGCUUCUAUCUAACUCCAUUUUCAAUCUCCAUACUCAUCUCCAACUUCAUACCUUACUAAUCACAUACUCGUCACCACCUUCAUCUCUUUAUAUCCUCUAUACCCACCUUUGUACCCAUUUCUCUCACUAACACGUCCACCACCCCUUUCCACCCUUCAUACCCAUUAAACCCAUCAUUCAUUCACACACCCCACUCAUCCCUCCACCACCACUACCACUGCCAGGAAAUCAAAUCCUUCGAUCAGGAGAAAGCAUAAAAAUUUUAAUAUGUUUGCAUGAAUGGACUUCAUAGUGUUCGCAACUCUCGAAAAGAUCGGUUCCCAAGACGCGAAUGGCCUCGCUCCCUAGUCUCUAUGGCCGAAUCUCCAUGCCGCUCUCUCUUCCACCGAACUCGACCUCUCGUCCGACGUCAAGGUAACAAUUUGGGCUAACCUCUUGAAAACUCUGGGCCUUGGGUUCCAGUCGCGGAAUGUCUCUCGUGAUGUCGAUGAUCCUACAAUUCAACCGAGCAAUACGAGAAGCUAAAUUUGAAGAUUGUUGCUGCUGAGCAUCUUCGCGACUCAUUUGUUGGAUUCUGUGAUGCGAAAGCAUCCGUCGUCACCGGCAUCUCGGUGGUGCAGCGCUGCGUGCUUGAGCGACUCUCCACUGCCAGAACAAAUGAAAUAAGCCAAAGUCAACUAUGUGAGGAGUUUGGCAUAAAAACGAACAACAUGUUUUAUGUACUAAGGAACCUUGAAUGUCGAGAGUUGAUUGUGAGGCAAUCAUCUAUUAUGAGAAAGAAGAAGUUGUUUCCAACCAAACUGGAAGAUGUUGCGCACGGGUGGUUUAUAGACCUUGUCCUGGGUCGAGAGUCUUUAUUGAAUUCAUGAAGAAGAGCAAGAAACAUGGCUUAUUGGGUUUCAGGAGCUCCCGGAAUUCCCUUGUUUGGUGGGUUGACAAGAUGAGAGAUCACAAACUCAUUCCUUAAAGAGAACUGGAAAGACAAGCUACAGGAGAAAACGUUCUAUGCAUGGCCACCUUUGGUCGGCCACUCCUAAAACCCACGUGCCCCACUCCUUUAUUCUCAUGCAAGCUUUCAAAAACUUAUUUUCAAAAAAAUUUCGUUUUUACAUGAUUUUAAUUCUUCACUUCUUUUUCUUUCUUAGUUUUAAAUAAAUCCAAUUUUAACAAAUCAACUUUUUCCAUUUUCAACCAGGCAUGCAUGCUUCAUUUUGUUUAUUUAUUUAUUAUCAUUAUUAUUAUUAUUUUCAUUUUCAUUUUUACUUUUAUUUUUAUUUCUUUUCCUUGAUUUUAAAUAUUUUUCAUUCCUUAAUAAAUUUGGCUCCCACAUUUCCUCCCGGCAAACAUCUUUCAUAAACCCUCCUUGAUUUUUAAUAAUUUUCUAUUUUUCACAUUUUUAAUAAGCCUGAAUUUAAUUUUGUAUUUCCAAGUGAUGAAAUUUAUGAAAUUAAUUCAUGCAAAAAUAAAUUGGGCUAUGGUAGGGGCCCAACAUCAGUGAAUGUUUCCUUUAAAAAUAAAUUUGAGUGAAUUGUGAUAUCUGAUGAUUUCUUACUCAGUUUAGUGGCAUGCAUGACAUAGUUUGUGUUCAUUAAUUGUACACUAACCUCAUUUCUUGAUAGCGUAUUAUGGCUUGCUGCCAAGGUACGCCACUCUCACUCUAGCCAUUCUUUAUGCAUGUUUUAAUUCUCCUGUGUGCGUGAUCGUUCUGGGUAUUCACUGAUUUCUUUACCAAUUGUCAUGAUUGCUUCAUUUUAUUAGUAGAGACCCGUUUUUAGGAACUUAGAGAGGUGCUACGGUCUUUAUUGUACCUUCUGAUAAGUAACCUGAUCCCCAAUCUCGAACUCGAUUUUUCACAGAUAUGUUUUUCCUUUUGGAGUCACACUUAGGGUUUUUCUUUCUUAUUUUUUUUUAUCUUAAAAACUAAAACAAAAAUAAGUAGCGACUCCAAGUCUUUAAAAAAAAAAAUCAAUUUUUCACAAAUAAAUAAAAAAACGAGUUUUGCCAUCGAGUGGGAAUACAUCGAGCAAAAUAUGGGGUCCAUAAAAUGGCGACUCCGCUAAAGACGAACUAGAGGGUCAAGCUCAAACUUAAGAUGAGGCGAAUGUGGCGUUUGAUUGACUGAUUAGUGGAUACCCACCUCUCUUUGUGCCUCUGUUGGCAUGACUGUUGAUUGCACAUUGAGAGCUCUUGGUGUCGUUAUCAUUAGAUGCAUAUUUGGUUAUUAUAUUCAUUUGGGACAUUGACAUGCUGAUUGUGAUGAUUGAUUAUCUUGUUUAUCUUACAUAAUGACUUUGGUCUUGCCAUGAUUGUUCUGCUCACCUCACAUGUAUAGACUCAUACUUGUAUAUCAUUUGACUUGAUGUGUUGAUUCUCUCGCUUGUAUAUCAUCUUGAUCAUCUUCGAGCAUACUGUCUUUGUUGCUAUUCAUUUUGAUUGUCAUAGCUUGUAUGUGGACAUGAGUAAUAUAUCUGUAUUUUGCUUGACUAUAUGUUGCAUGACUACCCUCCUCUGUGUGAUUGCAUGUCGCUUGUCUGUGUGGGCCACACAUCUAUCCUCUUACCUCCAACCAUCUAGUUUCAAUCAUUUCUUUCAUUCCGGCUCUCACUUUUGCAAGUGUGAGGCCUUGUGUGUGCUUGUUACUCUAACAGAGCUAGAGGUUAGGAGUAGGGUCUAGCGACAGGCUAUAUCGAUGUUUGGGAGCAUUCUGGAGGAGACCGACACAUUGAUGUUGAUUGGAGUCCGAUCAUUGAAGACCUGUAUAGCCCGGAGCUAGGUUUCAUGGAUAUUUGUGUGGUCAGUGUGUUUCCUCUUUUGUUUCAACUUCAUAGGGUUUUCGGAUGCACCCACACCGUUCAUUGCGCACUCUAGUUGACCAUUGAGCGUUGAGAGUUUUAAGAGUUUUGCCAUAGGAAACCUCCUGGGAUGUCGAGAUAGUGCAUGUGUGAAGAUGAUGACCACCUUACAUGGAAGCGCCUCGUCUCUUCGGAGACGUGCAGAGAGUUGUGUACCGUCGGAUGGUACAAUCGCUUCUUCUAGGGAUCCUUUAAAGUCCACUCAUCUUCUCUUUAGAGCCACCUUCACCUUAUAGGUUGAGCCUUAGAUCUUUUAAUUAGGAUUUCCUUUCCUAAACACGUGGGUGCAUUUCUGAGCCUUCAGAGCUGGUUUAGUAGUGAUAGGAUUAGUUACCUUCAUAAUAGUCUCUUAUACAUCUACUCAAGAUUGGAUAUUAGUUUGAUUGCUUCCGAGUUACCUUUCGGCAUAUUUGAUAGACAUUUCUUAUGGAGUUUCCCUUACCCCGUAUCUUAUUUGGUAUUUCCACUAUUAUAGGAUUAUUGAUACCUUCGAUCUGGGUUCGGCUUCUUGGAUCAAAGUUAGGGGCAGAUUAAUUAGAGUAUCAUACCAGUUAGACCAGAUAUCAGAUUAGAGAGAUAUGAACCCAUAGAUAGUUAUCAUUGACCAAUUUGCUGCAGCCAAGGCUUCGAUUCAGGAGGUUAUAGCUAGCCUUAGCCAGAGGAUAGAUGGGCAGCAAGCCCAGUAGGUCCAGUCUCAGGAUGGCGCUUAGUAUGACCCUACAAUGCCACCACCCCCUCCAUGCAAUCAGUCUACACCAUAAGCUAUACCUUUCACUCUACAUAGUCAGACCGAGGUUGCCCCGCCUUCUGUCACCGUGCCUACCCUGACCUUAGAGGACCCACAUGCUCUUGUGGAUAGACUUGAGCAGAGGUUGAGGUAGUUGAGGACUUCAGACAAAGCUAUUACUUGGGAGGAUUUUGAUGGAGCACUAGUGGCCAAUUUACAGGCCAAGUUUAGGAUGCCCGAGAUUAAGAGAUACAUGGCAUUGGUUGUCCUCACAUCCAUAUGAGGCUUUACAAUACGAUCAUGAGGGCCCAUAGAUUAGAUGAGGCCUAGAUGAUUAUGUUUUUCCUUGUGUCCCUGAGUGGUGCCGCACAGCGAUGGCUUGCUUCAUUGGAUGUAUCAUGCCGUCGGACUUGGGAUGAUUUGACCCAGGAGUUUUUGAGACAGUUCACAUUUAAUGCUAUCAUUGACGUCUCGAGGAAAGAGUUAGAGGCAUUGAGAUAGAGGCCGGAGGAGUCGGUCACCUCAUUUAUCUCCUAGUGGAGGGAGAAGAUUUCACAAGUUAUUGAUAGACCAUCGGAGAGAGAUCAGAUCAGCAUGAUUAUGAGGAGCUUGCAGCCUCAAUUUGCUUGACACUUGAUGGGAUUUCCUCAUACAGAUUUUGGAUCUUUGGUAUAGGCCUUGUAUGGUAUAGAGGAGGGCAUAGCUAGAGGAUUAUGGUUUGAGUCUUCUCCUUUUGAUUCGAAGGGGAAGAAGCCUUUAGGAGAACAGAGAUCAGGAGAUGUGGGUGCUAUCGGUUCAACAGGGUUGAGACCUCCUAGACACUAUCAGAUAGUUGGGUAGACUUUUGGACUCUACUACCUACCAUCACCUCGUGUGUUGUAUAGGCCACGAGCACCUUCACGAUCAUAUGAUCAAGCCUACAUGUCUCCUACAUUAACAAUGCCUUACCACACCGCACAGGGCAUAGAGAGGCCUUCUGUUUCAUAUUCUACUAGAGGGCAGCCACGCUAUGCAGCACAGUUUGCCGUGAGACCUACAACAUCCUAUCCUAGACCUAGAGCUCAACAUACCUCAACUUCUUUUGCUUUGAGGACCUAGUGGCAAUUUUCACAGUUGGUUAUGUCAUUGAGACAAGCUCUUCGGAAGCUCAUAGAGGUUGGGUUAUUGACAACUCACUCCCUGACCAUUACUUUAGCAUGUCCCGCCUCAGUUCAGGAUGGAUCUACACUGUGCAUAUCAUCAGGGGCCAGGACACGAGACUGACCGUUAUACUGCUUUAAGGCAUGCUAUCCAGGAUCUGAUUGAUUAGGGUUUGGUUCACUUGGGUCAACCGAGUGUAACCACAAACCCAUUACCGGCUCAUACUACACAUGCGGUCCCUUCUCCGACCGAGGGCAUACACUCUAUUGACCUCGCUGAGCUUGACGAUCAUGUCCACAUGCUGAGCUAGGAUGAGUCGGAGCCAGAGCCCAUAGUAUCAGACGAGAUUUAUGAGAUAGGCAUAGUGACUUCCCUAAGGCGGCAUCAAUACAGACGACCAUUGUCGAGCCAUUGACUCUCCCACAUUACAGCGCUCAGGCGCCAUUCAUCUUGAUUCUGGAUGAUGAGGAGGUUCAGAAUCCGUAUGUUGAUGUUUCUCAGACUCCAUAUGUUAACGAUGUUCACACUUCAGAUGUACAGUACGUUAUCGGCGGGGGUAGGGUGGUACGACAACAGCCCCCUACAGUCGCUAGACCCUUGGAGGGGACAUCCUCCCAUGAGGAGGUCAGGAAAGAGGAUGAUGAGAUCCUGAGACAGUUAUAGAGCACCUAGGCUCGUAUUUCUAUUUGGAGCUUGCCGGCAUCUUCCAGCACUCAUAGAAACGCAUUGAUUCGAGCCUUGAGUUAUAUCAGAGUCAAGACUAACACCACCCCGGAGGGAUUGAUUCGCAUGGUGACGACUGGCAGAGCCAUUUGCAUAGUAUUCUCUGAUAAUGACUUGCCACCCGAUGGUCCAAACCAUACACAUCCACUGUAUAUCUUAGUCAGUUGUUCAGGCCGUCAAGUCCCAUCUGUCCUUUUGGACAAUGGCUCGGCCCUAAACGUAUGUCCUCUAACCACUGCCAUCACCCUUGGCUACGCACCCUAUGAUCUUGGUCCCUCCACUCAGACAGUUCGAGCUUAUGAUAGCACUCGGAGGAAGGUCAUGGGCACUUUGGAGAUUGAGUUACUGAUAGGUCCGACCACUUUCAUUACUGUGUUCUAGGUUUUGAGGAUUCCUACAUUCUUUAACCUGCUUUUGGGUUGGCCUUGGAUCCAUAGAGCUAAGGUCAUUCCUUAUUCCCUUCAUCAGAAGGUGAAGUUCAUUCACGAUGGUCAGAUCGUCAUAGUGCAGUCUGUAAGAGAUGUGUUCAUUUCUACCAAGUUAGUGUUUUAGAUUAGUCAUAGUGAUGACGACUUAUUUCUGACUAGAUUCACAUUCGACGAAGUGCAGACCCUAGAGAUGGAGGAUUUUUGCCGAUACUUCGUGGCUAUGUCGUUUGACCAACACGGUAGCACGGUGGUGCUCAUUAUGAUGAGGGGUAUGUCUUAUUUUCUCGGGAUGGGAUUAGAGCGACGUCAGCAUGGGCCUAGUGAGUUCAUGACUAUCCCAGAUCAUGAUGUACCAUUCAGACUCGGGUUCAUCCCCACCGAGGCCAAUUAUAGAUAUAUGGCAUGAUUGUGCAAGGAACGGUUGAGGGCUCGACUGACUCAUACACCGUUUGAUUAUCCUAUUCGUCCAUACACCAUGAGUUUGAAAAACUACUUUGUGAGAGUUUCAAAGCCACAUACCUAUUCGGACGGGAUCAUUGAGAGACUCAGCACCACUCAGGAGGUCGAGCUACAGCACCUCGUCCAUUAGCUAUAGUUGAGUGAUGGAGUUCCAGGCACUUCGACAUAUGCGUUGACCACCCCAUCCUUUUCAGAUCGUAUGAGCCUUAUGACCCUCUAUUUCCCAGAUGAGAUCAACGAGCAUGGGACAUUUACCGAGAUCGAAGAUAUAGUGGACAGAUCUAUGCCACGUGACGAGUACGUUGACAAGAUGCUCGUUAUGAGUAUGAGCCAGAUCGAGGAGAUAGUUCAGCCUGAACUCACUUCACCAUUUGAUCUAUUUGGGGUGUUCGUCAUCGAGAUUGCUGAGGAGAUCCUGAUUGCCCCUACUCCGGAGUCUACAAAGUAUGUUUUAGUUGUUGAUGAUUUGUUUGAUGGCCCUGUUGGCCCAGUUGAGGGAGCGUCCGACUUUGUGGACCCACCUCUUUCAUUUGAUGUUUUAUUAGGAUUUGUCUUCCGUUCUGACGAUGUUCAUGACUCUUCAUUUAUGGAUUUGAGCAUUUUCUAUCUGUCUGUCUCAUGAUAUCACUUUAUCUACACUCUCUUCACCCAUAUUACAGAUAUUUGAUAUAGAUGAUGGGAUUAUACAGCACAAUUCAGAUGAUGACUCGUCUUCUACUUCUAAUUCUGACCCCAUUGAUCAGAGAGUUUCACUUGCCACAAGAGACGCUGAGAUUGUUGAUUUUGGUACAGCAGACCAGCUGAGGGAACUAAAGAUUGGAUUGGAUUUGUCUACAGAUGAGAGGGAUGGCCUCGCCCGGUUGCUCAGAUCGUAUUUGGAUGUUUUUGCAUUGUCCUACGAGGACAUGCUAAGCCUUGAUCCAUCCUUAAUUCAACAUCACUUGCUACUUCUGCCUCAUGUCAGACCGGUUAAGCAGAAGUUGAGGCGAUUGCACCAUCGUUGGAGUUUGCAGGUGAAAAAGGAGAUUCAGAAGCAACCAGUGUGGGAUUUUUAUCAAUAGUCGAGUAUCUCGAGUGGCUAGCCAAUGUUGUCCCUGUUCCCAAGAAAGACGGCAAGGUGAGAGUCUGUGUUGAUUUCCAAGAUCUCAACAAGGCCAAUCCUAAGUAUGAUUUUUCCCUCCCACACAUCGAUAUGCUAGUUGACAGUACGGCAGGUCAUUCAAUGUUGUCCUUUAUGGACAGAUUUUCCAAGUACAGUCAGAUUCUGAUGGCUCCAGAUGACAUAGAGAAGACGUCCUUCAUUACUGAGUGGAGUACUUAUUGCUACCGAGUCAUGCCAUUCGAAUUGAAGAAUGCAAAAGCUACUUAUCAAAAAGCAGCGACUACUCUAUUCCAUGACAUGAUGCAUUGGGAUGUCGAGGUUUAUGUAGAUGACAUGAUAGUAAAAUCCUGAGAUAGAGUAGAUCACCUAGCAGCCUUGGAGAGAUUCUUUGAGAGGAUCAGGUAGUUCAGAUUGAGAUUGAAUCCUAAGAAGUACACUUUUGGAGUGACUUCUGGGAAGCUACUAGGAUACAUGGUUAGUGAGAGAGACAUAGAGACAGAUCUAGAUAAGAUGAGAGUUAUCAUUGACAUGCCUGCGCUGAGGACCGAGAGAGAAAUCAGAGGCUUCUUGGGUAGACUUCAGUACAUCAGCAGAUUCAUUGCUAGAUUGACAAACAUCUGUGAGCCUAUUUUUCGACUCUUGAGGAAGAGUCAACCUACCGAUUGGGAUGAUCAGUGUCAGCGCACAUUUGAGAGGAUCGGAGAGUACUUAUUGUCGCCUCUAGUCUUGGUGCCUCCUACACCAAGUCAUCCUUUACUCUAACCUGUCGGUUUCAGACGUAGCUUUAGGUUGCAUGUUGGUUUAACUCGAUGAUUCGGGCAAAGAGCAAGCUAUUUAUUAUUUAAGAGGAUGUUGGAUUAUGAGACGAGAUAUGUCAUGAUUGAGCGCUACUAUUUGGCAUUGGUUUGGGCUACUCAAAGAUACAUUACAUGACCGAGUAUUCAGUGCACUUGAUAUCCCAUCUUGAUCCUCUGAGAUAUUUGUUUGAUAAGACUACUUUGGUCGGUCGCCUCAUGAGAUGGUUGGUACUUUUGACUGAGUUUGACAUUCAUUAUGUCACUCAGAAGUCUAUCAGAUGGAGCAUUGUUGCAGAUCACUUAGCCUCACUACCGGUUUCAGAUAGUAGAGCUAUUGAUGAUGAUUUCCUAGAUGAGGAUGUUGCUGUUGUGACUAGUCUAUCAGGUUAGUGCAUGUACUUCGAUGGUGCGGCAAACCAUUCUGGAUAUGGAAUAGGUGUCUUGUUGAUAUCCCCUCAUGGUAACCACAUUCCUAGAUUUGUUCGUUUAGCGUUCUCGGAUCAACAUCCUACCACGAACAAUAUUGUUGAGUAUGAGGCUUGCAUCUUGGGAUUAGAGACAACUCUUGAGCUAAGGAUUAGACAAAUGGAGGUGUUUGGUGACUCCAAUCUGGUAUUAAGACAGAUUCAGGGUGAGUGGAAGACUAGAGAUGUUAAGCUUAGGCCUUACCAUGCAUACUUAGAGCUACUAGUUGAGAGAUUUGAUGAUUUGAGAUACACACAUAUGCCUAGAGCACAGAACCAGUUUGCUGAUGUCUUAGCUAGUCUAGCUUCCAUGAUUGAUAUUCCCACUGGUACCAUUGUUUGCCCUUUAUUGAUUGAGCCGAGAUCAAUUCCUACUUAUUGUUGCUUAAUUGAUGAGGCAGAGUUUGAUGAUGACUUACCUUGGUACCAUGACAUAUACCAGUUUCUGAGACUUGGCGCAUAUCCUGGGGUCACCACGGCCAAGGAUAAGAGAGCAUUGAGACAGUUGGCCGCCCGAUUUGUGAUUUGUGGUGAGACAUUAUACAGACGAUCAGUCGAUGGGAUGUUAUUAUUGUGCUUGGACCGCGCCUCCGCCAAUCGAGUGAUGAGAAAGGUUCAUGCGGGAGUUUGUGGACCACAUAUGGGAGGACAUAUGUUAGCCCGUAAGAUCAUGAAGACUGGCUAUUUCUAGUUGACCAUGGAAACAAACUAUUGUCAGUUCAUUCAGAGAUGUCCAAAGUGCCAGAUACACAAGGACCUCAUUCACAUGCCACCUUCAGAGUUACAUGCAUUGACUUAACCAUGGUCAUUUUCAGUAUAGGGUAUCGACAUCAUUGGGAAGAUUUCGCCGAAGUCUUUCAGUGCUCAUGAGUUCAUUUUGGUCGUCAUCGAUUACUUCACCGAUUACUUCACCAAGUGGGUGGAGGCUGCUUCGUAUGCGAGAUUGACAUCAUCUGGGGUCGCUAGCUUCAUCAGAUCACACAUUAUUUGUCGUUAUGGAGUCCCUCAUGAGUUGAUUUCCAACAGAGGAGUACAUUUCAAAACAGAUGUUGACACUUUGUUACAGAGAUACGGUAUUCAGCAUCAUAGAUCGUCUACGUACAGGCCGCAGACUAACGGAGCGAUAGAGGUUGCGAAUAAGAAUAUUAAGAGGAUCUUGUGGAGGAUGGUUGAGACUUCUUGGGAUUGGUCAGAGAAGCUCCCUUUUGUAUUGUGGGCUUAUUGGACUUCUUUUCGCACCUCUAUAGGAGUCACACCUUACUUCUUGGUGUAUGGUAUGGAGGCAGUGCUACCAGUUGAGAUUGAGAUGGGCUAGUUGAGGGUAGCAUCGGAGCAGCAGAUUCCAAAGGCAGAUUGGGCUCAGACUCAAUUAGACCAGCUCAAUUUCCCAAAUGAGAGGAGAUUGAGGGUAGUAGACUUGUUUGUGCCUACCAGAGGAAGAUGGUCUGUGCUUUUAAGAAGCGGAUCAAGCUUAGACCGCUAUAGAAAGGUGACUUGGUUCUGAAGGUCAUCAGGGGAUUGAUCAGAGAUCUUAGAGGGAAAUUCAGACCCAAUUGGAACGAACCUUACUUCAUUAGGGAGCUGACCCCAAAGAGCGCUGCAUGGUUGAUGGAUCUAGAUGGAAACCGAUUCUCAGAGCCGACCAAUGUGGAUCGACUAAAGAGGUACUAUGUUUGAGACCAUGGUCAUAGGAUGGGUGGCCAUCAUUUCGAUUAGCCAUAUACUCUUUCACCCUUUUGACAUAUAGACUAUUGCUAGCCCAUUGAGCCUCAUGUGUGCAUUAUAGUCUUUCUUUCUUAUCGCAUUGCUCACAUUUUUGCACUAGAAUGGGGGCCCUUUAGUGUAUGCAUGCAUUGUUUGGGAGUCUCAUGAGUCUUGGACCUACAUGUGCAUCUUUCUCUCAUUAUUUUUCCUACCAUCACAUUACUGCAUUCCAUCAUAUCUCAUUGGUUGUGUUCUUCAUCUCUUCUUUUUUAUUCUAUCUACUACUUGUUUUGUUUCAUAUUCGCUCUACCCUAAGUGGUGAUCCUUCUCAGUUCAUUACAUAGAGGAUAGUCACAUCAUUUCCACUAUCUAUCCCACGGGCAUUGGUUCGGAGAUUCUUAGUUUGAGAAGGUCAUCUUGCCAGAGAGAGUUUUUGUUACCUUAGCACUUGAGAGUGUGUCUAUCCAUCAUUGAUAUCGUUUUUUGGGCUUAUUUUGUUCACAUUUAAGGUAUAUGCAUUUGUAUAUAUGUAAAAAAAUAAAUAAUAAAAUAAUAAAAUAAAAAUAAAAAAAUAAAAUAAAAAUAAAAAUAAAAAUAAAAUGAUGAAAAAAUGAAUGAAAAGAAAAAAAAAAUAAGCACAUGUGUGUAUGUGCAUAGUAUUUUCCAUCAUUGGGCAUGUAUAUUGAUGUUUGAGGGUCACUUCAUUAAGUAUGUUGAUGGGAGCUCGUAUGUAAGCUUUCCGAGACCCUUCAUUAUUUGUAUUCAUGUUUCAUAUAUUUUGAGAGUGAAAUAAGUGACCUUUCUCUUAGGAGCUCUAUGUCAUUGUAUCUUCCAUCAUUACAUUCAUUACUGAUGUGACUUCACUUCAUGUUGGAUUUGAGCGAAUCAUCACUUCUCUUUGUGUUCUUCGCUUCACCAUUAUCCUCGUUUUUGCUUUUGAUUCAUCAUCCUCAUCUCACCCCUUAUCAUUUUCUUACAGCGACCCUUAUUCCCAGUUUGAUACUUCCUGUGCAUCAUCCUUACAUAUCUCGUUACCAAAUCAUUUUUCUUCAUUGCCUCGUUAUUGAUAUUAUAUUCACAUUGGGCACCUUUAGGUCCAUGGCUCACGAGUUUUUCUAUACAUGUUGCAUUUUAUACAUGAGGGCAUGGGUUUUUUUAUCAUUGGGUAUUUGGGCCUAGUUUCCCUUCAUUUCUAUUACCUUAUCACCCUAGCCUACGUUACGUCCCAUGUUUUAAGACCACCUUGAGGCCAUGGGAUCAGAUGUCGUUCUCGAUAGCCCCUACUUGGACAGGUGUUUAAGAUUUGGUUGAUAUUUGGAUGUCAUCAUGCUUCUUCUUCUGGGGGAUGCUUCAUUGAUGUUUGGGUUCGUUUCAACAGUGGGUUUGGAUGACCGGGAUUGCAUAUUUGAUGAUUAAUGAUUUGGUGUUGCCUGAUUCGAUGUCAUACUAGGGUAUAUUUCCGUUUUGGAUGAGAUUUACGAAUUUUCAUGGACUUGCAUGAUCAUCCCCAGUUACAAGAUACACGUCGAGGCGAUGACAUUUUUGUUAUCUUAUCACGAUCCCCUAGUGGAGCCUCUCUUGAGCCACUCAGUCAGGCCCACACUUUUCUGCAUUCAGAUGUCAUCAUGCCUUCUUUUAGGAGAGCCUUUUGGACGCUUAGAUCUGAUUCAAUCACGAAUGUGGAUGACCGGGAUUGCACAUUUGCUGAUAGGUGAUUUGACAUCAUUUGAUUUUUUUGGCCUAUCAUACGUUCGAUGCCAUACUGGGGCAUAUUUAGUUUCGGAUAAGAUUUACAGAUCUUCAUGGAUCGCACGAUCAUCUCCACUUAUGAGAUACACAUCGAGACGAGGACCCAUUCGUUAUUUUAUUAUGAUCCUCCAAUGGAGCCCUCAAUGAGCCAUUUAGUCAAGCCCGCAUUUCUCGGCAUUCAAAUGUCAUCAUACUUCCCCUUCUGAGAUCUUCAUAGAGCUGCAUGAUCACUCCCACUUACGGGAUACACGCCGAGACGAGGACGUGUUUGUUAUUUUAUCAUGAUCCCUCAGUGGAGCCUCUCUUAAGUCAUCCAAUCAAGCCCGUAUUUUUCGACAUUUGUAUAUCAUCAUGUUUUUUCUUCCGGGAGACAUCUCCUUGACAUUUGGGUUCAACUUGGAUCACGGAGAUCACACAUUUGAUGAUGGAUGAUUUCAUGUCACCUGAUUCCUGACCUACCAUAUAUUUGAUGCCAUACUAUGGCAUAUUUGGUUUCGGAUGAGAUUUAUGGAUUUUCAUGGAGUCAAACGGUCAUCUCCACUUACGAGAUACACGCCGAGACGAGGACCUGUUCGUUAUUUUAUCAUGGUCCUCUAGUGGAGCCCUUCUUGAGCCAUUUAGUCAGGCCCGCAUUUUUCGGCAUUCAAAUGUCGUCAUACUUCCCCUUCUGAGGUACACUUUUUUUAUCUGUGAGUCUGAUUCAGUUAUGAACGUGGAUGACUAGGACUACACAUUCGAUGAUGGAUGAUUUGAGGUCAUCUGAUUUUCUGACCUAUUACACAUCUGGUGACAUACUGGGGCAUAUUUCCUCUUUGGUUGAGAUUUAUAGAUCUUCAUGGAUUUGCAUGAUCACCCCCAGUUACGAGAUACCCACCGAGCUGAUGAUUUGACUUCAUUUGGCCUUGAUUCUCCAGUGGAGCCUUUCUUGAGACAUUCGGUCGAGCUUGUAUUUUCUUAUAUUGUCAUGAUUCUUGGAUAUAGUUAUCUCAGAUGCAUAGACUCUCGCAUCAUCAUUUCAGUGGAGUACAGGUCGGAUCUCCUAUACGUCCCCAUUGAGUCAUUCUCGAGUUAUCAGGACAGACCGGAUGCCCUAGUUGCUAUACUGGGGCAUAUUCCCCCCUUUCAGCUAUGGAGAUGAUUGUUUUCUCAAAGACUUGUUACAGUCCACAUUACUCGGUCAAGAGAUGUUUAUUCACAUUGAUGGUCGUAGUCUUGAUGAUUUUUGCCUAAAGAAGCCUUAAGCAGAGCACAACCUCAAGGAUUUGACUGCCCUACUAUCCAUGACUCUUCAGUAGAUUGAGAUCGUGGUAGUUACCCUAGUGAACUAUUCGCUUGAGACUCCCCAUUGGAUCAUUCAUUUGAGAUGACGAUGGAUUCAUCCAGUAGAGUAUUUUGAGUUGGAAACGUUCGACUUAUUCUGGCACUUUGUCAGGCUCACGAUUUAGUCAAAUGGGUAGUGAGGCCAUAUUUAUAGUCGAUUUGACUAUUCCGACUCGUCAGCGGAGCAUCUUUUGAGACUCAUGGAGUCUUUUUCAAACCCUUCCCAUGGAUUGAGAGUUGUAAUAACACGCUACAUUGGGGCAUAUCUUCCCCUCAUUAUCUUCUUGCAUUUUUAGCUUGACAUUCGAAGCCAUCAGGUCUCUUUUUCCGUUUGGCGUUCAGAGUCGCAUUUUCAUUUUGGCAUUCAAGGCCGCAUUCUCAGUUUCAGCACUCAGAUCUAGCAUUUUUUUUCAAUCAGCAUUCGAAGUCAUCAUAUCAUUGCUUCUCAGUUUCGGCGUUCAAAGUCAUCAUCGCUUCUCAGUUUCGGCAUUUAGAGUCAUCAUCGCUUCUCAGUUUCGGGGUUCAGAGCCAUCAUCGCUUCUUAGUUUCGGCGUUUAGAGUCAUCAUCGCUUCUGAGUUUCGGCAUUUAGAGUCAUCAUCCCUUCUCAGUUUCAGCGUUCAGAGUCAUCAUCACUUCUCAGUUUCGGCGUUCAAAACCAUCAUCGCUUCUCAGUUUUGACGUUCAAAGCCAUCAUCUCUUCUCAAUUCUGGCAUUCAAAGCCAUCAUUGCUUUUCAGUUUCGGCGUUCAGAGCCAUCAUCGCUUCUCAGUUUCGGUGUUCAGAGUCAUCAUCUCUUCUCAAUUCCGACAUUCAGAGCCAUCAUCACUUCUCAAUUUAGGAGUUCAGAACCAUCAUCGCUUCUCAGUUUCGGCGUUCAAAGCCAUCAUCGCUUCUCAGUUUCGGCGUUCAGAGUCAUCAUCGCUUCUCAGUUUUAAGCGUUUAGAGCCAUCAUCUCAGUUCCGGCGUUCAGAGCCAUCAUCGCUUCUCAAUUUUGGCGUUCAAAGCCAUCAUCACUUCUCAGUUUCGGCAUUCAAAGCCAUCGUCGCCUCUUAGUUUCGGUAUUCAAAGCCAUCAUCACUUCUCAGUUCUGGCAUUCAAAGCCAUCAUCGCUUCUCAGUUCCGACGUUUAGAGUCGUCAUCCAAAUUUUGAUGUUCAGAGUCGCAUCUUCAUUUUGGCGUUCAGAGUUAUCAUUUGUCCUUAGUUCGACAUUCAAAGUCAUCAUCAUCUCUUCACAAUUCCUAGCGUUCAAAGCCAUUAUUCACAUUCAAGCAUUCAGAGCCACCGUUCAUAUUCAGAUGUUCAGAACCAUCAUCUCUCUAUAGUUUGGCGUUAGGAGCCAUCAUUCUCACAUUUAGGCGUUCAAAACCAUCACCUUUCCAUAUUUUGGCGUUUAGAGCCCUCAUUUUUCUUUAGUUUGGCGUUUAGAGCCACCAUCUCUUUCCAGUUCGGAGUUCAGAGCCACCAUCUCUCCUUAGUUCAACAUCCAAAGCCACCAUCUCUUCUCAAUUUGGGUGUUCAAAGCCACAUAUCCAGUUUGGCGUUCAGAGCUAUCAUCCUAUCAUGAUCAGCCAUUCGUCGCCACCUUUUCGGCGUUCAGAGCCAUGUCUUCGAUUUGGCAUUUAGAGCCACCAUCUUCUUCAGUUUGGCAUUUAGAGUCGUGUCUUCGUUUUGGCUUUCAAAGUCAUCAUCCAACUCGGCAUUUGGUGCUACCAUCUUCCUUUAGUUUUAACAUUCAGAGUUGUCGUGCAUACUCAUUUUGACAUUUUGAGUCACCAUCUUUCCUCAUUUUUGGCAUUUAGAGUCACUUUUCCUCAACCAUGUCAUUCAGAGUCACAGCUCCUGACAUCCAUAUUCACUGGCAUUAUACAUCUUACCUUCAUGGCUUUGCGUUUGUCCUUAGUCUUUCCUCACCUCGUUACAUUGUGCUUGUCGCUUAUUCAUCAUGCUCUUCUAAACUUCCCAUCCCCUUGCACAUGACAUGGUCCCUUGAGUUCACGACACAUAUCUCGAUCAUGUUGUUGGGCACCCUACACUUAGCGUCCUCGUGCAGUUACAUAGGGCAGGCCCCUUUGGAUGAAUCAUUUCCUGCACUUGGAGAUGGUUCAACCAUUACUCAUCUUUGACACCGAUUUUUGAGUCACUUUUGGAGAAAUCUUAAAUAGAGUCUGGAUCCCUAAUGCUGCCUUGGGAACACUCUGAGAAUUACCUUCCUCUUAGGAUUUUAGACCCUUGAGCGAUCUUAUGUUUUACUUAUGUACCUUUCGAGGGUCUUUCUUUGUUCUUCAAUAGAGUUCACUUCAUUCCACUCACUUUUCACACUUUCUAUUCACUCUAGUAUUCAUAUUCCUUUCACUCGUGAACUCUAUCAAAGAGGGGCAUAUUUAUAAACCCCUUCUGAUGAAGGGCAUUUCUUUUAGUUUUUCUUUUCUUUUCUUAUUUCUUCUUCAUUUUUCCUUCUAGCCACCCCGAGAAGGAGUUAUUCUUGGCCAGCCAAAGAUAGAAUUGGAAGUGAAAGAAAGCGGUUAAUGGGUGAUCCAUUCUCGGGCAGCCAAAAAGGAUUGGGAAUGAGCUAUUUUUUGGUGGCUAGAUGGGAUGGAAAACAGGAAGAAAAGCAAUUGAUGGUAAGUUGUUUCAAAAAUGAGGGACACAGCUAGGCAAAGAGGAGACAAAAUUGAGCAAAAAGGAGGCACGGUAGAGCAAGAAGCGAACACAUCUAUUUGGAAAAGAUGGAGCAUGUCAGUUACAAAGAGUUUUUUUUGCAAUUUUAGGGGGGACAGUAGGAGGUGGGGAAGAAAAAAGGGAAAGAACGAGAUAGCUGGAGAGUGAGAGAAUCAGAGAAAGAGAUGGGGGUUACAGAGGAGGAGCGCGUUGAUGGUUUUGAGAAUGAGGAUAGCUUGAGAGGAGCUUCUCAGGUAUGACUACCAUGAGUUUUUUUUUUUACCUUUUAUUUCCACACUGAUUUUCUUUCGUUUUCAACUGCUUUUCUGGGUAUUUGAUUUGUCGAUCAGUGAGGCUCUUAUCAUGUUCAUUAUGAGGUAUCUAGAGAUUAUUGGCUGCAUUUUUUUUGCUUUGAAUCGGUUUGUGGCUUUUCCACCGGUAUGAGUCCAUUGAGCAAUCAUGAAAUGUGGCUUCCAUUCAUUCGUUUUUGUUUCUUUUUCCCAUGCUUUGUUUUCUUGGUUGUUUUCCCCUGCUUUCUAUGUGUGUUUUCGGGUGUAUAUCAGUAUGUACAUCACCAGCUGCUUGUCUAGAGGGUAUCCAACAACUCUCUGAGGCAUUGGCAUACAAAAUCACCUUCCAUGAUCUUAGUCAUGUCCUAUGGGAGAGUUUGUAUGUUGGUGAGCCAUCAUCUUCAAGGAUUGAGCCUCUACUUUGGGAACUCGAGUAGAACUUGAUGAUUGUAUCGGAUGCCAUAUAUGAAAAAGUCCGAACAUAAGCUAUUACCGACAUAAUGGGAGCUUUCUUUGAUGGGUUCUUGUUGACUUUGCUUGCUGGAGGUCUAUCUCGUGCUUUUUCUCGGCAGAACUCUCCAAACAAUAGAGGAUGAUUUCAAAUCCCUUAAAGAUGUGUUAUGGUCCAAUGGAGAUGACUUGUCAGGUGAUUUGAUAGACAAAUUCUUAGGCACAGUGGGAGGUGUGCUCUCUCUGUUCCGAACUGACAUAGAGAGCCUCAUUCAGCGCUUCAGGCAUGUGACUUUGGAGACAUAUAGUUCUUCUGUCCGACCCAGACUCCCAUUACCUCCUGCUCCGGGGCAAUGGAACUCAACUGAAUCGAACACACUCCUGCGUGUUUUAUGUUACCAUAGUGGUGAAGUUGUUUCAAAGUUCCUUAAGAAAACCUAUAACUUGCCUAAGAAACUGUAAUGAACUUGAGUUGUGACAAAUGGUGAAGUGAUGCAGUUCCUAUCCUUGCGUGGGAAUUACACCUAGCAGAACUUUCUGCUUGUAUUUGGUAGAAACUUACCCAAGUGUGGUGGUUCUUUCGAGAAUGAAGUUGAACGAGGACCUUAGAUUGAUUCUCGGCAAUUCAACAAGACCCUUGGCUGCAUAGAGAUCUGGUAUUGAAGCUAGCGCCACUCUUGAAACUGGAGGUAAGAGAUUUGGCAAUGGGGGCUUCUUCGUUAAGCUUACAGUUUUCUCAAUUGUUCAGGACGGCAUGUUGAUAGCACAAGACCAUAUUUUUGGACCCGAUCAGUCCAUCCUGAAACUCAAGGACCUUGAUGAGGUGAUAAGAAUGGUGGAUGCCAUUAGUUAUGGGCUGGCCACAGGAGUCUUUACCUAGACCCAACACGUCCAUCUCCAUACCCAAUUUCUCUCUCUACUCGUUUUCACUCUCUUCCAUACCCAUCUCGCCAUCUAUCACCCGCUACCAUCAUACCCAUACCACCAUUCUUCAAAUGCCCACUAAUCCAUUUCUCAUCACCAUUUUCCAUCACCCGUCCCAUGCAUCCCCCAUUCGUUCAUUUCCGUCACUCCCCACAUGCAUGAAGCUCCAUGCGUGCAUGGGAGCCAUGCAAAUGUGGCCAUCUUUCAUACUCAUUUUCCUUUCACUACCCCUGGCUAUACUUCACACCCAUCCUAUGCACAUGGCCGCCUCUAUCUAACUCCAUUUUCAAUCCCCAUACUCAUCUCCAACUUCAUACCUUACUAAUCCCAUACCCGUCACCACCUUCCUCUCUCUAUAUCCUCCAUACCCACCUUCGUACCCAUUUCUCUCACUAACACGUCCACCACCCCUUUCCACCCCCCAUACCCAUUAAACCCAUCGUUCAUUCACAUACCCCACUCAUCCCUCCACCACCACUACCACCGCCGGGAAAUCAAAUCCUUCGAUCAGGAGAAAGCCUAAAAAUUUUAAUCUGUUUACAUGAAUGGACUCCAUAAUGUUCGCAGCUCUCGAAAAGAUCUGUUCCCAAGGCGCGAAUGGCCUCGCUCUCCAGUCUUUGUGGCCGAAUCUCCAUGUUGCUCUCUCCUCCGCCGAACUCAACCUCUCGUCUGGCGUCAAGGCAGCAAUUUGGGCUAACCUCUUGAAAACUCUGGGCCUUGGGUUCCAGUCGCGGAAUGUCUUUCGUGAUGCCGAUGAUCCUGCAAUUCAACCGAUUAAGCAAUGCAAGAAGUUGAAUUUGAAGAUUGUUGCUACUGAGCAUCUUCAUGACUCGUUCGUUGGCCUCUAUGAUGCGAAGGCAUCCAUCGUCACCGGCAUCUCGGCGGUGCAGCGCCGCGUGCUUGAGCAACUCACCACUGCUAAAACAAAUGGAAUAACCCAAAGUCAACUAUGUGAGGAGUUUGGCAUAAAAGCGAACAACAUGUUUUAUGUACUAAGGAACCUUGAAUGCCGAGAGUUGAUUGUGAGGCAAUCAUCUAUUGUGAGGGAGAAGGAGUUGCUUCCAACCAAACUGGAAGAUGUUGCGCACUGGUGGUUUAUAGACCUUGUCUUGGGUGGAGAGUCUUUAUUGAACUCUAUGAACAAGAGCAAGGAACGCUUCUUGGGUUUCAGGAGCUCCCGAAAUUCCCUUGUUUGGUGGGUUGACAAGAUGAGAGGUCACAAACUCAUUCCUUAAAGAGAACUAGAAAGACAAGCUACAGGAGAAAACGUUCUAUGCAUUGCCACCUUUGGUGGGCCACUCCUAAAACCCACGUGCCCCACUCCUUUAUUCUCAUGCAAGCUUUCAAAAACUGAUUUUAAAAAAAAAAUCGUUUUUACAUGAUUUUAAUUCUUCACUUCUUUUUCUUUCUUGGUUUUAAAUAAAUCCAAUUUUAACAAAUCAACUCUUGCCAUUUUCAACCAGGCAUGCAUGCUUCAUUUUGUUUGUUUAUUUAUUUAUUUAUUUAUUAUCAUUAUUAUUAUUAUUUUCAUUUUCAUUUUUAUUUUUAUUUUUAUUUUUAUUUCCUUUCCUUGAUUUUAAAUAUUUUCCAUUCCUUAAUAAAUUUGGCUGCCACGUUUCUUCCCAGCAAACAUCUUUCAUAAACCCUCCUUGAUUUUUAAUAAUUUUCUAACUUUCACAUUUUUAAUAAGCUUGAAUUUAAAUUUGUAUUUCCAAGUGAUGGAAUUUAUGAUAUUAAUUCAUGCAAAAAUAAACCAGGCUAUGGUGGGGGCCCAACAUCAGUGAAUGUUUUCUUUAAAAAUAAAUUUGAGUGAAUUGUGAUGUCUAAUGAUUUCUUACUCAGUUUAGUUGCAUGCGUGACAUAUUUUGUGUUCAUUAAUUGUACACUAACCUCAUUUCUUGAUAGCGCAUUGUGGUUUGCUGCCAAAGUACGUGCCCACUUUCACUAUGGCUAUUCUUUAUGCAUGUUUUAAUUCCCCCUGUGUGCAUGAUCGUUCUAGGUAUUCACUGAUUUCUUUACUAUUUGUCAUGAUUGUUUCAUUUUAUUAAUAGAGACACGUUUUUAAGGACUUAGAGGGGUGCUACAAUCUUUACCGUACUUUCCCAAUAAGUAACCUGACCCUCGAUCCCGGACUCGAUUUUUCACAGACCUAUUUUUCCUUCUGAAGUCACACUUAGGGUUUUUCUUUCUUAUUUUAUUUUUCCCUUAAAAAAUAAAACAAAAAUAAGUUACGAUUCCAAGUCUUUUUUUUUUAAAAUCAAUUUUUCACAAAUAAAUAAAAAAGCGAGUUCCGUCAUCAAGUGAAAAUGCAUCAAGCAAAAUGUGGGAUCCACACACCCUCAAACAGAUUUUAUAAUAAUUGGAAAAUUUUCUUUUUUCUGGUAUAUUAAACUCGGUUGAAGAACAUACAAAUUAUGCUGCUGACGCAAAGAUGAACGUAGAUCCAGUCGUAUAUCAUUUGGAUAAAAUAAAAAAAAAAUGGCUAAUUUUGAUCUCCCACGGUCUGGAUUUUCUAGUUUGAAACUUUCCAAACUAUUUUCACUCUCAAAUUGCUUCGGUUAUAAAUUCAGAAGCUUCCGACUCCUGAUUAUCCUUAUGAUACGUGACAUAUCAAGCUUGAACUAAAUGAUCAAAAUUGCAGGCAUCAUCUCUUAAUUAUAAUACACAUUAUUAAAUCGAAUAUAUUGAACAAUUACUUUAAGGGACAUACAAGAGCCAUUAGUAUCUUCUUGAACUAAACACAGGCAGUGAUGCUGCCAAAUCAAUGAUUCAAGUUAUAAUCUAUUGGAAGAUGGUAAAGCUACCAAUAGAAGAGUAAAACAGAAGUGAGGCUUAAGGCUAUCUGUGUGUAUUACUAUGAGGGAAAGCAUCAUCAUAUCCCAUUACUCAUAUUUUUUUACAGGGAAACCGAAGGUGAUGUUUGUUCAUGUCCCCGGAACAAGACUAGUAUCACUGGAGCAUUACAACUCAUUGUGCCCUUGCACUGCUUAUGUAUUGGAGAGCCCACAUGAAUUACUCUUUUUCUGAGUCAUAACUUUAACCUCUAUAACUAUAAUGAAGAACAAUAAACAAGAAAAGAAAAUAAAAGAAAAAAAUAAUAAUAAUAAAUCCUCAGAUAUGAUCAAAAUGUGCCGGUUGAAAUACUAUGAAUCCAAAAUGCUCAGUUGCCAUUUGAUGCUCUUGAAGUUCCCUGUAAAAUGUACAUCUUAAUGCAAUGUUCAAAAUGGAUCACACUAGAAGUAUGAAAGAUAGUAGUAGUAGUAGUAGUAGUAGUAGUAGUAGUAGUAGUAGUAGUAGUAGUAAUAAUAAUAAUAAUAAUAAGGUUCUACCUGAACUUCUUGUAGCAAUUCUUCAAGUUCAACUGUUAUCUCAGAGAAGGAAGGCCGAUUUCCAGGAACUGCCUCCCAACAUCUCUGCAUCAUGUCCACCAGUUUGGGAUGUGUAUUCUCAGGAAGAUCUGGUCGCAGUCCCUGGAAAAUAUAAUAUUAAAGAAAAUCUAUAGGGAGAGAUCAUUUAAGAAAUAAGCUUUUAUCUUACAUCAACCCUGAUUUAUAUGGAGGUGCUGUGAUCACGCAUUGUACAUAAAUGGUUAAUGCUAUUUCUUCCAUGAACAUUACAGUUAAGGAGAAAAAAACUUCAAGGUUCCUAUUAUCUAUAACAGCAUAAAAAAAAAAUGCUUGUUAUGAAUCAAUCUCACAUGUAUCAAAUUGUACAACUCAAAACAUCAUGGUCAUAUAAAAUUGAGAUUAGGCAGUCUCUGCAGAUAUUUGCAUAACUCUGGGCAUAUAAUCUGUCAUGCAACCAUAUCCCACAACACACCACAUUAUGUCACUGAAAUUAUCUCAAAUUUUGUAUACUUUGAAUAAGAAAAUUCUACCAAAUAUAGGAACAAGUUUUGUUUCUCCUUCUGACUAAUCUACAUAAGCAUGCUUCUGAACAUGGGGUUCCAAUCCUCAUUUCUUAAAUCUGAUCUGUGAAUGAAAGCAGAUGAAUAUCUAUAGUUAAAUCUCAUGCAGCAGAAACAUCUGAAAAUCCCUACCUCCCUGGUCCAUGACUUCAUUUUUUUUUUUGGGUAGAAUUAUUUAUUAAUGUAGAUUCAUAGGUAUAGGUUUACAAAUCUUGGAACCUGACAUGAUUAUGGAGUUGAGUUGAUAAAUUCAAAAGUUCUGCACUCAUUCUCAUAGUAGCAAAUUUAAGUAUGUCAGAGAUGAUAAGACUCACAAGAUACUUCAGAUGAGAAGUAUAACAUCUAACACAGUGCACCAUGAUCAAAUCUUAACAUGCUUGACAAUUGUGUGUUAUUGAGUUAAACUUCACCUAUGAAUAAACAUAGUACCUAGCAAUUGUGGAUCUUAAUUAACAAUGCAAAAUGGAAUUUAGAAGGGCCAAGUGUCCACUUGAUAUACAAUAAUACUUAAACCUCAUAAUGGUCUACAAUCCCUAUUGAUGGGUUAUGAUUUUAGGGAGGUAUGGAAAGGCAAGUUGUGAAGUAAAUAGCUGCUGAGAUUCCAGAAGAUAAAAUUCAGGAAUUUCUGGACAGCAACUAAUUUACAGUAUGAGUUUAGGUGACAACCUAAAAGUAGAAAAAUAGUUAGGAUAGUGAAAGUAGAGUUUUAUGUCAGAGAAAUAAAUAAAACUGCAGUUGGUUGUUCGCAAAAGUGAGCACAACAAUCACAAAAUUAAAGACAAAAAAAACAAAAAAAAGUAGAAUCGAAGCAAGCUCAAAAAAACAACAAAGCCUAUGUUUGGAAUGCAAGUGUUUGAAGGGAAAACAAAGGAAUUGAAUUAAAAUCUUCCAUUCCAGGAUUGAAAAUAAAAUGAAUUUGUA